GCCGAUAAAAUAAACCCAACAAGUACAACCGUGCAAUUGAGCCCAACUCUAAAUUUACAUAACACAUUCUCUCUUUCAGACUUUCACUGUUACACAUAACCCUAAAACAUGAUAACAUUCAAAUUCCCAAAUUCCUAAUAUUUUUCCUCCCUCUCUCUCUCUCUCUCUCUCUCUCUCUCUCUCUCUCACUCAGACCCUCAUCUAGUCAGGAAGUCACCCUAGCUCAUAUUUCUUACAAUUAUUUUGUAUUUUGAACUAUUGGACAUGUUGCAUCAAAUUGUAGGUAAUGUUCUAUAAAAAUUAAACUAUUGAUUAUAUAAUGUCGAGAAUUUCAAUCGGCUCGUUUAGAGCUCGAGCUCGGCUCGACUCGAAAUUAGGCUCGCUCGAGCUCGGCUCGAAUUAAUUUCAAGCCGAGCUUGAGCCUAGAUUUAGGCUCGAAAUUAAUUUCAAGCCGAAUUUGAGCUGACAUAAGCUCGCUCGAGCUCGGCUCGUUUCCACCCCUACUGGCGCAUCAUGUGCAGUUUGUCGAGAUGCAGUGCACAAGACAUAUUAAUGCAUCAUGUGCGGUCGAUAAUUUCUUUACACUCUCGCUCUUGGAUUCGAAUAGGCUCACUGUAAAAGUAUAUUUGGUUUGAAGGAUUUGAAGCUCGGAGUUUGAACUAGAAUGAUUCAUUCUCAUUCUGGGCGUGUCUGGUUCGCUUCUUUUUCAUCCUAGAAUCGAAAUCAAAAUCGGCGAAUUCGUUUGUGGGUGUUUGAUACGUGGGAGUGUCAUUUCGAUUCUGAUUCCCGAGGAAUGGGAAUUCCCAAUCACCUUUUUUUCCAAUUCGGCCUCCUAGGCCGAUCAGAUUGGAAGUUGAAUCCGGACGGAAGGGAUAUUUAUUCAGAUUAAAUUUAUUUUUUCAAUUUUUUUUAAUUAAAAUAUGAGUUUAAAUUUAGAAAUUAAAUUUAUAAUUUUAAAUUUUAAUUUGAACUUGAAUUAAAAAUUAAAAUUUAAUCAAGUAUUUCGAAUCUAACUUAUGAAUUUGAAUUUAAAUUAAAUUUUAACUUAUAUAAAGUUUUAUUCAAAUUUUAUUUAAAACUUAAAUUAAAUUUAUGGAUUAAAAUUAAAAUUAAAAUUAUAAUUUUAAGUUUGAAUUUGAAUAAAUUAAAAUUUAGUUUUAUAUUUUGAAUUACCCACUCAACUUCAAAGUGUAAUUUUUUUAAAAAAAUAGAUUUAAAAUUUUAACAUUAUUUCAAAAUUUUGAUGUAAAUUUUUAAUAUUAAAUUUUAAUUUAAAUUUAAAUUAAUAUAUUAUAAAAAUAAAGUUAUUAUAUUAAUUUAAUUACAUUUUUUAUAUCUAGCUAAACCAAACACUGACAAUGGAAAUGAUUUAUUCCGAUUCCGAUUCAGGGGAUGAACCAAACAGAAUUAGGUAAUGAGUCAUUCCGAUUCCGAUUUCAGCUUAUUUCGAUUCUGAUUUCAAUUCAGAUUUUCAAACCAAACACGCCCCCGUUAGUGUUUGGUUAAAAAUAUGUUUACUGAGAUGCAGUAGUGCACAGAACAUACUGGUGCAUCAUGUGCAGUUUGUCGAGAUCCAGUGCACAAGACAUAAUGAUGCAUCAUGUGGAGUUGAUAAUUUCUUUACCCUCUCGCUUUUGGAUUCUAAUAGGUUUACCGUAAAAGCAUAUUUGAUUUUGAAGGAUUUGAAGCUUGGAAUUUGAAUCGGAAUGAUUCAUUUUCAUUGUUGGUGUUCAGUCUCAAAUAUUGACAUUUUGAUUCGCAUUUUGGGAGAAUCGAAUUCUCAUAAAAUAUUUCCCCCCAGGGAGGUAGAAAUCAACUUUGAUUCGGAAAGGAAUUGAGAAAAGAAACUUUUUUCACUAGAAAUUAUUUAAAUUCAAAUAUUAAUCUAUAUCUAAUUUUAGAUUAUAAUUUAUGUCUGAAUUUGAAUUAUGGAGUCAAAAAUUAAAUUUUUUAUCAUUAAAUUAUAAUUUUAUAUUUGAAUUUGAGUAACGGAUUCAAAUUUUAGUUUUAAAUUUCUUAAGUUCAAGUUUAAAUUUGAAUACAAGUUUGAUAUUUUAACCUAGUUCUAAAUUUACAUUUUAACUUUGAUCUUGAAUUUUAAUUGUAAAUUCAAAAUUAAAGUUUGAAUUGUAAGUUCAAGUUUGAGAAUUCAAAAUUUGAUUACAGAUUUGAGUAUUAAAAUAAAUUUCAUUAAAAAUUAACUUUUUAAAAUUUUAAUUUGAAUAUAAUUUCGAUUUUGAGUCCUCUUAUGAACCAAACAAAAUAGAGUUUUUAUUGCUCCGUUUUCGAUUACGGUCCACUUUCAUUCCAGCUAAAGAGGAGUUUUGGGUCCGAGCCCUCUCAAUAUUUUAGAUCUUGUACUUAAAUAGGCUUCAACCAGGCCCAUAUGCAAAAUUAAAUGCUUAAGAGACCUUUUGGUUCUGUGGAGAAGUGUGGAUAAUUAUUUCUCUAAAAAAAAAAGCUUUUCAUAAAAAAUAUCUUUUUUUUCAUAGUUUUAAUUUUUCAAAUAAAAAUUCAAAAUGAAAAUACUAUGUUUCCUAUCGACUAUUUCUCCAAGGAUCCAAACGGACACAAAUUACUUUUUUCAGCCAGAAAACUAGUUUAUGUGAUAUUUGUCGAAAAACCAAACACCCCCUAGAUUAAAAUGGCUAUACAAAUGUCACGCCCCGGAUUACUCAUUUUUCCGGACACACUAACAUACACAUAGGAAUUUUUCCUAUAUACGAAGCGAAACUGUACAUGUAUAUGUAAUCAUACAACACUACAACCAAUAGUAUAGAGCUACUGAAAUAAAACAUAUAUAAACAACAGAGGUUCACUAUACAUACAUAGCAUCCUGGUAUACAAAAUCACUCGCUUUAACGAGAUACAAACAUCAGUAUGUAUAAUAACUCAAAAACUACAACUAGACUACCUGUAGCUGGUACUCCUCUAGCUCUGUGACUCGUCAAGAAGGGAUCUAACUCGUAACACCCUUUCCACGAUCAGUACAAGUAAUAAUAACAGCCGCAACCGAAGGCUCUGCAAAAGAUUCACAACUGGACGUGAGAACUACUGCAAAAAGAAGUAGUCCUCAGUGGGUACCGCUACCGACCUCAAUGGCCCACCCAUUAAGUUUACAAAUAAUAUACUCAAUGAUAGUAAAGAACUAAAACAAUUUACAGCUAUAUGCCACUAUAUGUAGUGUUUCUGAGCUUUGGGUAGGAUUGACUUCAGUGUUAGUGACUGGUCGGUACAUCUGGAGAGUUUCUGACUGAGUCGGAGUCGUUUCUACGCGAAAUGGAUGCAGAAAUGGAUUCGGCGCACUCAAAUAAGCAAAACUAUAGUUUUGCCAGAUUCGGGCGCCCAGAACUGGCCUUGGGUCGCCCAGAUGUUGAGUGCAGAACUGAGCAGAACUGGAAGCCAAUUCGGGCCCAUAUUUCGGGCGCCCGGAUGAGGGUCCGAAAAGUUCACCUUGUGAGUAUCGUUUGCGCUGACACGUGGUUGGUGGUUGGUGAGGUCCGCCAGAGCCGGAUACGGGCGCAGCACACCACGGGCGAAGAGUUCGAGGAGGAAGCUUUGUAUAGCCUAGAGGAUUCGGGCGCCGGAGCUUUUUUAGGAGUAUAUAAGUAAUUGGGCCUAUUAAUAACUGAAUUAAACAUUUUGAGCUGAUGAUCUGAAUCUAACAAAUUAGCGAUAUUAAUGAAAUAUAUCUUUACAUUUGGUACUAGAACUGAAAGUGUAGGCCAGAUAUCACAUACUUUCUCGUCUGGGUCUAAACAGUGAGUUGAGUCUGCAUCUAACAAGUUAAUCUUAGAAGUGCUUGUGUGGGAAGCACUUUUUUUUUUUUUUUUUUUUCCUUCCUUUAAGAGUGCAUUAUAUAUUAUAGGUCCAUAUCAAGUAGGGAUGUCAACGGGUCGGGUUUGGGUCGGGUUUUUAAAAACCCGAACCCGAACCCGAAAACCAAAUUAAAAUCCGUACCCGGACCCGAACCCGGCGGGUUUUAAAAAUCUAUACCCAUAUCUGUACCCGACCAAAAACCCGAAACCCGAACUCGGACCCGGAUCCGGACCCGGCCGGUUUUAAAAAUCCAUACCGUUAAAUGAAGAUCUAAGAGAUAAAAAUUAUUAAAUAUUUUAUAUAUUAUAUAAAUAAAUAAAAAUAAAGUAUGUAUGUAUAUAAUUUAUUCGAGUUUGGGUUUGGGUUCGGGUUCGGGUUCGGGUUCGGGUUCGGGUUCGGGUCGGGUAAAUACAAAAUCCAUAUCCGUAUCCAUAUCCGUCGGAUUUUUAUUUUCUAUACUCAUAACCAAAUCCAUACCCGUUUAAUUCGGGUAAACCCGCCCUGUUCGAAUUCGGGUAAUAUUUCAGAUAUCCAUACUCAUUGACAUCCCUAAUAUCAAGUGCUCUUGUUUGAGAUCUCUCUUUUUGUUCAUUCAAAGACAUGACCGCAGAAUGGGGCAUUUGACUAUUUCUUAGGCCGACAUGAAAAGCACUUUUUAUCUAUUUGCGUUACACAAUCAUAAUGUUUGCUGCCUUUUUGGCUUGGAAUCAUGGUCUAGUCGCAUGCACUCAAAGCAAAGCUUUUUCUUUUUUUUUUUUCUUUUUUCUUUGAGUAAUACAGUGCCAACUAUAUAGCAAAUAUUAACGCUUCAAAAAAAAACGUUAUUAUAUAAUCUCUUCAAAUAAAUUAUUAUGCUAUUUUUAAUUUUUCAAUGCUUUCAACCAUCCGAAUUUAAUAUGUAUUGACGCUUAUAAAGUGUCGGAAUAUAUCUCACAGACGUAUAGUAUAAACACUUAUCGAUGCUAUACACGAAUCCAAUAUAACUUUCAUUUAUCAAAUAGAACGUCAUAAUUUGAAAUUUAUAGCCGGACAGGAUCUUACCUCUAAUUCUAGCACGGAUCAAUUUGAUCAAACUAAAGUUUUUACAGAAUAGUUACGAUUUUGAGCAGAACCAUAAGAAAAUCUAUAAUACUUCUAUUUCCGGGGCCCAGAAACUUAGUUAUUUUCCAUUGUUCAAGUAGUGAAAUUAUUCGAGAGGCACCAAAUUCAUGGUACACAAUGAUUUACACAUUUGGAAACGGUAUUAGGAGAAACAAAAGUAACACUAUUAUUAAGUACCUUAUAAAUCCCCUAAUAUUAUUAAUGCACACCUUUAGAACAUCUCACCCAAAAUGUAUAAUUUUAGCAACUUAAGUGGGAGAAAGGAAAAAAACAAAAGAACUUGUCUCCGUAUAUAUAAUUGUGUCUUCUAAGCUAAAGAAGAUCACAAUGUGCAAUGCAUUACUUUUUUUUUUUUUUCUUUUGCCCUUUUUCCCCUUUUAAAGGCACAGAGACAUAAUAGAGAAGAUAACUAAGCAUGAUGGACUCAUGGGGCCUCAUGUUAGCUAAAUUGUAGCAUAAUGUCAAUGCAUUACUUCUCUCUCUCUCUCUCUCUCUCUCUCUCUCUCUCAUACUUUAACUAGAAUACUUUCUCUCUCUCUCUCAUACUUUAACUAGAAUACUUUAACUAGAAUAAAAUUCGUAUCUAAAUUUAUUAAAAAAUACGGCCUAAAAAAUGGACUCGUCGAUUAUUUGAAUAUUCAAUUUAUACGAAAAUUAUAUCCACCAAUUAAAAAUUCAGAAUAAAAAAUUCGGCUAUUAAAUUAAACUUUUUUCUCCAGAUUUGUACUAUUAGCAUAAAAAGUUAUAAUUAAUUCUUAAGAAUAUAAAAAUAGAAAGUUAUAAAGUAAAGUAAAUUAAGUAAAAAAAAGCAAGUAAAGCUCGUUGCCGUCUCCAUCUUCAUCUUUUUCAUAAUCCACGUAUUCGAAAAGUUUGUAAAGCUUUCUAAUAAUUUACAAAUUAACCAACUACGUUGGAGGAAAUAAAUUAUCCAAAAAUUCUGCGUGUUUUUUUAACUGAAUAGCUCGGCAUACGCGAAUUAUUCGCGAUAAUAAAUCUAAUCCAUAAAUUUUAUAUUUUACUUUUUUAAAUAUAUAUAUAUAUAUAUAUAUAUAUAUGAAUUAACUGUCUCAUUCAAAUUUUUAAAAAUUUAUAAAUAAUUUAUGAAUAAUUUGCAAAUAAACUGACUAUGCAUCAUCUCACAUGUUCCCAGCUGGGUAUGUGAAUUUCAAGGUUUUUAUUGAUGCAUGGUAUUCGAUCGAGAGGUGAUUACAACAUCCCACGUGAAUCCAGAGGAGUCUAUGAUCCCAUGCACGCCCCUUCUACUUAAUUAUUACACUAAAAAGAUGAGCACUCAUGGCCCCACGUGAGGUGACAUGCAUCAAUUAAAAGAGAAAACCCUUGCCUUAGUGUAACUAGCUAGUACAAUUAGAGCUAUAUUCAGAUUAAUAUAAUGAGUUGGAGUACUAUAAUUUUAUGAGUAUAAAUAUAUAUAUAUAUAUAUAUAUAUAUAUAGUUGAGCUAGAAUGCUAUCGGUAGUAAACGAGUCAUUUUACUACCGAUUUGUUUUCGAUGAUAGAGUUUCAAAAUUGACGAUCGGCUCCGUUAAUUAUGAUCUAAACCAUUUAAACUUCCUAGAAAUCAAAUUUCACGCACUUUCGAUAUUAUUCUUUUAUUCAUCAAGUGAACAGAAAAAUGAAUGACUGAAAAUGAAUACUCUUUAAAAAAUGAUGAUAGGGGUCUUGUAAUCAAGAUUAAGAGUAUAGAUCUUGUUUUAAAUAGUUUAAAGAAUUUUCUAACAAAAAUUCAAUUGAUUUGAAUAUCUUUACGCCGGUAAACGAGAAAACGCCUCUUAUCGACCAUUAAAAUUACAAAUUUUGAAACCCUUUGAUCAUUAGGCAAAUGAUGUCGAAAAUAUUUGAAAUUUAAUUUCUAAACACUUCAAGUGGUAUAGAUCAUGUUUAACAGAGCCGAUCGUCAAUUUGGAAGCUCUAUCAUCGAAAACAAAUCGGUAGUAUAACAACUCGUUUACUACCGAUAGUAUUCUAGCUCAACUCUAUAUAUAUAUAUAUAUAUGUCCUUUUACACCAUCGUUGAAUCUAUCUUUUUAAUUAUUUUCAUCUGUUACAUUAUAUUAUUCAACCAACCAUCCAUUCAACCUUAAAAAAUUACUAUCAUUCUAACCGAAAAUCACUAUCAUCCUAGCCGCAUAUUUUUUCAUCUAACACUUGAAAACUUAUGAGUACAAAAGGCUCUGUACUCAUACACAAGUAGUUCCGGAACUUUGACAAUUUUAUUUGCCACUUAUUCUUUAAUUAAAAGUAAUUUUAGUAUUUUUUAAAAAAUAAUUAUGUGAAAAAUUAAUCAGUUAUAUUAUUUGAUAUUAAAAGGUUAUUGCUAGAAAGGUCGUGUAUGGAUACUAUAUUAAGAUUUUUUUUUUUUGAUAAGAAUUAGUUUUUUUCAUCAAAAAAAUAUUUAUUGUUAAAUUAAAUUAUAUCCCAAAAAAUUUAACCAUCUGUUUUUAGCCGAUAAAUUAUAAUUUUUAGCUUUUUCAUAUUAUAUUUUCGUUAGUAAUCAGAUAAGAAAAUAGAGACAUAUAUAUAUAGAGAGAGAGAGAGAAAACGACGCUGCUACUAUGAGUUUCGAUACUAUAGUCUUAUUUUUUAUUUUAAAUUAUUUAAUUCAACGAUCCAUGCCGAUAAAUAUAAUUUAAGAUAUAUGAAGUUUUUAGAAAUAAAAUUUUAAUUUUUUUUACAUCAUUUACUUAAUAAGUAAAUUAUAUCAAAAUAAACGAUAAAAAUUGAACGAUCUUUAAAAUUUAUAUUUAUGAUAUUUAAAUUCAAGAUCCAGAAUGUUGAAUUUGAUUUAGAUAGUUUAAAAUAUUUUCUAUUAAAAUUCGAAUAAAUUUAUAUUCAUCUACACCAUUAAACUACAAACUCACCACAGUAAUCAUUGAAAAUUAAUAAUUUUGAAAUAAUUUGAUCAUAAAGUAAACUAUAUUGAAAAAAUAUAAAAUGUUAUUUCUAAAAGUUCAAAUACCUUGAACCAAUUUUAACGGCGUGGAUUGUUGAUUAGUAUAUUUAAAAGUUAAAAAUGAAACUAUAUUAUCAGAGUCUUAGCACUAUAGAUAUUAUAGCAGCCUAGUACUCUCUCUCUCUCUCUCUCUCUCUCUACAUAUACUAGUUUAGAGAAACUUUUCCUUUCUCCCACGUAUAUAGGGGUGUAAACGAGCCGAACACGAGCAAGCUAGAUUGCUGGAUUGCCACCCCUACACGCAUAUAUUACUGUAGUUCAUAAAAAAACAGUGUUCCACAAAAACAGUGGUGUGGAACAGCUGGGAGAAACACCAAUAUAAUUAGGCCAAGUACACUGUAGCAUCAUAUAUAUGACAAUUAAAUUCAUGUAACAUAUUUUUGAUUAGUUAAAUUAUGAAACAUGUGCCUCAUCAAAUGAUCGAAUGUUGCUUAGUACGAAGAAUUUUUAUCCAAUUGAUUAAUUAUUAGUAAAUUAAAUUUCUGGGACACUUGCUUUCAAUAAUUAAAUCUGAUGAAUUUCAACUUAGUUCGACAUUUUAUGGAUUAAUUCCUACAUUACUAAAAAUUCAUUCUUUUCCAAUUUAUUGUAAUUGAUAAUUAUUAAUUAUAAUAAUAAAAUUUAAUAUAAUUUGUAGUAUCACAAAAGCACAAAUUAUUACAAUAAAAUAUAUUUUACAAUAAUUUAAUUUAUAAUAUAAAUAAAUUAAUACAAUAGAAUAUAAUUAUUGUAAUGCAAUGAUUAACAUGCAUUUAACUGCAGGUGUGGGGUGGAAGCUGUUAGCAUAGAUGGUAACAGUGGAAGUGAGAAAAUUAUUUAAAACUAAAAUUAAAUGAAUGGUUGUGAUUUUUUUAGGUGAAUUGAUUUUUCUAAUGAAAAGAUAUGUAUUAUCAUUUAAUAUAAAGAGAUGUAUCUCUUUACGAAGAGGCAUGCUUAUUCACAAAGAAAUUAUUUUUUUGUAAAAGAAUAUGUCCUUUCAGUGAUUAUGAAAAGAUAUAUUUUUUCACUGUUCGUGAAAGGAUCCGCCCUUUUGUGUAAAGAUAAAAUUUAAGUUGUAUCAUUUCAUUGUAACUAUUCAUCUUCUAUAAAUAGAAAAUAUUUGAAGGCUUCAAGUGCAAACCGAUCCUUUUUCCUUCCUAAUUUUUCACACUAAUUAUUAGAGGAAAGUUCUUAAGGGAAAGGGCUUCAAAAGUAUUGUUUACAGUCUUUAAUUUGCCGGCCUCAUUGUAUCAUAGAGGUGAUUUGUUAUUAAUCCGGCAGCAUACAUUCGAGUGAAAGUAAAUAUCAUCUCAAAAAAAGUGUUUCUAUAUGUCUUAAGGCCUUAAUUUACUUGAUCUUCAUUAUAUUCUCUGAUAGAAGCAUUUUGUAAUUAAAUUUUACUUUUUAACUUUUCCAAAACAUAAAUACCUAUAUAUAUGGUAUCAUAAUUCCUAUAUGGUAUCAUAAUUCCAAAUUAGAUCUUAAAUAUGUGAGUCUUUCGAAAUAUAAAUACGAAUUAUAUUUCUAUCGCAAUUUCAAAUUAGGUCACUAAAUAUGUAUGACUAGUGAAUUUGAGUAAUUAAAAUAGGCAUACCUAAGAAUGUCAAUAUGUAAUGCACCGAACUUUGGAUAAAUUGACAAAGUAUGGAUUAAGUCAUAUUAAACAUAAUUAAAAUAAGUUUAGAGAGGUUUAGGCCGAGUUCGGAUCGAAUUAAAACUAACUUGGAUAAAAAUAAAGUUUCGAAACUCAACAAACUGAGCUCCGUACCACUUCGGAUGCCCAAAAUGCACUGUGAGCAUCCGAAUGAUGAUUCGAACGGGCAUUUGGACAACUUUCGGACUCUCGACCCGAGAGUAGGUUUUAUUGAACAAUUAAUAGUUUCGGAUGCCCGAAAUCCCCUUUAGGCAUCCGGAACAUCUUUCGAACGGCCUCUCACCGGUGCCCGAAACGACAUUCAGAUGCUCAAUACGAACGCACUCCUGAUCAUGUGGAGCAUUAAAUAAUCGGACGCAUGAUUCAUGCUUCAAAUGCCCGGAUAUUGAAGCUGGCGGAUCCACCGGGCGCCCUAUUCCUCGAUAGGUGCAGUUACGAUCGAUUCGGGCAUUCGAAAGUUUAGACCGCCGGGCACCGGAAAUCUGGCAUAUAGGCUGUUUUAGGCUUGUUUGCAAAUAAAAUUUGUUGGGGGUUUCAGUUGCUAUUAUAGCACCCCCUAUAAAUUGGGUUUUCUCAUUAUGGACCAAAUCCAAACCCAUUUUCCCUCUCUUAUUCUCUCAUUUUCUUUUCUCUGUCUAGAAGAAAUAAAUGACCGCGCGCUCUAUCAUUGUUCGAGCUUGGAUCUUGGAUCCAUCUCACUGAGAGAACUUGAAAAAAGUGGGAAACUUUGAGAGGAAGCUCUAGGGAGUAGAAGAAAACCAUCUCUUUCACUCUUAAUUUGCUUGCUAGAAGAGGAGAGGUGGUUUGAGAUUUUAGGGUUUUAUCUUAGAAUGUUCCUAAAUGAGGAAUUUUUGAGAUUCUAAUUAAUAUUGUUAGAACUCUUUUUAGAGUUUUCUUGGGAUUCUUCGGAGAUCAACACUCAUCUCCAAGUAGGAUUCGAGCAAACGUAGGGAAUAUAACCGAAAUAGGUUUAAUCUCCCCUUUGUCUAAAGAUUUUUUUGAUUUUAUGCAUGUAUAAUAUAUAAUAUGUAAACUAAUUGUAUUCUAGGGACCGAGCAAAUCAAGAUGGUUUAUGAACAUUGACCUAGAAAAAAAAAGGAUUUUGAACCCUUUUGAAUAUUAAGAGGUAAUUAUGAGACAUGAAUGUGUCAGUAAACAAGUAUAGAUACACGCAUUCGCAAGAAACUAUGUGAACUUUGAAUAUAGUUUGAAGUGUGGCAUUUAACUUGGAGCAAAACCUUAGUAGGUGAAAUAUAGCAACAUAUAAACUCUAGGUAAACUUUGAAACUAGAUAACAAGCGUAUUCGUAUUGGGCAAUGUGGAUAACUCUAGUAGAAGUUACAGACUUAUGGUGAAAUGCUAAAACGUAUUGCGGCUUUUUAGAAAAGUCAUGUGUGUUGGUUGAUGCUGAUCUUCCCUCGACACCCUAUUCAUAGUGGGUGAUGCCAAUCCCCUCGACACCCUAUUUAUAUAUAGAGGGAGAUGUCGAUCCCCUCGACUCCCUAUCGUACUCGAUGAUGUCGAUUAUCUUCAACACUAAGUGCCUACCAAUUGGAGGGAUGUCGAUAGCCCUCGACUCGGCAUGUGGUGUAUAAUGUGAAAGACAACCAGGCUAAUAAAAUGGUUAAAAAUAAAGAAUGAAAUGAGGUACGCUAUAAACCAAUAACAUGAAAUUUCAUUGUAGUGUAUUGUGUAACGUGUGGUGCGUGAUCUAGAAUAGAGCCAACCAAAUAGAUGAUUAGGGAUAUGAGAAAGAUUGGAUAAAUAUGUAAUCAUUGAUAUAGUGGUAUUGUGGCAUAUUGAGUAUAUACUUGCCGCAUUGUAGUGGUAUUUUUUUAUUAACCGACAAGAUUAUUGCAAAAUAGUUAUUUUAUUUACUAUUAUUGUUAUAUUAAUGUCUCAUUUGGACCAAGUGAGUGUAGAGCGUCACUUUCGACGAUUGUACCUGUUGGGAAUUUGUUUCAAGUUCUCAUGCACUAUUGUUUACCCAUUUUCAUAGUCUACUAUCGCCGGUGAGGCGCGAGACCACGGCAAAGGCAUUAGCAGAGUAGAUAGAUCGUAGGUAGUCAAUCUAGUGUGCACCCUUCAUUUUAGAAAGGGAAAACUUCAAAAACCCCCCCUGUGGUUUCGUGCAUUCUCACUUUGCUACCCUGUGGUUUAAAAACGUAUCAUUUUGUCUCCCUGUGGUUUCGUUUUUAUCUUUUUGUUAUCAAUUUUAUUAUUAUUUUUUUUUAAAAUCAGUGACAAAAUUAAAAUUAAAGGAUACUAAAGUGACUAUUCGAUAAAUAUAGAUGGUUAUCUGAAGUUUUUUGUAUAUAAUUUAACGAAAUAUUAACGAAAAAACUUCCGAAAAGAUAAAAAUGAAACCACAGGGGGGUAAAUUGAUACAUUUUAAACUACAGGGUAGCAAAGUGAGAAUGCACGAAACCACAGGGGGGGUUUUUGAAGUUUUCCCUUUUAGAAAAUAAACACUUGCAACAAUUUGGAGACAAAUAUUGUAAGCUCUUUAAAGUUAAAGUAGUUGUAAUGUAUUCAAUUUAAUAAUAAUUAUUCUGAUGUUCUAUUGUAUUCAUAUUGUGCAUACUUUGUAUAGAUUGGUAUAUAUUUCUGCUUUGUACGGAUAUGAAAAGUCUUGCUUGGGCCCGAUUGGUGGUCUUGAUGCGUGAGACAAUAAUUACGGAUAUCGGAGGUUCUAUCCAAAUUCGCAUCCAAGUCAAGGUGGGGUUAACCAAUGCGAAAUGAGUACGGUUCAAUUAUGGGUUAAAAAAAAACAAAAACUCAACAAAUUCAAUUUUGAGUACUGGUUUUUAUUAUAUCCAACUUGUACUUGAACCCAAAUCCGAACCAAACAACAAAUAAUUUUGUGAGACGACAAGUAGUCCUAUAUAUAUAUAUGAUAUAAUAGGGCUAAUACUCUUAACCCGACUUAAACAUUUUGAGCGGUGGCUAGGUCCAAAAGGUUAAGAGAGUUAAGCAUGUUAGGACGGGAGUAGUCUUAGGAUGGAUAACCCCGUAGAAAGUCGGGAUGUAACAGUUGGUAUCAGGACCAAUUACCAGCCAGAAAUAUGGGAUAAAUCUCGGCUGAACCAGAAUUAUACAGCGGGGAGAGCAAAACACUCAUACUGUUGACUGUUGUGGAUGGAACAUAGCUCACCACAAGGUCGAUUUAGGCUAGCGAGACGAGUCUUAUAUUGUCUAGUACUUGUGAGUCUGAGCCCAACGAGAAAGUCAGAGAUUAAAAGGAGGAAGCAUGUGAGACUCUAGGUAGGCAUAUAUAUAUAUAUAUAUAUAUAUAUAGAGUCCGGCUACUAUGCUAUCGGUAGCACGGAGCGCUCCGUGCUACCAAGUUGUUUUCGAUGAUGCGGCUUCCAAAUCGACGAUCGGCUCCGUUAGACUUGAUCUACACUAUUGAAAGUAUUUGGAAACUAAAUUUCAAAUUUUUUCGACAUCAUUUGACUAGUAAUCAAAAGAUCUCAAAAUUGACAAUUUUAAUGGCCGAUGUGGUGUGUUUGUGAGUUUAACGGUGUAAAACAAUUCAAAUGCGAUGAAAAUUUUAUAGAAAAUUCUUUUCACUAUUUAGAAUAAAGAUCAGUAUAUCUGAUCUUGAAUUUAAAAUUCUUUAUCAUCUUUUUAUGAGAUUUUUAUUUUCAGCCGCUUCAAUUUUAGACUACUUGUUUGAUAGGUAAAUGAUAUCGAAAUAGUUGUGAAUUUUAGUUUCUAAAUACUUUCAAUGGUAGUGUAGAUCAACUCUAACGGAGCCGAUCGUGAUUUGAAAGCCACAUCAUCGAAAAAAACUUGGUAGCACGGAGCGGCUCCGUCUACCGGUAGUAUAGUACCUAGCUCUAUAUAUAUAUAAUAUAUAUAUUAUAUAUAUAUAUAUAUAUAUAUAUAUAAUUAUAAUAUAUUAUUAUAUAUGUAUAUAUAUAUUAUAUCAGAGAUUAAAAGGAGGAAGCAUGUGACGACUCUAGAGGCAUAUAUAUAUAUAUAUAUAGAGUGAGCUACCUAUAAUCUAUCGCUGAAGCACGGAGCCUCUGUGGCUUCUAGCUCGUUUUCGAUGUUGCGACCUUCGUAAUCGUUCGAUCGCUCCAUUAACUUGAUUCUAGGAGUAUUUGAAAUAUCUAGAAAAUAAAUUUUAUAUUUUCGCGAUAUCAUUUGCCUAAUGAACGAAGGGCGGCUCAAAAUCAACGGCUGAAAAUAAAAUCUUACAAAAUUAAUAAUAUGACAUUAAAUUUUAAAUCAAAGAUAUUUGAUCCUUGUUUUAUAUCGAUAUACAAAAGUUUUCUAUCAAAUUUCACGGUGAUUUGGGAUAUUUCCUAUCAAAUCACCGUUAAAACUUGCAAACGGCUCACUACGGCCAUUGAUAAUUUAUUGGUUUUGAGCGCCCAUUCGAUCACUAAGGCAAAUAUAACGAAAAUAAUAAAAUUUUAUUUUUAGUAUGCUCAAAAACUCUAGAUUAUAGUUUAAGAAGCGCGAUCAGACGAUCGAAAGCGCAACAUGGAAAACGGCUGGAAGCACGGAAGGCUCCUGCUUCGAUAGCAUAGUAGUGCCAUCACUCUAUAUAUAUAAUAUAUUAUCUAUAUAUAUAUAUAAUAAAGAUCAGUAUAUCUGAUCUUGAAUUUAAAUCUUUACUCAUCUUUUUAUGAGAUUUUUAUUUUCAGCCGCUCAAUUUUAGACUACUUGUUUGAUAGGUAAAUGAUAUCGAAAAUUGUGAAUUUUAGUUUCUAAAUACUUUCAAUGUGAGUGUAGAUCAACUCUAACGGAGCCGAUCGUCGAUUGAAAGCCACAUCAUCGAAAAAAACUUGGUUAGCACGGAGCGCUCCGUGCUACCGGUAGUAUAGUACCUAGCUCUAUAUAUAUAUAAUAUAUAUAUUAUAUAUAUAUAUAUAUAUAUAUAUAUAAUUAUAAUAUAUAUAUAUAUAUAUUAUAUAUAUAUUAUAUCAGAGAUUAAAAGGAGGAAGCAUGUGAGACUCUGAGUAGGCAUAUAUAUAUAUAUAUAUAGAGUGAGGCUACUAUACUAUCGGCAGCACGGAGCCUCUGUGCUUCUAGCUCGUUUUCGAUGUUGCGACGACUUCGAAUCGUCGAUCGCUCCAUUAACUUGAUCUAGAGUAUUUGAAAUAUCUAGAAAAUAAAUUUUAUGAUUUACGUAUCAUUUGCCUAAUGAACGAAGGGCCUCAAAAUCAACGGCUGAAAAUAAAAUCUUACAAAAUGUAAUAAUAUGACAUUAAAAUUUUAAAUCAAAGAUAUUGAUCUUGUUUUAUAUCGAUAUAAAAAGUUUUCUAUCAAAAUUUCACGUGAUUUGGAUAUUUCUACAACAACCGUUUAAACUUGCAAACGGCUCACUACGGCCAUUGAAAUUUAUUGAGUUUUGAGCCCAUUCGAUCACUAGGCAAAUAAUAACGAAAAAUAAUAAAAUUUAUUUUUAGGUAUCCAAAAUACUCUAGAUUAAGUUUAACGAAGCGCGAUCAGACGAUCGAAAGUCGCAACAUCGAAAACGGCUGGAAGCACGGAAGGCCCUGCUUCGUAAGCAUAGUAGCCUCACUCUAUAUAUAUAUAUAUAUAUAUAUAUAUAUAUAUAUAUAUAGUGAGCGCUACUAUACUUCUGGAAGCACGGAGCCUUUCGUUCGCUUCCAGGUCGUUUUCCAUGUUCUGACUAUAGAAUCGUCGAUCGGUUCUUAAACUUGAUCUAGAGUAUUAAAGUAUCUAGAAAAUAAAUUUUAUGAUUUUUCGAUAUCAUUUACCUAGUGAUCAGAGGGCUCAAAUCAAUAAUUUUAAUGGCCGUAGUGAGCCGUUUACAAAUUUAACAUUGUAGAAAAUAUCCAAAAUCACGUGAAAUUUUAAUAGAAAAUUCUUUAUACUAUAUAAAAUAAGAUCAAUAUCGUUGAUCUAAAAUUUUAAUGUCAUAUUAUACGUUUUGUAACAUUUUUAAUUUUUAGCCGUUGAUUUUGAGCCUUCGUUUACUAGGCAAAUAAUAUUGAAAAAUCGCGAUAAUUUAUUUUCUAGAUAUUCAAAUACUCUAGGAUCAAGUUUAACGGAGCUGAUUGACGGAUUUAAAAAGUCGCAACAUGAAAAACGAUCUGGAAGCACGGAAGGCUCCGUACUUCUAAAAGCAUAGUAGCCUCACUCAUAGGGAUGCAAACGGGCGGAUCCGGGGGCGGAAGAGUUCCCCCACCUCCGCUCCAUUUCUUAUCUGGCGGGGCGGAUUCGGGCGGGUUAUUUUUCAUUUAUUUUUGGCUCCACUUACCGCUUCAAUUCGCGGGCGGAUCGGGGCGGGAGCAGGCGGAGCGAAUUUUUAACGGAUCGGAGUAGAUUGAAGGCAAAAAAAAGCUCCCGCCUCCCACUCCAUUUACUUGGCGAAUCGGGGCGGAUUCGGGGGCGGGUUAUUUUUCUAUAUUUUGUUCCCACUUACCACCCAUUCGGGCUGAUCGGGCGGCGGAGCCUCCACAACGCCGGACCAUUUGCAUCCAUACUCACUCAUAUAUAUAUAAUAGAUAUAUAUAUAUAUAUAUAUAUAGAUAUAUAUAUAUAAUAUAUAUAUAUAUAUAUAUAUAUAAGAAUUAGGCUGGAAUACUAUUAAUAGUAAAACGUUCUUUUUGCUAUCAAGUUUUAAUCCUUGGAUGAAAAAUUGUAGGGUCAGGAUGAUAUUAGUCUGUUAGAGUUGAGUGGUCCCCUAGGGGUUGAUGGUCCCCAUUGGUUAAGUAUUUAACCAAUGGUUAAAAUAAUGAAAAAAGUUGAUUCAAGGCUAAAAAACUGGUAGAAUAAUAAUAAGAUUUUUGCUACUAAUAGUAGCCCCCAGUCCAACCCUCUCUCUCUCUUCUCUCAUCCUCUCUCCUCAUCUCUUCUCUCAUCUCUCUCUCUCUUCUCUCUCUAUAUAUAAUAUAUAUAUAUAUAUAUAUAUAUAUAUAUAUAUAUUAUAAUUGAGCUCCUAUGCAUUUUAAAAGUAUCAAGCCAUUGGUGCUUGUAAGUUUUCGGACCUUCGGAUUAAAAGAUGUGUGGUUAGGAUGAUGUGGCGCCCCUAGGUUGAGUGGGUGGUUGGUUGAAUAAUAUAAUCUAACGUUAAAAAUGAUCAACAGGUAUAGAUCUAACAGUAAAAAUUUACAAGCCCAAGUGUUUGGUACUUUUACAAGCACAUAACCGGACUAUAUAUUAUAUAUAUAUAUAUAUAUAAUAUAUACUAUAUAUAUAUAUAUAUCGGAGCUACUAUGCUAUCGGAGCACGGAGCCUUCCGUGUUUCCCAGCUCGUUUUCGAUGUUGCGACUUUCGAAUUGUCGAUCGGCUCCGUUAAAACUUGAUCUAGAGUAUUUGGAGUACUAUAAAGAAAUAAAUUUUAUUAUUUUACGAUAUCAUUUGCCUAAUGAUCAAAUAUUGGCUCAAAUCAACAAUUUCAAUGGCCGUAGUGAGCCGUUUGCAAGUUUAACUGUGUAGAAAUAUUCAAAUCACGUGAAAUUUUGAAAGAAAUUCUUUAUACUAUAUAAAACAAGUUAAUAUCUUGAUUUAAAAUUUUAAUGUCAUACUUAUUACAUUUUGUAAGAUUUUAUUUUCAACCGUUGAUUUUGAGCCCUUCCUUAACUAGGCAAAUGAUAUCGUAAAUCAUGAAAUUUAUUUUUAGGUAACUUCAAACACUCUAGAUCAGUUAACGGAGCCGUCGAUGAUUCGAAAGUCGCAACAUCGAAAACGAGCGGAAGCACGGAAGGCUCCGUGCUUCCGAUAGGCAUAGUAGCCUCACUAUAAUUAUUAUAUAUAUAAUAUAUAUAAUAUAAUAUACUAAUCAACGUUUAGUACUCUUAAUCCGGCUUAAAUAUUUUGAACGGUACUAGAACGGGAGUAUCUUAGGAUGGAUGACUCUCUGGAAAGUGGGGGCAUCACAAGUUUUAUAUUAUAUAAUUUAUACUAUAUAUAAAAACAUGUAGAAAAUCUUAUAAUGAUAGUCGAAAUAAAAAAAUAAAAAAAUAUUUUUUUGAUAUUUAAUCUCGGUAUUUAAUUAAAAAAUCUAAUUUAAGGAUAAGAUUAAAUAAUAAUGUUUAAAAAACAAGAUUAUCUACAUGUUUUUAUAUAUAGUAUAAAUUAUAUAAUAUNUCAAUAAUAUAUGCUAAUAUUUAAUUAUUAUAUUAAUUUUUUAUUGAUUGCAACUAAAAAUUAAAUUUGAAAUUUAAUUCCAAAUAUAUAUACAUAUAUUUAAAUUUUCAUCUCAUAUAACUUUAAUUUAUAUUUAUAAAAUUUUAACUAAAAUUAUUAAAAUAUAAUUAUUGUCGGAAACAACUAUAUAAAUUUGAAUUAGAAUAUAACUGAUAUUUUUUAAUAAAAUAUAGUAGAUAAAUUUAAAUUUUUUAUAUUUUUAUUAUAAAUUUUUAAAUAAAUAUAAUAAAUAAAUAUAUAUUAAUUUAAAGAAAAAACUUCAAAUACCACCUCUGUGGUUUCACACGUUCUCACUUUAUUAACUUGUAGUUUAAAAUAUAUCAAUUUAGUGUCCUGUGGUUUUAUUUUUUUCUUUUUAUUAUUGAUUUCAUUAAUUUUUUUCAUUAAAUCAGUGACAAACUUUAAAACUAAAUGAUAGUAAAGUGAAUAUUUGAUAAACUUAGGUAGGAUAUCUGAAAUUUUUUUGUAUAUAAUUUAAUAGAAUAUUAACGAAAAAAUUGAUGAAAAGAUAAAAAUAAAACCACAGGAUACUAACUUGAUAUACUUUAAAUCACAGAAUACUAAAGUGAGAAGCAAAACCAUAAAUAUGAUAUUUAAAGUUUAUUCUUAUUUAAAAUAAUAAUUAAAAUAAUUAUGACGUGUAUUGCCAAGUGCAGUAAUUAGUACAUACCAAUUUAGGUAUGCAUGAGUGUUGGGAAAGACUUUGUGUUCAAGGUGGAGCCAAGAGCAGUAAUAAAUAUGUAGUUAUCGCAGAAGCACCAUUAAUGGUCGCUGUUCACUGAUUAGUUGUUAUCACCGCCCCUUUUUUUCCGCGCCUCUGAGUAUCUUCUUCUCCGGCCAAUAAUGAGCUGUUUUUAGUACUUUUUUUUUACAUUUAGCUUCCUGAAAAAAAAAAUUUAUAAAUAGUUGCGUAAAAUUUAUAUUUAUAUGAUUGAUCCUAUCUCCACUACCUAAGCACCACACGAGCAUGAAUGGCAACGUAAGUUAAGUUAAACAUGAUUAAUCAUUCAUCGCGUUUGGACACGAUGAAUGAUUCACCAGGUUCUAUUAUUUUUCUACCAAAAUAUUAUUUAACAUUUAGGAAGGAUUCUGUGAACAAAUCACGCUCAUGUAGCAUUCACGUGACGCUUGCGUAGCGGGAAUAGGGUCAAACUUAUAAAUAUAAAUUUGGCUAAAUUACAUAAAACCUUCCUGUAAUAACUCGCUUUUUCACUUUUCCUCCCUGAUAUUUAAAAACCUACACUUUGCUCCCUUGUAAAAUAAAAAAUGUGCACUUCACCCCCUACCGUUAGGGUUCCGUUAUAAAAUAUUUUUUUAUACCGAAAAUACCCCUCCGCCCUCUUCCUUGUUGCUUCGCCUCCCUCUGGCUCGCUGCCUCGCCGCUGCCUCGCCGUCCUCCACUGCCUUACCCUCGCCCACAUCCCCUUCGCCCUCCUCCGCCGCCUCGCCUUCACCCUCAUUGCUCUUGUCUAUCUCUCCAUCAACACUCACCUCGAUUUCCUCUCUAUUAUCGUCGAAAUCGAGGGGCGGCGAGGGUGCAAGAGGAGAAGGGGAGCAGGUAGAGAAGGAAAUGGAGAGAAAUCGCGGCCGAUUGAGGUGGGAAUCGCGGCCGAUCGAAGGGGCGACUGAGGAAGAUGAGGAAGAAGACGAAAAUGGCGAGGGGCAAAAUAGUCAUUUUACACACCGUAACCCCUUGUGAACAUUUUUUAUUUUACAAGGGGGCAAAAUAUAGGUUUUUAAAUGUCAGGGAGAGAAAGUGAAAAAACGGAUUAUUACAGGAGGAUUUUUUGUAAUUUAGCCUAUAAAUUUUGUAGGACUGUUUAUGAAAUUUUUUUUUUUCUGAGGCGGCUAAAUUCAAAAAAAGCUCGAUUUUCUCAGAAAAAAAAAAAGAUUAUACACCUUUAUCAUGUCUCCUAAAUAUUCUCAGCAAAAAAAAAAAAANGUACACUUCAGUUCUGUUUGAAAAAAGAUUUUAUUAAUUUUAAAGGCGAUAUUUUAAGAUAAUAUAUUUUUAAGCUUUCAUAUCAAAAUUUUAAAAGAGAAUCUAAGCAUUUUUAGUAUCAAAUAAUUUUACCACGUCAUCACCCUUAACAUUCCAUCAAAAGAUAACGUAAUUUUCAAAUUAUUGUACCAAUUUGACACAAGAUUAAAAUAGAGGGUUGAUAUUGUUUAAACUUUUUUAUGCAGAAAGAUAUUUAAGACACAAAGUAAAGUGUGGGUGAGAUUUUUGUUUUUUAAUUAAGCUUUUUUUAUGUGACAGUUAUUUAUACAGAAAUAGUUAGUCUAGAAUAAAAAAUAUUUUUAAGAAUUGACAAGAUAUUGCGUAGUUGGCUAAAAAUUUGAUUGAUUUGUAUUACAGAUUUAAAGUUCCCGUUUAGUUUUAUUUUUAUUUUUAAUAAUAAAACAUCUGAAAUGAUGAGCAGUGAUGUGAUCUACACUAAUUAAAUUAACCAUCUAGAAUUCGAAUUUUCAUGAUUUUCAACAAUAUUUGCCGAUCAAUCUACUGAUCUCAAAUUCAUCUUAUAUAUAUUAGCAAUUAAGAAUAGUUUAUUUUGAGAUUUAAAUACUAGACAAAUGAUUUUUAAAAAUUAGUACAAAUCUAAUUAGUAAUAUCAUUCCCAAACAUAGAAAUAAACUCACACUUACAGGAGUGUUUUAGUUGUGCUUAUUAUUCUAAGCUGAUUAUAUUAUUUCAUGUGAAAUAUUAAGUGUCUAAUACUUAUUAAAAUUUGAAAUUAAAUUUACUUUUAUACUGUUGUGGUACGAGCAGUUUUAAUUGAAGUACUGGUUUUAUUAUUUCUCAAUAAAAUAACUAUGAUUGAACCACUCUCUCCCAAUUAAUUUAAAUAAUUGUUUUAUUGAUCACUCAAUUAAUAAUAAACUAAUUAAUAGAGUGUUACUACAACAAAAGCGGUCUAUAGCGAUACUUUUAAAUAUAGGUAUAUGUCAAAAAAGUGCUGCUAGCUAAAAUUACCGACACUUUUAAAAAGUGUUGCUAUAUGAGGGGUCGCUAGGUAUAUAGUGACAGUUAAAAAGUGUCGCUAUAACCUAAAAGAGUGCUGCUAAUUUACCAACACUUAUUUAAGUAUUUAGCAACUGCCGAAACUCUAUCUCAUUGGCUGCGGUGGCGGAGGAGGAUGACAGGAAAGGCUUUUCGUCUAGAAUUUCAGUGGAUUGAGUGAAGAAAGAAGAAAAGAUGGUAAUUGAUUUUUCUUUUUUUUUUCUUUUCUGUUUGUAAUCGGGUCAAAUGGACUGGGUGUGGUGGGUUGAGUAGAGUAAUCUUUUAUUUUUGGUUGGAUUGGGCUUUAUAUUUAGGCAUAAGCAGAUGUUUUUUUAAGUUUUAGCAUAAAUGGGACACUUACUCAGAAGUGUCCCAAACAAGUGUCCCUAUAACCUAAUUUUGUUGUAGUGUGUUGGGAAGAGCAUCUCCUCCCAACUAAGUUUCACAUUAAAAAAAUAUUUUUAAUUAGAUUAAUUUUUAGAUGAAAAUUAUUCUUUACUAUUAUCUAUUUGAUAGAAAAUUAAUGUUUUAAACUUAUAGUUAUUUUAUUUCAUUUAUUUAUUUUAUCAAAAAUUUUCAUACUAAUACAUAUACAUAUAUACAUCUAUACCUAUAUAUNACGAAGUUAGUUUCGAUAAUAAAUUUUCUAAAUCGAUUUCAUGCCAUUUAAGCAUAAUUAGAAUAUGUAAAUAUUAUAAAAAUCAAAUUUUAUAAUUUUUUUAAUAUCAUAUACCCUAUAAUCAAAUGGCCUCAGUAUUGAUAUGAUUACCGGCCAGUAUGAAUUGCUUUCUAAUUUUACAGUGAGUUUUUUAUAGAAAAUUUUAUGCACUAUCUAGAUCAAGAUCAAUAACUUUAAUUGAAUUAAAGAACACUAUCAUCUAUUUUUAGACUAUCAAUUUUUUACUAUUUAUUUUAUACUCAUUUUAACUCUAUAUCUUUAUUUUUAAUUUCUUAAUUAUAAAAUUUACUUGUAACUUUAUUUUUUAAAUAUUGUAACCGUUCCGCUUUAAAUAUUGAUGAGGUCAAUUAUGGGAGUAUAAAAGUAAAAAGAAAAAAAUACUUAUAUUCUUCUUUUUCUUUUUUAUGUCCCAUAUUUGUUUAUUUAUUCUAUAAAUUUUUACUAAAAAUUUUUAUCAACCACCUCGCGCGGUUCCUACACUAUAUACAUAAAAGGGUAAAAACAAGCGCUAGUAACUAUUUUUUUCUUUUUACUUUUAUACUCCCAUAAUUGACCUCAUCAAUAUUUAAAGCGGAACGGUUACAAUAUUUAAAAAAUAAAGUUACAAGUAAAUUUUAUAAUUAAGAAAUUAAAAAUAAAGAUAUAGAGUUAAAAUGAGUAUAAAAUAAAUAGUAAAAAAUUGAUAGUCUAAAAAUAGAUGAUAGUGUUCUUUAAUUCAAUUAAAGUUAUUGAUCUUGAUCUAGAUAGUGCAUAAAAUUUUCUAUAAAAAACUCACUGUAAAAUUAGAAAGCAAUUCAUACUGGCCGGUAAUCAUAUCAAUACUGAGGCCAUUUGAUUAUAGGGUAUAUGAUAUUAAAAAAAUUAUAAAAUUUGAUUUUUAUAAUAUUUACAUAUUCUAAUUAUGCUUAAAUGGCAUGAAAUCGAUUUAGAAAAUUUAUUAUCGAAACUAACUUCGUGAUCUUAUUCACAAAAAUAUAAUAACCUAGCAAUUAUAUUAUAUAUAUAUGGGAUAAUUGCCUAUAUACCCCUCAUAAUUUGAAAAUAUCUGAUUUACCCUUUUGUUCUUUCUAAAAUACUCCUCAUAUGUUCCACCGUUAUUGCAAAAUAUCCCCGCAAUUAUCUCCUGUUAAGUUAACUUGGGUUAAAUGUGAGUUAAAUAUCUACCACAGUUUAAAAAAAUUAAAAUGUCAAUUUUGCCCUUAACUUAACGGCAAAUAAGAAAUGUUGGUGACGGUAGAGGGGUAUAUUAGAAAAGACCAAAAGUCAAAAUACUUUUUGUGCCCCUAACUUUAAGGACAAAUAAGAAAGUCAGUGAUGGUGAAAGGAUAUAUUUGAAAGAGCAAAAUAAUAAUUUUAUAGAGAUAAGAGAGUUCAUUAACUGAUUUUAACUCUAGGAUAUAUUAGAAAUAGGUUGGAACAUAGAAAAGGUAUUUUCAAUAUUAGCCUUCUAAGAGGGGUAAAUCAGAAAGUCGAAAACUUUGAGAAAGAGAGAGAGAGAGAGAGAGGGGGGGGGUCUUGUGUGCUAUUAAUUAGGAGCACGGAAGCCUCUGGGCUCCUAAGCCGUUUUUUAUUAUGUUACUUUCAAAUUGAUGAUCGGAUCCGUUAGACUUGACUUCACAUAUUUGAACUAUUUAGAAAAUAAAUUUUACAAUUUUUCUAUAUUAUUUACCUAGUGGUCAAAAAAACUCAAAAUUAACAGUUGAAAAUAAUAAUCUCAUAAAAAAUGUUGCACCAAAAUUUUCGAUUAGAGAUAUUGAUCUUAUUGUAAGUAGUAUAAAAAAAUUUCUAUUAGAAUUUUGUCUGAUUUGAAUACUUCUACACUAUUAAACCUACAAACUGCAUGUAUCAAUCAUUAAAAAUUAUUGUUUUUGAAUCAUUUUAAUUAUUAGAUAAAUGAUAUUGAAAAAUCACAAAAAUUAAUUUUUAAAUACUUCAAAUAUGCUAAAUCAAGUCUAACGAAGUCGAUCAUCGAUUUAAAAGUCUUAUCAUCGAAAAUGACUUACGCUACUUCGGUUUCUAGGUAAAUGAUAUAAAAAAAUUACGAAAUUUAUUUUUUAAAUACUUCUAAUACUCCAGAUCAAAUAUAAUUGAUUUGAUCGUCGAUUCGAAAGCUCCAGCAUCAAAAAUAACUCAAUGGUAUAGAGGUCACCGUGCUUCUAAAAACAGACAAAUAGGACUCUCUCUCUUUCCAUAUAUUUAUAUAUUUAUUUAUUUGUUUAUUAUUUAAUGAUUCAAAACGAAUUAACUUUAGGCAAACGUCCCCUGUGACUUAACACGCGCACGGUAAAGUUAGCACGUACGUAAUUAAGAUAGGCCGUGCGCGAGUUAAUAAGUGGGACCCGUCUCGCGUGGAAAACUCCAAGGCGACACGUGGCCUCUCGGGUGCUCAUUGGGUGCAUUAAAAAAAAAAAUUAAAGGUUUUGAUUUAUUGCCUUUUUUUUACUUAAAAUAAUUAUUCAAAUAUUUUAUAAUUUUUUUUUGGUAAAAUUUGUUACGUGCAUGUGCGUCGAGAAUAUUCCAAAUCAAUCAAAGAAAAAAAAAAUGAGACUUCUUAAAUUGCCAUAGAAUCUCAGAAUUUAAUUUUGAUUAUUUUUUACUAGUCUCCAACAAUGAAAAAUAAUGAUCUAUAGCGUACGUAGAUGGAACGUGACUAUUUCAACACAAAAAUUAAUCAGAGGUGUAACAAGAAAAAUGAAAAUAAAAAUAAUAAAAAAUUAAAGAGGUACGGUUAAAGUAUCUGAAUACAAAAGAAUAAAAAAACAUACCACAUUAAAGACAUCUUAAAAUUAUUUCUAAAAAAAUUAUAAUAUUUAAUAAUGAGAAGUGUGAUUAAUACAUAAAACAAAAUAUUAUAUUCUAUCUUCCAGUUUCUUUUUUCUAAAAAGAUAAAUUAUAAAAAGCCUCCUCAUACUUUCGUCCCUGCCUCACUCAAUUAUCCUCGUGCAUUAAAAAUUACAUUAAUUAUUAUCCUCAUUUUAUCAUCUUCUCAAAUAGAAUUAAAAAUUAAGAAAAAGGCGAAUCGCAUUAUAAAACUUCAUAUGGUAUAUAGAUUAUUCGGCAUCUCAAUAUAUUUUUAAUUUGCAAUUCAGUAAAAUUUAAAAAGAAUUAGAUAAAGAAGAUCUUUACUAAAUACAAUUAAAAUUAAUUAAUUUAUUAAGCAAUCUAUUCAAUUUAUAUGAUUUUAUUACAUUACUUAUAGAUAAUUUUAUUUAUAAUUUUUUCUUAUAAACUUUUAUAGGUGAUCGAAUUCAAUAUUGAUUUCAAAUUGCUGGAACUAUUUGAGAUAAUGACAAAGUAUAGAGAGUUAAUUGAUAUAAUUUUUUAUGUCUAAGUUAAUUGAGAGUUGAGACAAUCGUUUUUAAGUUUUGGAGGGCUUUUAAUUUGUAAAUUAGCCUUGUAAAGAUAUGAUAAUUAAAUUUCCACUAAUGUACAAUACGUACACUAUUCUAAUUAGUAAUCAUAUAUAGAUGUCAAAAUCUUUUAUCGCAUUAAAAUUAAAAUUUUGUUCUCCAUUUUACAAACAAUUUUCAUACCAAAUAAAUAAUUAUUACGUAAUUUAUUUUGGCAUUCAAAUAGAAUCUUAAUUGUUAUUGUAUUAAUUCAUCAAUGUUUAUCUCUGUCUAUACCAUUUUUGUGCAAAAUCUGUGCUUGGAAAAUUCAUGCAUGUGAGACUGAAAAAGAAAGUCUUGCUCCACUUAUUUGUAUCACACAAACGAAUAGCACUUGCAUGCAAAAAUUUUUUGUGGAUCUUGAAGUCCAGCUGUCAAUCCAAAGGUGAAGUCCAUCUUGACCAUUAGAUCAGUUAAUGGAUGACAAAAAUCUCUGUAAGUUCGGACACUACCUGAUGCAGUUGGCUGCGAACUUAAUAGUUAAGGUUAAUUGCAUACACCUUUCUGUAAAUAUAUCGAAUAGUAGAUAAAUUCUUACAAAUAUUGGUAGAAAGGACAACUUGUGAUGGUAGAAAGGAUAAUACAUCCCUUUUAUAUUAUUUGUAAUGGCAGAAAGGAAUAAAAUAAACGUUGGAGAUUUUUGAAAGGAUACUUCCGCAUGAUUCUUGAGGCUUUUGGAGAGAUAUACUUGUGAUGGCAAAACUAUCAUUUCACUUAUCUUCUGUUAAAAAAUAAAUAAUGUCUAAUAAUAACAAAUCAGAGUAAUAUGAAUAUUACUGAACUUUUAUAGAAAUAAAUAUGAAAAGUUAAACUUUAUAUAAAAAUAUAUUUACUAUUCGAUAUUGUCACGCCCCGGAUUACACUUUCCCCGGGCGCGCCGACAAAUCCGCCGUAUACAAAGAAAUUUUUCCUGUAUACGAAGCGAUAGCUGUACCUGUAAAUCAAACGCUACUACGAACAGUAGUAGAGAGCUGCUAGAGAAAACAGAAGCUAAACAAACUGAGUUUCAUAUACAUAGUCCAAAUCCAAAAUACAAAGCUACUCGCACUGGCGAGUUAGGUCCACUAUGUACAUAAACUCGAAACAAAACAUCUACCUGCAGUAGGGGCACCUCUAGCUCAGCACGUCGGGUAGGGCUCUAACUCGCGACGCCCUUGCCUCGAUCCUGAUCGCAGACGGUGCCGCAGCCGGACCUGGUGCUCUGGCAAAACAUAGGUAAACAACUGGGCGAGAUGAAAACUACUGUAAAACAAGUGUCCUCAGUGGCGGUACCGCCAAGAAACAACAUCGGUUCCACCCCACUAAAGUAUCUACGACAGAGCAAGAUAGUAGGAAAAGCAAGAAGUACUCGUCUAAACCGCUAUCAAUCCACUACAUAUCAUUGCUCUAGCACUAACCAAACUGUAGAAUUAGUCAAGUCUGACCCAAUCUAAAUCGGAACUGUAAGAUACCCGUCCCAAAGGGACUGCUGAAUACACCCGUCCCUGCCCGUACGACAUCGGGCUCUAUCCACUUAACUAGCGUAGAGAGCAGUCCAACUGCUCAUGAGCGACACCACGCAAAAGCACAAGCCUGACAUCCGGAGUGACACUCGUGGGCGCUAACCCAACGAUGUAUGCAGCGUAUCUCUGUCGAGCUCAAUCAGACUCCAAUAGCCAAGUCACGUAAUAUCGACUCAAAUGGUCUACACCAACAGGUAAAGUGCCCUCGCACACAAUCUGAGCCAAAAAAGGUGAUACGGGUCCACCGUCACACUCUGACGGCACCCAACAGUCCCGAAACGACCUGAACGACCCUGUAAAAAUUCACAUGCGCGACCCAGCACGAGUGUAAAUACAUUCUAAACUACGCUGGAGUAUCGUCUCGAAGAAACUGCGACAUACAAUUUUCUAACGGCUCCUAGAGCUAAAUCAGGUAGUUAACGGGUGACAGGUCCAAAUCGCAGGUUUUCUUCCUAAUUCAAUUUCCAAGUCCCAACAUUUAUAAUCUAUUUACUUGAUAAAAUAUGCUCGAAAAUUCAGAUUUUACAUUCUAAAGAAAUACAUGAAUUUUGCGCUAAACUUUAAUUACCGAAAUCAAGAUCUAUACAUGUCGACCAAUAAGAACUUAGGAGUAAAGCCGAUGUAACCCGCCUCGAAAGCUAUCCCCUGGCAGCGAACGAAGCCUCGAACCAGGACACCCUCUGCUGGAUCAACUAGGGACCUCCAAGUCCGGUGGACGAGCUAACGCCAAGCUAAACAAUUCAGGAUUCUCAAUUCAGUCCAGAAAUUCACAGCAGCUGAGUAGAAACGGGAUUCGACCGAGCUAACCUUCACCAAAUCUGGCAAAUGAGGGCUUCGUGGAUUCCUCUCGAAGUCCCGAAUCCAACGAACCAAGCCUCGUCGCGAUCCGACGCUUCUACGUCGAGAACAAGCCAAAAUACAAACAGUCGACGGUGAAAUUCUGCGAAAACAACACUUAAGCUCAAAUUUGACGAUACUCAAAGUAUGCGCAGCAAUUCCAUGGUGCAAUUACCUCGCUAGAUCCUCAAGGGUCGGUGCCACGUCGAGGACGACGGAAAACCACGCUCGCCCGAGCUCCUCACAGCACCACGACGACAAAACGUGUGCCUGAACGGCUCCGCGGCACCACGUCGGCGACGAAACUCCACCCGAGCUCCUUCCCUGCUUACAACCGGAUGGGAGAGUGAGAGAGAUAGAGAAUUACAGCAAGAAAGUCUCUCUCUCUCCCUCCCUACACGAAACUAUAUAGAGGGGAGUGAGGGAGAUACAAACGAGGCAAGGUAAAAAUACUAAAAAGCCCCUCACCUACUCUGGUGUACCGGUACACGGGAUCGCGUACCGGUACAGGAAGCUAACCCGAGAGCAGUACGCACUCAGCCAGUAUAGCGUACCGGUACAUCUCGCUGGCUGUACCGGUACAGCCAGCAGGAAAAUCUGCCAUUUUGCAUAUUUCUUCGCUGAAGGCUGCUCUCGCGUCCCACGGAGUCCGUUUUACGUCUAUUUGACGCCAACGCGACUCGGGCUUGUCCCGACACUCUCCAGAGCUGUCGACAAGCCUCCACAGUCAAACACUAGGGAUCUCACAGAUAUAUUUACAAGAAACUGUAUAAGAUUGAAUGAGCCACUCGGACCUUCUAUUUCCGCCAAAUGUAAUGCUAAUAGUUAUAUCUGAGAUUCCGAGUUCGAUCAAAACCUAAUUAGUUUACAUUUCUGGCGGAACCUGGUAGCUUACAACAUUCCAAUCUUAAAAAAAAUCGAGAUAAAAAAAACCCUCCACAUUCAUGUAGACGAUUUAAAUCAUGGGGGCCUCAAUUUUUUUUUUUUUUGCUCAUUUAGACUAUGUUUAGAUGUUGGAAUAAAAUAUGCAAUAAUAAUUUAUUUACUAUGAUAGCUUUCUUGUAUGAUUAAAAGUUGGUUAGAAAUUUGAAUUUUGAUUCUUAAAAAGUCUUGGCAACAAUAUCUAGUGAAAUAAUUAUCUUAUCUACAAGAUAAUUUAUCUUAUUUAAAAAAAUUAACUUGAAGAUAAAAUAUGAUAUUUAUUUAGAUAGUUAAGUAUACUCUUCAUCACCAAACGCGAUAUGCUUUUUGAGAAAAUCAUACAAUAUUUUAUAUAUAUAUAUAUAUAUAUAUAUAUAUAUAUAUAUAUUUAUUUAUGUUCCUCUAUCAUUAUACCUCAUAAAAUUUGUUAUAUGACAAUUCCUUCUUUAUUCUUGCCUUUUCUUUCUUUUUCAUUUCCUCUUAUGCUUCGCCCUCCCACCUUUCCACCCACCCACUUUUUAAUUAAUUUAUUUUAUUAUUGUCUCUUUUUUAAUUUUUUUUAUUUAAUCCAAAUGCUUUAGGCUUAGUUUGGUAUUGAGAUAUGCUUCUGAGUUUUUCGGUGGGACCGCAGAAAAUAUAUCAUAACCGACUCAAUGUGAUAUACGGAACGCUAUAUUACAUACAGAAAUAAACAUGAUAUUUUUUUAAAAGUAUUUUCUCACCGCGCACGUAACACAAUCUCUCUCCAAACGAAGGCUUAUUAUUAUAACAACCAUGCAUUGCCCAUCCCAUCUUUUUUUAAAAAAAAAAAAAUUUCUAAAUAAUCAUGGCCGUUAUUCUUCCAUAACUCACAAUCACCCCAAAUUAGGGCGCAUGAAAGCAGUUGAAUUUUGGUGCUUCACGUUCCGUUAUUUCCUUUUUUUUAUAUAUAUAUAUAUUUAUGUGCAUUCACACACACGUAUACACGCAUGGGUCUAAGCAAGCACAAAAAAGGAAACGGUGAUGAAACUAAAAAAUAAAAUAAAAUAAUAUUUAGUAUAUUAUUCAAAAUUUCAAAAAUAAUUUAUAUAAUAUUUCUAAUUGAUCGGAAAUUAAUAGUAAUCAUCUAACUUGAUAGAAAAGUAGGAAGAACUAUAGUAGAUUAGUAAAAUUCGAAUUAUUACUAAAAUUUAAAUUAGUUUAUAAUUUUACAUCAUAUCGAUUAAUAAUCAGAAAAAUUAUUUUGUAAUAAUAUAUAGUUAUUAUAAGCAUAAAUGCACUUUUGAAAAUGAAAACAUCUUAGAUAUAGAGAGUAAGUCUUCCUUGUUUUCGAAAGUACAGAGGCUUUCGUAUUUGUAAGUUAUUUUUUAUGAUAAAACAUUCGGUUUGACGUAUGGUUCUAUUAGGCAUAAUCUACGCUAUUGGAAUUAUCUAGAAACCAAAUUUCAUAAUUUUUUGAAAUCAUUUAUCAGGUGAUCAAAAGGUUUUAAAAAUAACUAUUUUAAUAGUCGAUAUGGUACAUUUUUAAGUUCAACGGUAUAAAACAAUCCAAAUUACAUGAAAUUUGAUAGAAAAUUCUAUUUAACAUUAAUAGUAAGAUCAAUACAUCUGAUUUAAAAUUUGAGUCUUUUAUCAUUAUUUUUUAUAAAUUUUUAUUUUCAGUCGUUUAUUUAUAGACUAUUCGUUCUAGACAAGUAAAAUCAUUGAUUUCUAUAUAGUUUCAAUAGCGUAAAUCAUGUCUAACGAACUCAAUCGCCGAAUCGGAUAUCGAAUCAUUGAAAACAAAUUAUAAGUACGAAAGCCUCGGUGUUUUCGAAAGCAUAAGAGUCUACCUCUAGAUACAGAUAUAUUCGAAAAGUAAUUAGUGGGACCUAACUUAUAUGUAAUGUCAUGGACACAUAACAAAAACGCAAUUAUUAUAUUUUGGACACGCCAUUGCAAGGUUGGCCCAAUUGAUCAAUAAUAUGUGAUUGGGACUCAACAGAUCCCUCGUGAUAGAUCUCUCUCGGCUAAAUAAGUUAAAGCCAAAAACUUGAGGAAUGAGGAGCUUGUCGCGCCUCCGUAACAUACGACGCAUGAGCCCCAUUUCAAUAACACUCUCUCUCUCUCUUCUCUCUCUCUCUCCUCGGGAAUGAAACUUUAUUAGGAGCUUUCUAAUAAGGCAUCGUUGAAAAGCUUUCAUUAAGCUAUUUCGUAUUUAAUUUUAUCUUCAUCUAAUAAUUUAUCGAGUAUAUUUUAACACCAAAAUUUUUAAAAAAGUUUAAAAUUCUAAAAAAAAGAAUAAUAAUUCCUGGAUAGAUGAAAAAAAUGACAUGUGAUAAAUUGAUAAUAGAUAAGAACUUCUUAAGACCUUAACGAGACAUUGUUGGGGAGCCACCUCAUUGAAGUUUCUCCCCCGGGGUUAGCAUGUAUUUUUGAAGAGCAUAAAACAUCAGUAGAGAGCUCUCUAAUGAUAUCUCGUUAUAGAGAUCCCGAUUCGCUGUUAUGUAUUAGUUUUGUCUUCAUCCAAUAAUUCGUUGAUUAUUUUUAAUAUUAAAUUAAUUGAAAAAAAAAAUUUAAAUCCUAGAAGAAAAGGAUUACAAUUUUUGGAUAGAAAUAAAAGUGAAACGUGAGAACAAAUUGGCACUCUUUAACGAGACGUUGUUGGGGAGCUCCUGAUUGAAGUUUUCCCGCUUGUGUUAGCAUGCAUUUGGAAGAGAAUAAAAAUUAAGUGGGGAUCACUCUAACGACACUUCAUUGGAGAACCCCUCAAUAUGCUUGUCACGUAUUAGGUUUGCAUUCAUCCAAUAAUUCGCCGAGUGUCCUUUUAAUGUUAAAAUCUACAGAGAAGGAUUAUUAUUCUCCAAUAGAGAUAAAAAUAACACACGGUAAUAGAUUAGGACCGCGUAACGAAGCGUCGGCAGGAAGCUGGCCACUCAAAGUUUGCCUACUUUUGAGGGGCCAAAUUCUGUACAAUUUGCACUUUAUUUAUCACAAACAAAAAUUUGCAGUUGCAAGUUUGAAUCAAAUCAGGAGUCGGGUAAUUAUGUGUCUAAAAAUGCCAGCUAUAAGGUCGAAAGUUUGAGAUUUUGUAUAAGUUUAAAUUUGAAAAUCAUGACCCCAACCUCAUGUUGACAUGAGUAUUUGAAAAGAAGUGUUGAAGUAAUGGAGCCUAUCAACUCAAUUAAAAAAAAAAAAAAAAACGUAAAAACGUAUAGAAUUUAUCAAAAUUAUGGAAGCAAUUGUCCAAUCUUUUAAAAUUUUGAUUUUACUAUUCCACUUUUCAAGUUAUUUGAUUUAAGUGAGUCAAUAAUAUUUUGACUUUAAAAAUUACGUUAGUUACUUUAAAAAAUUUAUAAUUACAAAAAUUGCAUGAAAUAUGCUAACUACUUAAAUCCGUUUCUUUUGUUCGGCUAAUAAAAGCCUAGCGUUGAGCUGCUCAUUAGGAGUUUCUCUACAGUAUAAAAUUGCUCAAGUUUGAUUUGUCCAAUAUUGUUAGAAAGACACUAAAAGUUUAAAAUUAAAAUACUGUUGAAUGACCCAAGUUAAAUAAGUUGAAAUAUUAUAUAAUAAAAUUAAAAUUUUGAAAAUUUGAAUAGUCAACUAUGAAUGGUUUAUUGGUUAAAUAAAUUUUAUAUAUUUUUACCGAAGAUAAAAAAAGUUGAAGUUGUGAGCAAACCAAGAACUGAAGCUAGAUAUAAAAAAUUAACAAAUUGAUUUGAAGCGCAUCCAUUUGUUUGGAAGUCCCCAAUUUAACGCUGUAGAAAUAUUGCCUUGAUACUAGAUCUAAUUUUUUAAAAUUGAAUAAAAGUUUAAUUAGUAACUAAGAUAAUAUAUAAUUUAUUAAGAUCCAAGACUAACUUUAAUACUAUAUUAUUUAAAAAAUUAAUCUAAUAAAGUACGAUUAAAAAAUAAGCUUAAUAUUAUUUUAUUCUUUAAACUCUCCUUUUCAGAGUGCGAUAGUACGUACACACAGAAAACAUCUUCUUUUUGUAUUAGAAAUUGCUUUCUAUUGAUUUAUAGAAAACUCCAAAAUCACAUCAUUGUCGAAUCUGAAUUUGAACUCGGAACCAUAUUUUAAAAUUUAGCUCAAUAUAAUUCACAUAAAUUAAUUACACCAAUUUUACUUUAUAGCAACCGUGCUUGGUGAGCUUAAUAAGUUAUUAAGACAAAUCCUUUGGCGAUAAUUAAACAUCAAAUCCAAGUUACUAAAUUAAUCAGCAUUUUGAUGGUGACAAUAAUGUCGACUCCUAUGUAGAUCUACUCGACAAAAUAUUAUAAUAAUCUAAAUUAUUUUUUUUUUAAUAAACAUUAUAAAUUUUAUUUAUUUAGUUUUUUCCCAACACAUCGCUAUUCCACGCUGUACGCUGAUAGUGAUUUUGUGGGAAAGCUCAGUCACACUUUCGAGUAAGGAAUCGGUAAUCGGUAAUAAAAGCUAACCCGUUUUACCGCCACGUGUCCUGUUCCAGGAGGGACGGGACAUACGGGGGUGACCGGCCGUACGCUUCCCGUAGGCGGUAACCGGUGAGCGCAUCACUGGUUUGCGUGAAACGAAAAAAGAAAAAAAUAAAAACGAAAAAAAGAAGGUUCUGUAGCGAAGGUGUAAUAGUGCUCUCUCUCUCUCUCUCUCUCUCUCUCUCCUCUUUCUCCUCGUCGUCCCGGUGACGAUAAAUAAGGCCCAAAAGAGCGGUGUCGAAUCCUAACCCUAACCCUAACCCUAAUUCGCCAUUAAUGUGUUUUCCUGUGAGCUCGGGGGGGCCGUUUCCAGUUUCCCUAUCCUCCGAUUUCCGCUUCCCGACAAGCGAUUUAAGGCAACUGGAAUCUCUGAGCGGCGAAAUUUAUGUAGCCUAUUAAAGCACCGAACCCCUUCUCCCUCUACCCCAAACCCUAGGCCGUGAAUCGCGCCUCGAUAGAGGGGGAAAAACCCUUCCUUGUUUUUCGAUCCCCUCCUCUCCCCCAUUUCGCGCUCUCGGUGGGAUUCGAAGGGGGUUGGUGGGGAGUUUCUCGGAGGGCGAUGCUCACGUGCAUUGCGUGCUCGAAGCAGCUCGGCGGGGGGUCGCUCCGCGACGACCCCCCGGAGGACGACGACGCCGCGACGCCGAGCACGCGGCAGGCCAUUAAAGCCCUAACCGCGCAGGUGCGUUGGUGUUAAGCUAGGGUUAGGGUUUCUUCGUUUUUAGGAUCUCUACCUAGGGUUUUCAUUACUGAGAGGUGGAUUUUUCGCUUUGGGAUCAGAUCAAAGACAUGGCGUUAAAGGCGUCGGGAGCGUACCGGCACUGUAAACCCUGCGCGGGAUCGGCGACGGCGCGCCACCACCACCACCAUAGGUACGCGGAUUCGGAGGCGGCGUCGGGGUCCGAGCGGUUCCACUACGCGUACCGCCGCGCGGGGGGCGGGAGCGCGAGCGCGGGGUCGAGCGCGGCUGAGGGGCGCCGCCGCCGCCGCCGCCGCGGCGGCCGCGCUCUCGAGCGGCGACGCGACGCCGUCGAUGAGCGGCCGCACCGACUCCGAGUCCGCCGCGGGGCGGCGGCGGCGCGGCGUUCAUGGCGGCGGCGGAGGCGGCGGCGGCGGCGGAGGAGGAGGAGGAGGAGGCGAAGGAGUGGGUGGCGCAGGUGGAGCCCGGGGUCCUCAUCACCUUCGUCUCCCUCGCCCAUGGUGGGAACGAUCUCAAACGGAUCCGUUUCAGGUACUUAGGGUUUUCUUUUAUUGCUGAUUUUAUUUUUAUUAUUAUAAUAUAAUCCCGUCCCAUCUCAUCUCUCUCCCUCCAUGGAUUCGUUUCAUCUCCCUCGACCCGAUCCGGUCACCGCCGCACCCGCCGUAGCUUCCGAAUCCGGAUCCCAAAUGUUCGCUUAAAUUUGACCCCAAAUUUGAAUCCAAAUUUUGUGAAUUUGAAUUUCGUGAUCCGGUUUCAUCGAAAUUUGAAAAUUUUUAGUUCUCGAUUUUGUUUUUGUUUUUUUUUGUUUGGCUUUCUCUUUAUAAUCGGUAAAAGUCGAAUGAGACGAAAUUUUCUCUUUUUUCUUGGGGUGCUUUUUUUUUCUUUUUCUUUUUCUUUUUUUUUUUUCCUUUUUUGCUUUUACUUUGCUUGGAUGGGAAGUUUAAAAAGAGGACGUGGGGGAGAUGGUUUCAAAAAAGCAGUCAACAAAACAAGAAGGCCCACAUUUCUCUUUUAUGACACAUUUUUCCCAUUUCAAAUUCUAAAUAAAUUUCUUGCUACAAAAUUUUUGGUUGAAAUAUAUUCAUGCUCCCUCAACUUAAUUGAUAAAAAUUAGAUUAAGUAACAAUUAAUAACUAACAAAGCGAGCACAUUUGAUAAAAUUGCAAAUAAAAAUAAGCCAAAAAAAAAGUUGCGGGGGCGAGGUCAGAACGUGCUAGAGUUGAGGGUUCUCCAUACAUUUUUGUGUAAAAGUUUGAGAGUAAAUAUAUAAUAUUUGUUGCUCUCAUGAGAUUGUCGACCAAGUUGGGGCUUCUAAAUUUGAGAAUCCCUGCACGGAUCUCGAGCCACAUGUAGCAGCUCGUUGUGAUCCAUGCGCAAAUCUGGUUGGCCUUUCUAGGAAUUUUCGAAACUCGGAAGGGGUAAUCCGAAUUUUUUUUUUUAACUUAAUAAAAGAAUAAAAUGCAAAGUUUUUAUUGUUAUUAGCAUAUUAUUAUCAUCAUUAAUUAUUUUGAACAUUUCUGUGAAUCUUCUCAGAUGAAGUUACUUUUUCCAGUUUCUCUAUUUGUCCUUAGCCUACUUGUCCGCUAAUAAAAUUCGUGCUUUGGCUCCACUGGCCCAAUGCCCCCUCUUGCUUGUGUGGCGACAAAACGCAAACCUUUUCCUCCAUGUGGGAGUAAUUUUUUUUUUUCUUAAAGAAAAAGUAUAAAUGUAUGGAUAGAUCCCUUUUCAUUUUAAUUCUGCAAACUUGAUCCACAUAUUUUUUUCAUUUUUUUAAUUUGGGAAAUAUCCAGGGUCUCUUCAAUGUCACCUCUCUCUCUAUGUCUAUGUGGAGAGAGAAUUUUAAUUAGUUUAUGCACGUAUUUUAAUGUGUCAUGUGAAUUUGAUAUUGUAUCAACAACAUAUAGUGGGAGCAUUGUUUGGGAUUUGCUACAUUUUUUUUUUUUUUAAGUCUUUACUAUUUUCUUGUGAAAUAAUACAUGCAAGAAUUUUGGAAUUACACAAAGGACCAAAUCACAAUAUCAGCUACUACAAAUAUUAUUCACACAUUUUACCCUGACAGAGAGAGAGAGGGAGAGAGAGAGUGAGGGAAUAGAACAUGCAAGUGGUAUCUACUUCAUUAUAAAAUCCAAAUCAGAAUAUAAGGUAAUGGUGUUUACAAAAGUUGUUCAAGAUGGGUAUGCAUGUAGGGUCACCAUCUCCCAUCUGCCCACUAUGGAUAAGGCAUUAUUAAAAGCUGUGGGAAUGAGCAUGAGCUCCUCCUCUCCCCCCAGGGCUACUUUAAUUCUGCUGCUAGUGACAGUCCCAGUAGUGCCUGGAUUAACAGAUGAGCUGUUCGAUUCUUCUGGCCUGUUACAGUGUUGAAUCAGCUCAGCAUCACUUAAUGGCUUGGAUUUUUUUUUUUAUUAGGAAAUUUUUUAUGCCUUUCUGGAUCCUACAUUAUGCUUUAGUGGUGUUGCAUGCAGAAGGGAUACACAAAUGUAGGGAUCAGACAAUACAUGUGUUGUAUAACUCAACAUAACAUAAACUAUACAGAUGCAUUUAUUCUGGGACCAAUAUAAAAAAUAUAAAGGGACACCCUCAAGUACAGGCCACUUUGCAGUAGGUCCCUAAACCCUAAACCCUAAACCCUAAACCCUAAACCCUAAAUUAAUAUAUAUUUAGGUCACUCAUCGCCAACAAUUAAAUUUGGGAUUCUGUUAAAUCCAAAUGCAUUUGCUGUGCGAUUAGUAUUAUUUUAUUUAUUCCUUGGGUUUUAGAAUUCAAAAGAAUCAUCUGUAUGCUCUGGGAUUUUGGUGUUGGGAGAUCAGUUUUUGGAUUUAGGUAUCUUUCGUGCUGUCUUUGUAUUCUAUUAUAUUUAUGGUGCUUGGGAGAGGAAUUAAAAGCUGAAUUUAUCAUCGAAAUGGUGCCUAAAUUUGUCACUAGGGACUAGGGAGUGGAGGUUUGUGUGGAAUAAAAUGUGCAUCUUUGGAGCACACACAGAAAAAGAAAAGAAAAAGAAAAAGAUUAAUUCUGAUGAGUCAAUUCUGGAUCUAGAAAAACCCUAAUAAGCUGAUAGCAGAUGCCAUGGUAUAGAAUUAUGCAACUGUACAAUAUAUCUCCACAAGGAUGCCUGCAUGCUUAGGCAAAAUUAAACUUCCAUAUGCAUAUCUAGAAACUUUAGGUGUUAUCUUUAUUGGUUAAUAAUUUGCAGACUGAUUAUUUGAUUUAUUAUUUUACUAUUAAAGCAUAAUGUUGAAUGUAAAUAUUAAAUCACCAUUCCCUGUAAGCUUACAAGUCCGGCCAGGCUUCUAAUGUUAUUUAAUUUCCUCCCAUUUAAUUCAAGUCCGUGUCUUGGGCUUAUUAAAAAGUCUCGAGUACAGACAUGAGGAAGAGUGUUGAAUAUCAAUAUUAAAAAUACUAUCCUUUGUAAGCUUUAAGUUUUUGCAGAAUAACGGUUGUCUCGUAUUCUUUUGAAAAGCUAGUUAUGUGGUGAUAGUCGUGCUGCUCUUGUCGUUAUAGUGAAGGUUUCUCUUGAUAUAGUUAGGCUCCGAAUAUUGGAAGAUCUUGGGUUGAAAUCAUGAUUGAAACAAUACCUGUUGGAACUAUGAGUUGAGAACUCUGAGAAUCGCUUAUGAAAGGCUGAUUGAAUUUUCACCAGAUCUAAUAAAGUUCAUAGAAGAAUCAGAGUAACUGACUCUUCACUUCUUUUUUUGGAUUCUAGAGUCCAUUUAAAUGUAAUGUGCACUUUUUGAUUUAUUGUUCGUCGGCCAAAAUGGUGUGUGAUAGCCGAGAGAUGUUCAAUAAGUGGCAAGCUCAACGCUGGUGGGCCGAGAACUACGACAAGGUCAUGGAGCUCUACAAUGUUCAGAGGUUCAACCGUCAGGCCGUCCCCCUACCCACACCUCCCAGAUCGGAAGAUGAGGUAAGCCAAAUCUCACCCAAUAUUCUCAUUCAGACUUUUUUUCAUAUUAAUCGAUACACACUCUCAAAUCCUUCAACAUCUUUUCGUGGCCUUGAAUUUCUUCUGAAAGAGCUCCAAAGAGGACAGCCCUGUGACUCCUCCACUAGGGAAAGAGCGGUUACCUCGCAACUUCCAGCGGCCGGUAACGGGUGGUGGAGGGAUGGGAUACUCAUCAUCGGAUUCGUUCGAGCAUCACUCAAGUCACCAUGGUAAUGUGGAAAAGGUGAUACUGGUAAGAGCUAAAGCUGUUACAAAAUGACAAUAUUAACAUUUAUAUUCAACAGGUAACGGCAAUCACCAUCAACACCACCACCACCACCACGGCCACGGCCGCCACUAUAAUGAUUCAUGUGGCCUAGCGUCCACCCCAAAGUUGUCGAGCAUCAGCGGGGCGAAGACAGAGACAUCAUCGGUAGAUGCGUCAUUGAGGACCAGCUCCUCCCAUGAUGAGGCAGAUCGGUCUGGUGAACUCUCGGUGUCAGUCAGCAAUGCAAGCGACCAAGAGAGGGAAUGGGUGGAGGAGGAUGAGCCUGGGGUCUACAUCACGAUCAGGGCUUUGCCUGGUGGCAUGAGGGAGCUCCGCCGAGUCCGAUUCAGGUUAGUGUUACUUGCGCGGGCCCGGUGAAAUUUGUUCUGUAGAGUAGAUUUGUUGCCUCCACCUCCUCGUAGAUUCACCAUUCUAUAGGUUCAUUGUAAGGCUAACUUUUUUAUUUUCACUAAUAAGGCUAACCCUUGUUUUAAAUGCCUCCUGGCAUGCAGUCGAGAGAGGUUCAGUGAGAUGCACGCAAGGCUGUGGUGGGAAGAAAACCGUGCAAGAAUACAUGAACAAUAUCUCUGAGAAGAUGGAGAACAGUUGAUGAGCACCUGUUUCUUUGAAAAGGUCGACGCCGGCUGUGUCCCAGGAUGAAAAGUGCUUCUUUCUUCUUCGUUUUCGUAUAAGCAAAUAUAUUUCUACAUCGAGUACUAACAAAUGAGUAUUGUUACCCCAUUCAUCGCAAAGCUUGGUGGUGUCUUGUGUGACAGCAAUUUCUAUAAAUAGAAAAUGCAUAUCUUCUCUUACCUUUUCUUUUGCCAAUUCUCGCUCCGUAUUUGCGCCUUUUCUGUCGCCAUGACCGGCGCACUUCUUUAUUACAUGUGUUUUAACUUGUUUCUUGGAGCAUGCAAUUUCUACAGGAUUAGUGCGGCAAAUUUGGCUGAGCCAAUUGUGCCAGAAUUUUGUAGAGUUGGCCAAGAAUGUAGAGUAACCACUAGUUCUCUUUUGUGGUCUUUUGAUGCCCAUCUCUUUUGUUUGCAAGAGCUGAAGAAUGAUUAGUGUGCCAAACUGAAGAAAAGCACUGCCUUGCAUUUUGGAUUGUCGGAAACACAUGGAUCUUACUCCAACUGGUAUUUUGUGAGAAUGUUUCUUUUUACUGCUUUGUGCUUGUUUCGCUGCACUUUUAGUCCGCCGAAACGACGUCUACUGAUAUAGAGUGUUUGGCGGUCACCCGGAUUUUCGAAAGGUCCCGAGCAGGCGGGGAAGUUGAUGAUUCUCCCUGAACCACUUCCCAGCCUAGGCAAUGUUUCCAGCCGCGUUUGGGCCAGACAAGCCCUUAGCGUGCCUGUUUAGUUUCGCGCGGGCAUUUGCUAAAAACGGUUCAUUUCAUUUUGUGCUGCUCUAAGGGGCCGUUUUGUUAAUGUAGUUGCAACUGCACUGCAGUUAUAACUGUAUAUAAAUAUAAAUUCGAUGCUUGGUUUGAUAUAUUUAAUUUCAACUGCUGCAGUAGGAACUCCAAGAGGAGACCUAACUGCAGCAGUUCGAACUACACCCAAAUUGGCCGCAGUUCCAACUGCAUCAGUUGGAGAGAGUAACUUUAAAUAAAAGGUAUUCUUGCCUCCUCAAUAUUUUUUAAUUCUUUUUUUUUCUUUUUUUCUUUUUUUUUUUUUACAUUNUUUUUUUUUUUUUUUUUUUUUUUUUUUUACAUUGGAGGUAAUUUCACCAUCAUAUAUAUAAAAUAAUAAAAUUUUAUAAAUUAUUUUUCAACUGUAUACCACCAAACAAAUUAUUUAUACUUGCAGCGUUUUCUACUACAUUCAACCAAACAUGAUUCAUAUAGUUAUAUUUUCAACUGCAUGCAUCUCUAAUUAUACUGCAUUUAUAAUUAUAUCUAACCAAACGCCCCCUAAGUAGCACUAACACCAUCACCACUAAUUCACCCUUGUGCGCGUGAGCCGAACUUGUCCACGCUGCAGUAGAACAAAAUUUAAAAUGAAACUUUACUUAAAAAAAUUCAACCUCCACAGAAAAGCUAGUCUUUCUGUUAUCUGGGAGCAGGAAAAUGGUGUGCUAUAUAUAUAACCCAUAAUUUUGUAUGUCACGUAACGUUCAUUUAACUUAACCCAACGCAACCCAAUCCACAGCAUUUGGGCGUCAAAUAGGCUCCAAAGCCCAGUAUCAAAUUAGCCAUUCUAGGCCCGGCUCAAUAUUUUAAAUCUCCCAUUUUAAACUGCACGUGCCAUGCACGUGCUGCCCAAGUCGAAGAAGUUUAGUCCACGCACCCGACUGUCUCGUCGUUGGCUCGUUGAAGCACCUCAAACGCCCUUCUUUCCACUCUCUCUUUCUCUCUCUCCCCAUUACCUCCAGGGGUAUUCUCGUCAUUUCGUUCCCAGAAUGCUCUCCAUUAAAUUAUAUUUUCACCUCCAACUGCACAAAUUAUCCCCAAAAUUUUUCCCAAAUCACACCCUCCUCCAUUCCCCGCACCUGNCGCCGCGCCCUCCCAUUCCCCGUACGCGCGCGAUCUCCGGCGAGAGAUGGUCGUCGUCGGCGUCGGCGUCGGCGGCGGUGGCUCGAGGCUCGAGGGCGGGAACCAGGUGGUCUCCGCUCGGAUCCGUAAGACCAUCCAAUCCAUCAAGGAGAUCGUCGGCGACCACUCCGACGCCGACAUCUAUGCCGUGCUCAAGGAGACCGACAUGGAUCCCAACGAGACGACUCAGAAGUUGCUCACCCAAGGUCGGUUCUUUUGGCUUAACAUCGCUUUGCUAACCUUCGCAAUGCUCUUUGUUCGCUAUUUCAUGUAGCUACAAUAUGAUCGCUUGGGUUAGGGGAGUAGAAAUGUAGUAUCAUAUGUUAAAUAUGACCUCUAUUUUUGCUUUUUUAGGGGUCAAAAGAGUGUUCUUUUGAAAUGCAGGUAAUUGUUUUGUGGCGAUCGGCUUGAUUGUAUCGUUUUUUAUUGUCUAUUCUUUAUUUAAAGUGUUAUAGGCAGUAGUUUUGAACAUUUUGUGUGUUGAUUACUUAGCUGCACAUGGUUUAGAUAUCAGGGGGUGGACUGAUUAAUUUGAAUUUAGAAAAUUUGUGGUAGACUUGUACUUGCAAUAUGAAGGAUUAGGAUAUAAAUUCCAAGGAAGUUAAAUUGACAGUCUAGUUACGUAUAGAAGACAUUGCAAAUGUCCUUUGACUCGUGAUAUUGAAGAGCAGAAUGUCAAACUCUUGAUAUUUUCGUCUAAUAAUACUGACUUAUGCUAUGCAUGGAAUUAUUAUCUGUAACUGCUGAUCUGCAUCACAAGUGAUCUGCGGCAUCAGCCCUCCAUCCUAUAUCCUGCUUCAAUACUUCCCCCAACAUAGUUGCAGCCUUUUCAUGAUUAAUACUUAUUCCAUUGUGGAUGGUUUGAUCAAAAGUUUAAAACAAGUUAGACGGCUGAUCACAUGUGAUGUAUGGGUUGGUGCGGUGCGCUGGGCAGUCAAUAGUUUCCCUCUGUACUCACAACUGAGUUCCACUAUCGUCUACAGCUCACGAACAAUAUAAAUACACAUAUUGUGACCAUUUCUAAAAACCACUUUUACGUACAUAUUAGAUAGCACUUUAAUAGGGCAGGAGAGGUAUUGCUGUGACGGAAAUCUGGGUUUUGUGGAAAUAUAUCAGCAGAAAAUUUAGAUUAUGUUCUGUCAAAUGUUGUUUGGUACUUAGCUAAAAAGCAAGAAUAGUGAUCUGGACUAUUGUGUAUUGUUGGUUUUACCUUUUAGCAAGUUUUUAGGAGUGAGAAUGAUGAAUUUUAUUACUGAUGUAUUUUUUAAUUUCAAGUUAUAUGCUAUCAUUGUUUAUGUUAAUCCAUUUUCUGCUGCUUUGCUUAUUCGAUGCUUUUAGUUUAUACAUUGCAGAUCCAUUUCAUGAGGUAAAGAGAAAAAGGGACAAGAGGAAAGAGGUAAACAUUGUACAAAUUUAAACUGAGAAUUUGAAUUUCCUCGUAUCAUGUUAAUUUUUUCUUUUUGUUAUUGAUCACUGUAUCAGAACAUCCUAUUAUUGGCUUUGAUAUAUAUAUAUAUAUAUAUAGAGAGAGAGAGAGAGAGAGAUAGAGAGAGAGAGAGAGAGAGUUGAGCUGGAAUGCUAUCGGUAGCAAAAGGACUGCGUUGCCACCCAUAUAUUUUCUUCGAUGGAGCCUCCAAAUCAAUGAUCGGCAUUGUUGAACAUGAUUUAUAUCACUUGAAGCAUAUAAAAACCAACUCCUUUGGGAGUUGGGCUGUGGCUUUGGGGCUCUCCCAAGGGUCUGUUAUGACAAACCCUUGGGAGAUGGGUUUGGACUAAAAUGCCCUUUCCAAUAUUCAAAAAUUUGACUGUUGGGAGGGUAUUUUGGUCCAAAAAUUUUAAAAUUUUAAAAUAAUUUGAAAUUUUAAUAUUUUUAAUAUAUUUUAAAAUUUUAAAUUUUUUUACUGAUAUAUUAUUUUUUUAAGAAAAUAAUAUUUUUAUUUUUAUUUUAAAAAAAAUUUAAAUAUUUUUAAAUAAAAUUAAUAAAACGAAAAAGUGCUAGCCCGAAGCCGCGGCACUCGGCCGGCCGCACCCGUGCAGUCCCAGGUUGGGGCGUGCCAGGCUUGGGGUCCAAGAAUCUUUGGCUCGCACGGCACGGCCUCGACUUUGGGGCCGGAUCCGUGCCGGGACUGGCCUCUGGCUUGUUUCGGGCUCCGGGUAAAAGUGGGCCGAUGCUCUGCGCCCAGUCAUGGCCCACAUUACAUCCCUACCUAAGGUUGAGUGGGUGUUGUUGCCAUAGUAGAUCAAACGGAUAGAAAUGGUGCAAGAGGGUAAGAUAAUAACGGCAGAAAACUUGGUAGCGACGAGGCUGGUAUAGCCGGAAUCUGCAACAACACACACACACACACCAUAUUAUAAUAUAUAAUAUAUAUAUAUGAUAUAAUAGAUCCCGGCUACUGAUACUGUUUAAUGAGUAUUUGGGCUCUUUAUACUCAUAAUUUCGGCCGCUUAAGAUUUAUCCAUGACUCAUUUCCAAACCCGUUAGAUCCAACUACUAUUCACCACUACCCACCCUAGGAGAUCUCACUAUCAUUUUAAGUGGGGACCCAAUCACAUCCCUAACCACAUCAAUCCAUCAAUACAACGGUUUAGAAAUUUAUGAACAAGGGGGGUUCUAACUCAUAAGAGAUAGUAAGCCCACAUAUAUAUAAUAUAAGAAUUAUGCUACGAAUACUAAUAAUUAGUACCAGAGCCUUCUGGUACUAUUGGGAGUUUUCGCCGGUUGGAUGGAAAGAUGUGCGGUAAGGAUAAUAAGUGGUCUCUCGGUUUAAAGUUGAUAAGUGGUCCACCCUAGGUUUUUGAGUGGUGGUUGGUUUAAAAUAUAAUAAUCUAAUGGGUGAAAAUGAUCAAGAAGGUAGAAUCAAACGGUAGAAAACUCAAUAGUACCAAGGCUUGUACUAUUGAUAGUAGUAGUACCCGAGACUCUAAUAUAUAAUAUAUAUAUAAUAUAUAAUUAUAUAUAUAUUAUAUAUAGUAUAUAAUAUAUAUAUAUAAUAGUAGGGCCUAUUUGGCUUAUCCAAGGAGCAACUUAGCAGCUCUUUGGCUCUUAAGUUCCUAACCAUUCAUUCAAUUGAUGGGUGUUAGGAAUGAGAAAGAGAAAAGAAAUUGAGGAGAAAUUGAGACACACGUUGUCUCCCAAUUGACAAUUCUCGCUCUUUGAAAUUUUAUCCAUUUUCUUUAUAUAUUAUACUAGUAGGGCUACUGUGCUAUUGGGACAUAGCAUCCCUGUUGGCUCCAAGUUCCUAAAAUAAUUCAUCAUUUGAUGGGUGGUUGGGUAUUGAAGAGAGAGAAAAAUUGAGAAGAAAAUGGGUAUCUCAAUUUCUCUAUCUCUUUGAUAAUAUCCAAAUUUCUCUUAUCUCUCUUAUCCCAACCACCAUCAAAUUGAUGGAAUGAUUAGGAAUUUAGAAGCACAGGGCUAGUUGUGCUCCUAAUAGCAGCAUAGCCCACUCUGCUUCUCUCUCUCUCUCUCUCUCUCGUCUCUCUCCUCUCUCUCUCUCUGCUAAAUAUAUAUAUAUAUUAUAUAUAAUAGAGAGAGAGAGAGAAGAGUGAGCUAGAAUACUAUCGAUACAAAACGGCUCCGUUGCCACCCAUAUUAUUUUCGAUGAAUGGAAGCCUCCAAAUCGACGAAUACACCAUUGAAACAUAUCUUAUACCACUUGAAAAGUGUUUAGAAAGUUCAAAUUUCAUACAUUUUUCGACAUGUUCUUUUAUCCAUCGAGUGGACACAAAAAUGAAACGGCUGAAAAUGAAUAUUCUUUUUAAAAAAAUGAUGUAGGAGAUCUGUAUCAAGAUCAAGAGUAUAGAUCUUGGUUUUUAAACAUUUUCAUAAUUUUCUAACAAAUUCAAUUUGAUGUUUGGAUAUCUUUACGCCGUUAAACGAACAAACGCCUCUAUUGACCAUUAAAAUACAAAUUUUGAAACUCUUUGAUUAUUAGGACAAAUGAAUGUCGAAAAAGAUUUGAAAUUUGAUUCUAAACAUUCAAGUGUAUAGAUCAUGUUUCAACUCGGUGCGAUCGUCAUUUGGAGCUCCUAUGCAUCGAAAACCAAUGGGUGGCAAGGAGCCCGUGCUAGUCGAUAGGUAAUUCUAGCUCAACUAUAUAUAUAUAUAUAUAUAUAUAUAUAUAUAUAUAUAUGGCAAGCAUAGACUAUCAUAUUCUUCCAUGUGGGUAGCAUUGAUGACUUCUUUAGCCUUCAAAUCAUAUUAGUUCACCAUGCUGGAACAAGAGCCUUCAAAUCAUAUCAGUUCGCCAUGGUGGAGGACUUUUCUACUGUUGAUUAAUCUUUUUAAUGUGUUCGAACUUGUUGAAAUGCUUAUUGCAUUAGUGCCUUCUUUCAGGAUAUUGGAGUUAGUUACACCUAUCUUUUUUUUGUUUUUGUUUUUGUUUAAUUCCUGUUCACUUUAGUUCUAGAGUGAAGUUUUUUUUUGCAACAAUUUUUUAUGCUUACUCUCUUUUACCAUCUUAGGUUGGAAGUCCUGGAAAUCAUUAAUUGUAUUGAUCCAACUAUUUGUUAGUGUAUUUUGGUCUGUUCUGCUUGUUCGUUUCUUCUAACUUCUAACAUUUUAACUGAUUUAGAUGUGUCCUAUUAUGAUUUCAGCAAGCAGGUUAUAAGAGCUCUAAUGAUACUAGAAAACAAGUGGAGCACAAUGGUCAACGGACAAAUUCCCGUUCGCCAGGGUUUCGCAAUGACCGUAGAAGAGCUAAUACUCGAAGUGCGAUGACUGGUAAUACAGAACCCUCUUAGCUUGUUAUUCCGAUCUUGCAUAUGAGAUGCAAAAUAUAAUUAUACUGUAGGUAAUUAGGUAUUAUGGGUUUGUUCUUUGGUUUUUUUUUUGGUAGGAAGAUAUAUCAACCUGUUAUUCAAUUUGCUCAAAGCAUAGUGCUUAAUUGGAAAAAUGCUGGACUUGUUUGUAUUUACUUGUCUUGGUAACCAUCUAUAAAAUUUGUUUGAAAUUAAACUUUUACUUCUUACUAAAUAUGAAUUAACUUCUAGUCUGAACGAGAAUUGGAGAAAUACCAUUUCUCAGGGUGGGGGUUUCGGCCGACCAGCAAGGAUACUUCAUAUUUUGUUUCCUUUUACCUAUCUACAAUUAUAAAGCAGUGAGUGAUUGUUAAAACCAAAUUCUUUACCGGGCAUCACUUCAUAUUUGUACCACCCUUUUGUUGAUCACCAUUCCAUGCAUUACUUAAUCAGAUGAGAAUUUGAUUAGCAACUGCUAUAUUUUUGAACACAGAAUGCAAAAAUUCUGCAAUUCACAUCACGGAAUAAAACCGAAAAAGGAAAGAUAUUAGAACUUUAACUUCUCCAGAUUGUACCUCCUUCUCUUGUCGAAUCAGACCCAGAGGUCAUGCCUCCUGAAAGUAGAGGACCCUUGUUAGCCAUUGAGUUACUGAGAAUAUCUGAGCGUAUAUCCGAAACAAAUUAGAGUAUAUAUAAUCAGAAAUGCAAUUUCUAUUGAGUAGCUCUCUCUCUCUCUCUCUCUCUCUCUCUCUCUCUCUCUAUAUAUAUAUAUAUAUAUAGCUUUGCAAUGUUGGAUCAUAGGAGCCGGUGAAUCUGCUAAAAUAUUACUGCCCGAUAUAUAGGUAAAGAAAGAAAUUCAGAAAUAUACUAAACUCCCACACAUCCCAAUGAUAAUUUUUUGUGAUUUACAUGGUUUCUAUCUGCAGUCUGAUUCCUUGGUUACUUCUUGUAAAUAAGUUUCUCUUAGCAGCUUCCUUAAGUUCAUCAAGCUAUAAUUUGUUGUCUCUUGUGUUUAUUGACUGAAGGAAAAGAGAACGAUUUUCUGUAUCCUCCCAUCAUGAACUUUGUUUUCAUUAUAUUAUGUUUAAUUAUUUACGUUAGAAUGUUUUUAUUGUUACUCUAGCCAAAUUGAAUAUUAACUCAUUAUUGACUUAGAUUGAAACAUCUACUAUUGUCGCGUGUUCCACUUCAUCUAAAGAAUGAGGUGCAUGAUUUUGCUAUUACUGGAUGUUUAUAUAGAUUGUCUGACGCAUAGUCUUUGUUAGAUGCAGGUGUUAAUCAGGAAUUUCGCAUAGUAAGGGAUAACAGAAUGAAUAACAAUGAGGAUAUGGAGAAAAAGACAGAAUUGGCUCAACACAGAUCUCCUGAACAUGAGGAAUCAAUAUCCAAUGUCCCUGAGAAGAGGUCUAAAUUUUUUGCACUUCCUUGAAUCACUCUUUUUUUUCCUUCUGAUUCUACCACCUUCAGUACAGUAUUGUCAUCAGCUCUCUAUUCUUUUUGCUUAUUGCUGCAUUUUUAGUGUUCCAAGCUUUCUCCUAUGUUUCCUUGUUUUUCACUGCAUAUAUAUAGUAAACGAGACAGACUUAUUUUAGUGUGUAUCAAUAUGCACAUCUAAGUACAUACUUAGCCAUACUCAUAUAUGUAACUAUUCUACGGGGCACAUUUAUGUAUGAAUACCGCUACGGCGUUGCAUAUAUUUAUUUAUGCACAUUUUUAUUAUUUCCCACCAAAACCACAUCAGCUUAGUUACUACAUGUACUCAUGUACUCACAUUCAUGUAGGUAUGAGCUUUAAUCUUGCGCAAUGCACAAGAGGAAAAAAUAGGUGACAUAAAUAAUUAGUAGUAAAUGUGAAAUGUUUGAGAUGUUUAGGAAUCAUGAUUCCGAAGGAAUAAUAUUGCAAACAGAUCACUAGUGAGCAAAAAUAAAAAUUAUAUGAAUCACGCCCUUUAAUUAGUGAGGUGACUAAACAAUUUUCCAUGAAAUUUUCCAAUUAUGUAUAUACUAGGAUGCCUUUUGUAAGCUAUCAUCAUUGUACUGUUAGCAACUGAUAACUUGGAACAUCAUCCAUUAGAUGAAGCUAUAAAUUUCCUCUCUGAGAUAUUUGAUUAGUCUGAUACCGCAUUUUGUAUGGCUAUGUGCAAGGUUGUAAAGAUAAUCUAGUGAUAUAUGUAUCAAUGACGCCAGUGCUCUUUCUCCUGUCCAGCAGCGUUAUACAUCAUGCUGGUAGUGUUUCAUGUAUUGAAUGCUUGCUUUAGAGAAGAUUUUCAGACUUUUUCACAUUUUUUGCUCAUCCAUUUUUUCUUUCUGUAGCUCUGCUGAUGUGCGAACUGAUCGAAAACAUUCAUCUACAAGGAAUUCAGUGAAGUACCAUCCAUCUCGAGAGUUAGCCAAAAAUUGUAAGCACUUACUGCCUGGACAGACACGUGAAACAACAACUAUUCCUCACGCAAGAAGAGAGGGGCAAAGUAGCCCUCAAAAAAAUUCAGCAACUGAAUCUUCAAUUGGGGUAUACUCCUUGAAUUUCGAUCCAGUUCACGUUCCAUCUCCUGAAUCCAAAGCAGCUGGAACCCAUGGGGCUAUUCGUCGUGAAGUUGGAGUUGUUGGUGCUCGUAGACCGUCGCAGUCAUCUGUUCCUAGCAGUUCAAAUCCUGAUCCUAUUUGGGGAAAGGAUAGUUCCAAUUUGGCUGGACUGUCUGGGCUCUCUGCUUACACAUCUAAAGGGAGUCAAACCAGCCAAGCUCCUGCUUCAGAGAUUAUGUUGCGUGGUGUAACUAUUACUAGAUAUUCCCAGCGCAGUAACAAAUCGCACCAGCCAUCUGCAGGUCACCAGAAAGGUAUGGUUUAUAUAGUGCACUGUAACUGUAAGAAUUAUCAUUAAUUUGUUUUCUUGUGAAAUUUUCUGUUUUUAUCUAUUGUACGUAUGCUUUCUAGACACUUCAUCUUUGCACUUAUUUGAUUACAUUCCUACUAUGUAACCUUGUUGGAGCAAUGCUAUUUGCUAGUUGCUGUAGUUAUUUAGAUGAUUUCUAAGGUUUUGUAGUUACUGAAUUGGUUUAUGCAACUAUGAUUUUGCAUUGUCAUCUUUCUCCACGGAAAAUAUUUUUGAACCUGGAUAUAUUUCCAUUCAUUUGCGUGCAUCUACAUCUGACUGAUAGUAUUUUGUUUGGAGGAUAGAUCAAUCUCUCUGGUACGAACUUAAACCACGACAAAAAGUGUUUAUGCAGAAGCCAUUUAGGUAGACCAUUUGAAAUUAUUCUUCGUUGUGUGACCCUGAACUGUUAUAGCACUUUAAUCUCUAAUUGUGCAGUCCAUGAUGAUGCACUGACGAAUUUUCAAGAAACGGUUGCAUUUUCCUAAAAGUUUGUAUAUUGAUCGUAUUCUAGGUUAACACUCAUUCACCAGUGAUGUUCAUAAUAGUAGUAAGUAGAUGCCACUGUUUAUCAGAUAAAUUAGCUUCUUAAAGCGAGUAUAUGAUAUAAAUUCUCAUUCUUUUGCUUUGUCAUUGCGUUGUAAUUCCAAAUAGAUUUCUGCAGCCAUGCAGCGCAACAUGGAGUGGAAGCCAAAAACAAGUUUAAAGUCCACCACCAUUAGCCCAGCUGUGACCAUGACAACUCCUGCUGCUGCUUUGGCUGAUACCAGCAAUUUAAGCGCAGUGGACGUUAAUGGCUUGUCGAACAAACUUUCUCAAGCUAAUAUAUCAGAUGAUCGACAUGUCAUCAUUCCAGAACAUCUUCGCGUGCCAGAAUCUGAAUAUGCCUGCCUAACGUUUGGCAGUUUUGGUGUGGGACUUGACCCAACUGAGGGAUUGACUUCUGCUUCUCAGGCAUUUGAAAAGUCAGAACAGUUUAACGAGCCUUGUUCAAGGUGUCUUCGUCGUUUUAUCAUUCCUAUUCAUUACUUUUUACUAUUAGAUAUUGUAAAAAUUGCUGAAUCAUAUUUGCUGUUUUGGUUGCUGGCAGUAUAUCAGAAUCAGUUCCCAUAGUCUCCAAUGAGGUUGCGUCUGCUUCUGAACACAAAGACAUAGAUGACCUAGAGAGAUCUUUGCAGUUUGACUCUUUUGCACCAGCUGCGGAAACUGAUGAAACACCACAGGAAAUCAACGGGUCAUUGAAUUCUCAAAAAGCAGACGACUAUGCAGAUAUUGGGUUAGUACAAAGUGACAGCCCCCUCUUCAGUUCAGCAGAGGCACAAAAGCUGCAGAACCCUCCAAGCUUGCCCAGCUUCUCAGUAAGUACUAUGUGAACCAGAAUAAUUUAUAAUUUAACACCAGAUAUUUUUUUGUGCUUUAAGAUAAAUUAUUUAUUAUUCAUGUAUAAAUUAUUUUGUAUUAAUAUCUCCCAAAUCUUAUAUUAUUUUUAUUUUUUAAACAGGUGUAUGACAGCCAUACGAGUGAUGAUGCCCCAUUUUUCAGAACUGCUAUAGGGGAUAACGUCCACUCUCUAGGGUUAGAUUCACCAUCUGAGGUACCUCUAGUUGAAAAUAUUCAAGAUUUUAUUAUAUUAUUUACAAAUAGUAGUGAACUUGCUCAUCAUUAUUAUUCUUGGUGAUUUUAAGUGGAAGUAUGACAGUCUUUACAUCCUUUAUUACUUUGUUUUAUAUUUUUAGGGAGCAUUUUAUUGUUUUCGUUAUUAUACAUGUUCUUAUCUGCAGGGUUUGAGUUCACAUAUUGCCAGCAGUAGCAGUCCUGCUAUUGUCACAACACAGCAGCAGCAGCAGCAACAGUUGGUUCAGCCACAACCUGUUACGCAGCUAUACCCGCAAGUCCAUAUCUCGCACUUCCCGAAUUUCAUGCCAUAUCGGCACAUCAUUUCCCCAGUCUAUGUCCCGCCAAUGGCCAUGCCAAACUAUUCUACUAAUAUUGCCUAUCCACAUCCACCAAACGGAAGCAAUUAUCUCGUGAUGCCUGGUGGGAGCUCGCACUUGAAUGCAGGCGGAUUGAAGUAUGGAGCAUCACAGUAUAAAUCGGCUCCUUCUGGUACGGGAUAUGGAAAUUACACCCAUCCAGCGGGCUUUACUAUCAGUUCUCCUGGUGCCUUUGGUGGUACGACUGGCCUUGAGGAGAUGGCCAGGGUGAAAUUUAAAGACAACAACCUAUAUGUCCCAAAUCCACAGGUAUCAUUGGAACUUUAAAGUACUAUGCAUUAUGGCAUCUUGGCAAUAUCUUAAUUUUAUAAUGUUAGUAAAAUAGCUAUGGACUUGUUUGGGUAUAUUUGUGACUGCUCGAUACUUUGUUUUUCCUGUCAGAUAAGUAUACUUCAUGUUCCAACUUAACUGUUAUAAAAAAUUUGCUAUCUGAUAGAAUCUGACAGUUCUAAGUUCCAACUAACCAUUAAAUUUAUGCUUUAAACCUCAUAAUGCUAGAUAUUUUGGGCAUGUAAUCUACAGCCAGAGACAUCUGACAUCUGGAUUCAAACGCCAAGAGAGGUUCCGACUCUGCAGUCGCCUCAGUACUACAACUUAUCGGGGCAAGCGACGCACGCCUCUUUCAUGCCGACCCACGCUGGCCAUGCUUCUUUCAACGCAGCAGCCCAAUCUUCUAAUGUGCAAUACCCAGGCUUGUACCAUCCGCAGCAACAGGCCUCGAUCGUGGGCCCCCACCACUUGGUGCACCAGCAGGUCCCUUCGCCACUUGGUGGUAGUGUCGGGGCCGCUCCUGGGCCCCAGGUUGGGGCCUACCAGCAGCCCCAGCUUGGUCAUCUGAAUUGGACAACCAACUUCUGAGAGAAUCUUUUUUUUUUUUUUUUUUUUUUUUAUAUUGUGUAAGUAGUUGUGGAAGUAGCUUAAUGUAUGAGUAGGGUUCCUGAGCUUUAAAUCUGUAGUAGUAAGUACACUGUUCUUCAGGUGUAUUGAACUAAGCAAUGCAGUAGCCAUUUUAAAUGUCUGUUUUCUGCUAAAUGAUUUUUGACUUUUAAUUUUGAUGUGGGUCCUGUAUUUAAUUCGUAAUCACUUGUAAAAGUAACCCAUGAGGGAGGGUGAAGUAGGGUUAGAAGGUAAAAGGAGAUGGAUUAGUGAUCCUUCUCUUGUUUUGCUCCUCAUAUUUUCUUUAACUUCAAAACCACUUCUGAAAAAAUAAUUUUAAACUUUGAAAAAGGCUGUAAUUCACUUUGCAGUAGAUUGAAAUUGGUGAGUCCAUUCAUAGUGAGUUACAUCUCAACGGUUUUUUUGUCUAAAGGGUAAAUUUCAAUUUGCCCUUAUGUGGUUUACCUCUUUUUAUUUUGUCAUCCUACUGUUUAAAAAGGUGCGCUGAACUUUUCUAAGGUUUAACUGAUUUUUUUUUCUUUUCUUUUUUUUUUUCUUUUUUUUAAACUUUGCCACCAUGUAGUUUAACAAUUACACUUAAUUAUUCUGUGAUUUUUUAAAAAACUUUACUUUGCUACCCUACUUGGUGGUAGAUUUUUUUCAGUAAAAUUAAAGAUAAAUUAUAGGGUAGUUAAGUUUAAUUUUUUGCAUCAUUGGAUGAUAAAAUAAAAAUAUGCUAAACCACUAAGGCAAGUGGAAGUUUACCCUAAGAAAAAAACUCACAUACAAAAAUGAUGAAAAAUUUUGCGUUGUAUUGAGUUGAAAUCUCAAAACUCAAUUUAAUUUAUUAAAAUAUUUACACACCACGAAUGUAAAAGUGACAUAUAUUAAUUAUUGAUGCAUCAUCAAUUAUAAUAUUGCUAUUUAACUUUUACAUCAGUGAUGCAUCAAUAUUUAAUUAACUAAAUUGAAUUGUGAAAUUUGAUUGCAAUAAUUCUAAAUGUUCAGGUUAGAAAUUGCACCAAAUAAAAGUUUUAGAACUGAACUGUCAUCAGCCUCAUAGUUUGAGGACCGAUCGUGAAAUUUUUCCUUUUUCAUUCUAUCAUCAGUUUGAGCAAUGUUUUAUAGCUAAACCAAAAUUGCGAUCAACUUGGUUAAAAAAUUUAUUUACCGUGAGAUGCUUAGUAAGAAUGAAGCCUUGCGAGUAGUUCGCUAGUAUGUUCUUCAUCUUAGCCAAAUUCGAAUGCAUCUCAUUGGAAUGUAUAGUACUCAGUACGAAUCUAAAACGGCGCCGAGUGUUAUCUAACAAUUGAAUGAGAUUGUUCUCCUAGAAUUUUUAUCACAAACUUAAUCUCUAUCUAACAACACAAUACAUUAGAAUUUUUUUUUUUUUUUUAAAAAAAGGAAAAAAAAAAAAAGACAACAGCAAGGAACCUUGUAUCAUUGUUUGACAUGCUUUAUUAAGCAAAUCAAUCCUCCCAGGAAGGAUAGUGUUCCUAUGCUUCUAUAAAUGUUAGGAAUCAUAAUCUAUUUUCCUAAUACCUAAUCCACUAUAUCUUCACAGCUGAUAGAAUACUAAAUAAUCAAUGUUCCAGGAUUCAAAAUCAUCAAAUGUUUGGCCAUUAAUUGAUUGAUUUCAUGCCUAAAAAUGGUUUCAACAAGAUCUCACUAUAAAUGUUUUAGCAAACCCAUUAACUUGCUUUGAUUUCAAAAAUACAUGUACCCUUUACCUCUGUUGUUUGAUACAACACUAAGAAUGAAGGGCUUCCACCACAUCUUCUCUCUAUUCCUAGUGCUUCUUGUGGUUUCCUCAAGUAUGUAUCCUACAUAAACCCUUAAAUUCAGGCCCUUUCUUGCACCAUGAUUGGUUUUUUUUUUGAGAGAGAGAAAAAUAAUAUGUUAUUCGUUUCGUUAAUUUUUUUAAAAAAUAAAUUUAGUUGAAAAUACAAAGCAAUUAGGUUUUCGAAUUUAGAACCAUGUUAAUAAUCAAAUUCUUUGUCACCAACACUAGGGGCUGCCGUUAUUGUUUUUUGCUUUACAUUUUUGUACUGAAAAAUUUUAAUGCGGAGGUGCGCAAUAUGAGAUUUAUUUGGCCAAAAUAAAAAAAGGUGUGAUUUUCCUUUUCUUUUGUUUUUUUUAAUACUUUUCUAUAUUGUUUUUCUAAAGAAAAUGCAGUAGGAUCAAUGCAACGUUACCUAGCAAUUAUAAGAAUAAAGAAGCCCAUCAACUUAGUCAUCUAUCAUAUAAAAUUCAUAUAAUGAUACCGAACGAGGUCUAAGUUUUUAAGAAGCUUAUUUUUCUAAAUGUAAAUACUUUAGUUUCACAAAAUUGUGACCAUUUUAGUUUAUUGUUGUGUUAGUAAUUCUACAUGGUACUCUUGAAGAAUGUGUAUUUAUUAAUUAAAAUUCGUUACAUUUUUUAGUGUUAAUGUAUCAAGUAAACAGCAGGAACAAAUCGGUGCACAUCAAUCCCUAUUCACCGAAUUGAUUUCACCGUUGUGCAGUAGAAAAAGAUCACAAACCGAAGUUUACGAAAACUCCCUAUAAGAAAAUUAAUACUUACGAACGUUUUUUUUUCUAUAUUUUACAAUACAUAAAAAGUUCUAAAAUAAUUUACCAUCGCAUUUAGAAGUAUCGAUCAAUAAAAAGUCGUUAUGUAUACACGUAGUGAUGUUUAUAUCAAAUAUUGAUAAAAUAUAUUCCGAUGCUUAAUAACGUCAUAAUUUUUUGAUGCUAUAAAGCAUCAAAAAAAUUUUAGAAAAAAUAAUAAAUACGUUUUAAUUUCCUCAGCGAUGUCAGAAAAUGUUCUUAUAAUAAAAUUAUCUUAUAGCGACGGUAUUAUGAAAUUAUUUAUAAGGUUCACUAAUUGCUACUUUUAUAAUUUGAUAUUGGAAAAACUUUAAAUACCACCUCUGUGGUUUCAUACUUUCUCAGUUUAGUACUAUGUGGUUUAAAGUGUAUCAAUUUAGUGUAUUGUGAUUUCAUUUUUAUUUUUUUAUUAUUGAUUUUACUAAUUUUUUUGUUAAAUCAGUGACAAAAUUAAAAUUAAAAGGUACUAAAGUGAAUAUUUGAUAAACCUAGGUAGAGUAUCUGAAGUUUUUUUUUAUAUAGUUUAAUUAAAUACUAACGAAAAAAAUUGACGAAAAAAUAAAAAUAAAACUACAUAAUAUUAACUUAAUACACUUUAAAUCAUAAGAUACUAAAGUGAAAAAGUACGAAAUCAGAGGAAUGGUAUUUGAAGUUUACCCUUUGAUGAUAUUUGAUAUAGCAAUGGUGGUCGAAAUAAAGGCGCGUGAUCAUUGGCUACCAGAGCACACGUGUGUGAAGAUCAUUGGCUCAGGCAAGUGUAGGGAGGGCCCAUGCGCCGCGGCGUGCACCAAGGAGAGUAACGGUAACGGCGUGUGCUUUGACGGAGUUUGCCGCUGCUACUACUACUGCGAAGAGCCCCCAAAAUAAUUAGCGUUGGAUUACGUGUUAUAGAUUGAAAGAUAAAUAAUAAUAAUAACAUUAUUUGCCUUUUUAAAUUAGAGAUUUGGGAUUGUUCCCGUCAUAAAAAGAGAGAACCAAAAAUUUAUAAUAAACGCAUUAAUUUUUUGGGUCAUAAUAUGUUAGGGAGUGGUAGCUAGUGUUAGCAUUUUGUUACUUGGAUCAUUGACUUGGUGAUGAGUUUGGCUCUUUUUUGUUAAGUGUUGUCCAAUAAUGAAGUGCGCUAAUGGUGAACUUUUGGGAUGUUAAUUUGGUUGCAAAAUUACUUUUCUUUGAUUGGAUUUGUCUUUGAAAAUGAUGGGGGGAUUUUGAAACACAGUAUUGUAUUAGACUGUCAACGAGUCAAACAAGCGAGCUGGACUGCCUAGUUUCUGUUUUUAUUAAAUAAAUUAAACACGAGCUAGAGCCGGCUCAUUUUCGCUCAUCUAUUAAACAAUACGAAUACGAUAUCGAGCGAAAAAAUUCAGCGCUCAUGUUCGUCUUUUAUUAACUAUUUUCUUUUUAAGAAAAUAUUUUUAUUGAAUUGUUGAGCACGACUUUGGAUUGGCUACAAUCUUCUUUCAUUAAUAUUUCAUAAGGUAGUUUUUCCCAACCCCAAUUUUUUCCAUCUCCACAUCCUCCUCCUCACACUUCGCUGACAUACACGUACUCGGGCUCUUCACGAUACUUUUGUUGGAAAAAUUAGUUCUCUUUCGAAAUCUUUAGUCAAAAAUUUGUAUAAACAAUUUUGUUUGAAAACAACUUAGCCACUGUUUUUAGAAACGUUGAAAUAAAUAAAAACUAUAGAGAAUAAAGGAUUAGAUGGAGCCUGUGAGUCGAGGCGUGCGAUUGCACUGUCCUAGAAGCAAGAUUGCCCCUCCACGUAUGAGGCGCCGGCAAUCACUCCUAGCGAUACAACGACCUCCGUCCCGGCUUCAGGGUGGCGCAAGAACGAACCGUCACAGCUUUUCAGAGAUCCAGCAAAACAGUGAAGAAGAAGGAGAAGAGAGAAAAGGGGAGAAGCUCAGGCUAGGGUUUCUGCAUGUCACUGCUGUCCUAACCCAGCCACUCGCCCUAAUAAAUAGGAGAGCAAAAGAAGGGUUCCAACGGGACCACCUUCCCGAGGUAGACCGUUGGGGCUGGUUAAGUCCCGAGGUGCGACCCUUCGACUGGACCAAAUCUGGACCUAAUCCAGGCCAAAAAUAAAAUAAUAAAAGAAAAGUGUAACAAAAAUUAAAAUGAACCGGGUUCACGCGCGCCGCCGCCUAGCCCGGCUCGGCUCGUGCCGUGCGCGUAUUUAGACGAGAGCUCCACUCUCAUCGCUUCCCAAGUAAUAACAAUGAGAAUAAAGUAGAAUAUAAACCAGAGUAAGUGAGGGUCUCUUUCCAAUGUGGGACUAAACAUCACAUGAAAAGACACCAAAGCUUGAGCUCCCAGGCAAGGCCCAUUGACAGUGAGCUGCCCACAAAGUCCAAAGGCUAAAUUGAAGUUUUAAAACAUACGAGCAUAUAAAGAAGUUUUAACUCACUUGUUUUAAAUCAAAAUACUAACAACUUUUUACUCAGAAACAAAUACACCAGCAUAGAGAAAACUACAACACCCGACAUGCACUAGCUUCCUCGCUGCUGCACCGAACCAUGCACCACGUGGCCCACCUCGUAGUUCAUGGAGCACCCUUUCGAUACGAGGCUCGGCGUCCACAGCAUGAACCCCAUAACCAUGAACCACACCCCCUGGAACGUCAUGCUCACCAGGCGCACGAAGCACAUGGCGAAGCUCCGCGGCGCCGCGACCCCUAGGAGGGCAGUGGCGAGCGACGCGGCGACGACCAGCUGCAGGAGCCAGUGGUACUGGCCCUCCCUCGACGCCGGCGUGGUCCGCGGAGUGCAGGUGGAAGAGGAGCAGCUGCUGCGCGAACGCCGCGCUGCCUGUUGAAUAUAAAAUAUUAAAAUAUUAUAUAAUAUCGUACAAAUUAUUAAUCAAGUUAUUUGUACUAUAAAUUAUUUUGAUUUGACUACUAAAUUUUUUCAAAUUUAAUUUUGCAACUAAUCUUUCAAUUUGUUUGCUUUAAGUUAGUCAACGGUACUUUGACUCUAAUAUUUUAUUAAGUUAAUUAUUUACUUUAAUAAAUUUAUAGUUGUUAGAAUUAUGUAAAAUAUACUAGAAUCUAUAAAGAUAAACGUCACAGUCAAAUUUUGAAGUCAAAUCAUAAUUUACUGACUCAAAUUAAAUAAAUGAAAAGGUUAUAUAAUAAAAUCAAAAUUUUGAAAAGUUUAAUAGCUAAAUUCAAAUGAUUCAUAAUUUAGGUAAGUUUCAUAUAGUUUUAUCUAUUAAUAAUUCAUCAUUUGAACUACACAAAUUUUACAGCAUCUAUAAAUGAUUGUUUAAAUAGUUUCUGCGCAGCUAAAGCUUUAAUAGUCAGUUAUUCUGGGACAAAAAUUAUAUGGUCAUUAUUCCCAAACUAUCGAGUUCGGGACGAUACCGAUGGACGCCGCGUGGUGAAUUAAGCGGCGCCCAUCAAUCCGCCCAGCAAAAAUGCUGGGUUAAAAUGCAUGAAGAGAUCCUCAACCAUCAGUCAUUUUGAAGUGUUACCUUUAGUUUUUUUAAUUUCUUUAGUUUUUAUUUGUUACUUUAAUUUUUUUAAAAUCCAAAAGAGCUGAGAUAACUCUUUUAGACUUAUAUAUGGCAUUAAAUUCAAUACUAAAUUUGAUUAAAUUUUAUUAUUAAAUUUUAAUAUAAUUAUUAAAUUUGAUAAAAUUUUUAACUGAACUAAAGAUAGAAUUCAAGUAAAAAAAUUAAGAAUAAAAAAAAUCUAAAAAACUAAAGGGCAUAUUUCAAAAUAACCAAUAGUUAAGGGACCUCUUCAUGCAUUUUAACCCAGUGUUUUUCUGGGCGGAUGGAUGGGCACGCUUCGCCAUGCCAUAUCCAUCCGCAUCAUUCCCAUACUAGACAGUUUGGGACAAAUGUCUAUAUAAUUUUUGUCCCUUAUUUCAUGCCGUCAAAGAAAAGAUUAAAAGUGUAAAAAAGAUACAAAGUGUAGAUUCUAUUGGACUCAUUAUAUUAUAUAUAUAUAUAUAUUGAGUUUUUUUCUCUCUUCCUUCGAAGUUUUGGCCAAUCUUAGGUUUGGACAUGAGCGAAAGUAUUAAAAAUAAUAUUCAAAUGGUAGAAUAUUAAAUUAUUAUUCUCUAUUAUAUGUAACUUUUAAGUUGUUAAAGUAAUUGGUUGCUGCACAUGCAGUACCGAUCAGCUGCGUCAUGGCGGCGGCGGCGGUGGUGCAGGUGCGGUCGAUGUGGAUGGCAAAGGCGGCGUAGAUGAGGAAGGCAAGGGAGAUGGCGGCGUGCUCGAAGUUCUGGAGGUGGUAGGAGGGGAUGGUGCCGUCGGCGGGGUCGAAGGGCUGGUGCGCGGCGGGGCCGAGGAAGAGCUCUGAGGCGAUCGAGGUGAGGCUUCCGGCGAUGAUGAGGACGAGCUCGAGGUGGCCGAGCCGCGGGGCNNNNNNNNNNNNNNNNNNNNNNNNNNNNNNNNNNNNNNNNNNNNNNNNNNNNNNNNNNNNNNNNNNNNNNNNNNNNNNNNNNNNNNNNNNNNNNNNNNNNNNNNNNNNNNNNNNNNNNNNNNNNNNNNNNNNNNNNNNNNNNNNNNNNNNNNNNNNNNNNNNNNNNNNNNNNNNNNNNNNNNNNNNNNNNNNNNNNNNNNNNNNNNNNNNNNNNNNNNNNAUAUAUAUAUUAGAGUCCGUUUACUAUACUUUUAUUAGUAUUGGCUCCCUUAUACUCAUAAGUUUUCGGCCCUUAGAUUUAUUACAUUAAUCAUUUUCAUCCGUUAGAUUAUAUUAUUUAAUUAACUACCUACUCAACCCUAGGGGACCACUAUUAUUUUAAGUAGGAACGACCAUCAUCCUAACCAUACAUCCUAUCAAUCAUCGGUUAAAAAUUUAUGAGUAUAAGAGGGACUAUACUCAUAAGAGUAUAUAUAUGAGAGAGAGAGAGAGGGGUUGAUCUAUGAAGGGAGGGAAAGGGUUUGGGGGAUUUAAGUUGAUGGGUUUAGGGCUAUCUCUAGAGAGUUCCGAGUCGAAAAAGUUUGAAACCUCAACAUUUGAAAGUUAGAAACUACAAGAAGUUUGAAGUUUUGAACGUGAAGGUUCUCAAAAAAGAGGAAGUUCAUUAUUUAUAUUUUUAUUUCUUUUAAUUAAUUAAUCGAAUCUAACACCAGCAACGUACACAAUGUGCUAAUUAACUAGAAUUGUUAAUUAGAACAAGCCAAAGUAAAAUGCGCCAAUUUUAUUUUCUCUCUUGUUUUACCUAGCGAGAGGACUACAUUAGAAUUCAAGUGUCAAAUAUUUUUUUUUUCUUUUGAGAAAAAGGUAGCAUGCUACAUGCUUCGUUUAUUUCUUUUAAAAAUAAAUUUAGCUGAAAAUAUUAAUCAACUAUAAUUCAAACUAUUAUAUNNNNNNNNNNNNNNNNNNNNNNNNNNNNNNNNNNNNNNNNNNNNNNNNNNNNNNNNNNNNNNNNNNNNNNNNNNNNNNNNNNNNNNNNNNNNNNNNNNNNNNNNNNNNNNNNNNNNNNNNNNNNNNNNNNNNNNNNNNNNNNNNNNNNNNNNNNNNNNNNNNNNNNNNNNNNNNNNNNNNNNNNNNNNNNNNNNNNNNNNNNNNNNNNNNNNNNNNNNNNNNNNNNNNNNNNNNUAGAAACUUCAAAUGCGCUAGAUCAAGUCUAACGGAGCCGAUCGUCGAUUCGAAAAUUCCAUCAUCAAAAACGGCUCAGGAGCACGGAGGCCUCCGUGCUCCUAAGAGCACGGCAGCCCGGCUCUAUAUAUAUAUAUAUAUAUAUAUAUAUAUAUAUAUAUGUAUGUAUGUAUGCUCACACAUGCAUGCAUGUAUAAUUUAACACAUGUUUUUCUCAUUGUUUUUUGUUUUUUCUAACUCCCUCUCUGUUUCCCUGGGCACAGUUGGGCACCAAAUUCCUUUAUUUUGGCCCAGCUCGCGCGGCGCGUACGUUCUCACUGGGGAUGGAUUUGCACCAGGAUUAGUGUAUCAAACAAAUUGUUGACAAAGUUAAUUUAUAUUUUAGUAACGUAGCAUAUAAAUAAAGAUAAGCAACAGUGACUAGAAUAUAUUACUAGUUGACUUUAAUAAGAUUACAGUGUGCUGCUUUUUAGUAGGAAACAGUGGUCUCUGUCGGAAACAAGUUGCAACUUCGCGUAAUUGCUUUUCCACAAAUUUGUCACGUAUCUUAUGACUCUACACGUAGUUCAAUUAGCAUUAAUUCUAGAAGUUGACCGUUUAUGUUAGCUUGUGGGGUCGAUGGAAGAGGAUCCUCAACUAAAUUUAAACAAAAAUUAAACACGCAUGUUACAUGUGUGUACCUGAUAGAUUGAAUCGAACCACAUCAACUUUUAGGAAGUAAUUAACUAGAGAUAAUGUUAUAUGGCCUACAGUAAAGAACCGUUCUUUUUAAUUUAUCCUUACAAAGUUUAAGUUAUAAAAUUUAUUCCUUCAAAAAUUUCGAGUUAUGAACAUAUGCCCUUAGAUUUAUUGCCAUUAGUGAGCCUGUAAAAUGGAUCGUUUUGCGAUUACAAAUUUGUCAUGCCUUGAAAAACUCCAACCGGCAUUGCUGCGGAUUUCGAGGCACAAGCCACGAAGGCGAGACACGGCGUGAAGGGAGUGAAGAACGACGACACUCCUCUCACCUCAUCCACCGACCCCGGCGACGAAAACGACAACGGCACUCUUCUCUACUCGGAUUAGAAUUAUAUAUAUGAAGAUAUUAAGGACAUUUUACCACUAAACUAAAAUAGAUUCGAACUGUAUGAAUAUUUUUGCAAUUUGAAGAAAUAUUUAUAAUAUUUCUAAUUGACUGUCCCUAGUAUAAGGGGCAAAGGGAUUGGUGAUUGAUAUCCGAGAUUUCAAGUUCGAAUUCUAGUUGAUUUACAUUUUCAGCUAAAUAUUUUUAGGUCGGGUUGGAGCUACCAAGCCUCCGUCCAGCACGACCCUUGGGCCCGGUCGGCACGGGCCGUGCUCUGGGCCGGCCUCUUAAAAUUUUUAUUUUUUUUAUUUUUUUAAAAGUACAAAUUUUAAAAUAUAAAUAAUAAAUUAUUUUUUAUGUAAAUUAAUAUUUUGAUUAUAAAAUAAUAUUUUUAUUUAAAUAAUAUUUUGACAAAAUAUUUAUAAAAUAAUAAAUAUUUAAAAUAAUAUAUUAUAUAUAUAUAUAUAUAUAUAUAUAUAGAAUUAGGCUGGAAAUACUAUUAAUAGUAAAACACUUUUUGCUAUCAAGUUUUUAACCCUUGGAUGAAAAAUUGGUAGGUUCAGGAUAAUAUUAGUCAGUUAGAGUUGAGUGGUUCCCCUAGAUUGAGUGUCCCCACUCGGAUUAUGAGAUUUAAUUCAAUGGUUAGAAAUAAUGAAAAUAGUUGAUCCAAAGGCUAAAAAUUGUAGCAACAAUGAGAUUUUGCUUACUAAUAGUAGCCCCAGUCCAACUCUAUAUAUAUAUAUAGAUUAUAUAAAUAUAUAUAAAAAAUUGAGAUAGUUUUUGGUCUAAUGGACCAAAUUUGUUUUUGGUCCAUUUGACCAAAGAUCUCCUUCCGAGAUAGCUCCUGGGGCCUUCUCUCCUAGGAGCUGAGAUCCCAACGCCCAAGGCCUGGCGUUCGGGCUGUGCUGGCCGCGGCUGGCACGUCCCAAGGUGUGUCGAGCCACGGGCUCUUCGCGGCUGGCACGACCGCCAAUGUGGUUUUUCGACUCGGUUCCGGCCGCCGGGCGCAAGAAGAGAGGUCCCAGCACGGCCUAAAGUUGCCCUGGGUAGGGCCGGCACGGGUGUUACAACGCCCAUGCCAUGCAGCAGCCCGGCUCGAUGCCAUGCCGUUAGGGAUGCAAACGGGGCGGAUCUGGGGGCGGGAGCCCCGCCCCGCCUUCCGCCCCGACUAGCAAAAUCCCGCUCCGCCUCCCGCCCCGAAUCCAUGAUGGGUUAAAAAAUACAUCCCAUAAUCCGCCCCAUCUCAUAACCGCCCUCCCGCCGGCGCCCCGAAUCCGCCCCGCCAACUAAUAUUUUUUAUAAAAUUAUAAUAUUACUAAUAUUUUAUAAAUUAUAAAUUAAUAAUUUUUAAUAAUAUUAUAUAUAUAAUUUAAUAAUAUCAAUUAUAAAAAUCAAACAUAUCAAUCACAAAAUAAAAUUCAAAAGUUUCAAAUAUAUUAGAAAUGAGAGUACUAACUUAUUUGUAAUUUGAACCUUUUUUGUAAAUAUAUUAUUUUUUAAGAAUAUUUUUUUAAAAUAUAAAUAAUUUUCGAGGUGGCGGGGCGGAUUCGGGGUGAGUCAAAAUUUCUCUCGUUUUCUGUCCCGAAUCCGUCUCGGAUCGUAAAAUUUAUCCCGUUUUCUAUCCCGAAUCUGUUUAUUUUCUCCCAUUUACUAACCCGUCGGGGCGGUAAGAGGCGGGAGCUCCACCAAUCCGGAUCCGUUUGCAUCCCUAGUGCCGUGGGCCAGCCUGUUUUACAUCUCUAUCCGCACGUACGUAUCAAUUUUAAGAAAUUUUAUUUGGAUGUCGAAAUAAGUUAUAACACACAAAUAUUACUGAAAGCAAGAUUCAAUCCUAUGUCUUCGUACUUGCAAAGAGCGAAAAUUGAAACAUAGAGCGAAAAUUGAAACAUACGAAGAUGCAUAAACGCAAUUGGUAUAGAGAACUUAAAUCCAGUGCCUUUUAUAAUUUCUCUUAUAAUUUAUCCGAAUUAAUUUCUGUAUUAUCCGUUUCUGCUAUUUUGGCAGUAAUUGGUUUUCAGAAAAAAGUAAAAAAUUAUUUUUGAAAAAAAAACUUUUAAAAUUUUUUAGGUUUCAACGAAAACAAUUUUUCUUAAUUUUUUUUUCACAUUUCAUAUGAAAAAUUAUUAUUUUUGUUUUUUCAUGAAAAUCUCCUUUAAUUUAAAGGAAAACUAGUUUUCCCUGAAAUUUUUUUAAAAAAAUUUAAAAUUUUAGUUUUUCCUCGAAACUCAACGGAUGGUAAAUCAGAAAAGAAAAUUUUUUAUAGAAAAAUAAUUUUUUCAUACUUAUUCUAAAAACCAAACACCGAGUUAGCAUUUCAAAACAGUCAUGUUUCCACUAUAACUGCACAUGAUAUAUUAAUCUCUCGACACGUUAAACGGACGGUUGAGAUUGCUUGAGAUCUUCAGCUUCAGGAGAAGAGAUCAAAGAAACAUCCCCACCCCCUGAUCUUAGUUUCCUGUACUCAACACACUUGCUGUCGGUUCUCAGGCACAAAUAAGCCACCAAAACUGCUAUCCCGGCCAGAGUCCAGCUGAACUGCAGGUUUGCCAGCGCCGUCGCCCGCUGACUCGCUUCCUCCGUUCUGCAUGCAACUGCACUCAUGAAACUGCCACUGCCGCUGCCACUGCCCGUGUCGCUACCGCUUUCUGUGCUGUAACACCCUUUCGGAAGAAACCGCGGGAGCCACAGCGCAAAGCCCAUGACGACGAACCAGCACCCCUGGAAAAGGACCGACGCCGACCUCACCGUCGCCGCCAUGAAGCUGCUUGGGAGUCCCACGGUCGUGACGGUGGCGAGAAAGGAAAAGGCCACUACGAGCUGCAGGAGCCAGUGGUAGUGGCCCUCGAGCCCCGCGUGGUCCACGGAGUGGAAGCUGAGGAGAAAGAGCUCCUGCACAUACGCGUGUGUAUAUAUAUAUAUAGGGAUAAGAAUUGAGCUUCUACACUUUUAAAAGUACAGAGUUAUUAGUGCUAGUAACUUUUAGGCCCUUAAAUUAAGAAAUGCACGGUAAGGAUAAUAUGUUUGAGUGUGAUUAAAUAGUAUAAUUUAAUAGGUGUAAAUGGUUAAAGGAAUAGAUCUAAGGGUAAAAAAUUUAGCAUCAAAUGCUUUGCGUUUUUAUAAACACCAUAGCCAGAUUCCAGGGAUAAAUCACUUAUAUGACUUUAAACUUAUAUAUUAUAUUAUAUAAUAUAUAUAAUAUAUAUAUUAUGAAAGAUCAAAAUAUUUUUACUAAUUUUUAAAAGAAAAUUCAUAAAAUUCUAUGUUUUUUAGGGUUUACUAAUGAGGUUGAAUUUUAGAAAAAUAUUUUGAUUAUUUUAGAAUACAUUUAAAAAUUAUGAAUAAUAGUAAGGAAUAAAUGAGCAAAAUUAAGUCCUAUAUAAAUAUAGGCAAAAGUUCGGGAUUUACUAUAAAAUCAAUUAGAAUAGAAACCUAUAUAAACUCUUUUUAUACAAUAUGUAUAAAGGUUACUAAAAGAACAAUUGAAAUCAUGCAUGAUUAUUCAUAUUUUCUUGUGACUUUUUUGCCAAUAUUCAUAGACCAAUGAAUAAUUCAAAAAAAGCUCGUCGGAGCGAAAUUUCAUGAACUAUACAUAUAUAUAUACUAGUAGCUAGAAAUUCAUUCUUGUUUUUUUUUCCGACAAUAAAUGCUGUUGCAAUUGAUAACUAUUAGUUACAAUAAUAACUUUCUGCGACAAAUAAGAAUCUUUGCAAAGCGGUACUAUGAAUCUUAUAAUAAUAGAUGACUGAAAAUGUUGAUUUCGAUUAUGAUAAUAGUAUAAACUGUUGGAAUAAAUUUUUUUUGAUGCCAUUAAAAUAAUGUAAUCGAAAAAAAUUAUUGUAAUGUAUUUGCAGAGUUCAAAAAUACAAAAAAAAAAAAAAAGAAAAGAAAAGAAAAAAGAAAAAAGAAAUUGUUACUAUGCCUGCGCAAAAACGGAGGCGGCGAGAGUUCCGACGAGACUUCGGAGUGCGUCGGGGGAAGCAGAGAGGUCGACUGCUAGGGCGACCGAAGCGUAGACGGCGAGAUGGAGAAACAUGGUGGCGUGCUCGUAGUUGUCGGGCUUGAAAGAUAGGCUCAGAAGAGGGUAGUCGAGGAUUUGGACGGCGGCGGCGGCGGCGGAGAAGGAGAGGAGGAGGUAGAGUUCCGAGUGUUUCGGAAUGGUUACUGGAGUAGUAGUACUAGUGAAAGGAAACCAUGUUGAUGAGGUGAAAUUGGAGGGGCCUUUGAGUUUGUAAGUUUUGAUGGUGUUAAGAGUGUGCCAGAUGCCUAUUAUUGUGAAGGCUAGGCCCGGGAUAAUGUGGCCUAAGAAUGUUCCCAUGGCUUGGCUUGGCUUGGCUUGCUUUUGCUGCUACUGAUGUGGGCUGAGCUUGUUUGGGUUAUAUAGAGAGAAAGUUACGAAUAUUUGAUGUUUCUUUGUUGGGAUCAUUUUCUUCAAUUUAUUGUCUAAUAAGAUACUGAGAUUUGUAGGAGCUUCUCAGUGGAGUCAAUAGUAAGAUAGUUAGAUUUGUAGGAGCUUCUCAGUGGAGUCAAUAGGAAUGCAAACGGAGCGGAUGGAGAGGCGGGAGGGGUUCUUACGCCAUUUCUUAUUGGGUUGGAACGGACUCUGGUCGGAUUAAAUAUAAUUUUAUUUUUGACUAUCAUUUAUAGCUUCAUUCGGAACAGAUCAGGACAGGAGUAAACUUUUGGCCAAUCACGGCAGAUAAAAGAAAAAAAGGGAUCUCCCGCCUCUGCUAUAUUUAUUUAGUGGAUCAGACCGGAUUAUAUUUUUUUAUAUUUUUAUUUUAAUUUUUACUCCAUUCGACUAAUCGGGACAGGAACUCCAACAAUCCAUAGCCAUUUACAUCCCUAGGAGCCAUACUCAUGAUUACAAAGAUAUAUAUAUAUUUUCUCAACAUAUCUUGGUUUUAUUGAAGAGCUUCUUAAGGAGACAUGCUCGUGAUUGCAAAUGUUUUUUUUUUUUCCACGCAAAGUAAUUUUAUUGAGGAGCUUCUUAAUGGAGUCAUGCUCAUGAUUACAAUAUAUAUAUUUUUUUAUUUGAGAAAAACUCAUGUAGAAAUUUGAAACAACUAAAUUUUCAAUAUCAACUAUUAAAUUAUUAACUAAAUGCGCUAGAUACGAUCGAUUCAUGAUUACAAAUAUUAAAUCUAAAUUACUAUAACCAUUAUUUUUUAUUAUCUUAAAAUUUUAAAGUAGUGGAUUAUUUUAUAACAAAGAUGUUAGGUUUGUGGCCGCAAAAGAGAAGGUAAAAGCUAGCACUACAGAUCUAGCUAUCAUUGAGAUAAAAAGGCAACGGAUAUUAUAUGAUGAUGGAUAUUAUAUGAUGAUAAAUCAAGACACAAAAGGGUCUCAAGAAAAAAUUAUAAUUUGGUAAAUUCACCCAAUAAUAUAUUUCCAUUUCAAGUAGAAUCCUUGUAUAUUUUGUUUAAUUAACAUGUAUUUUUUAAUGAGACCCUUUUGUGUCUUGAUUUAUCAUCAUAUAAUAUCCAUCAUCAUAUAAUAUCAUGAUGGAUAUUAUAUGAUGAUAAAUCAAGACACAAAAGGGUCUCAAGAAAAAAUUAUAAUUUGGUAAAUUCACCCAAUAAUAUAUUUCCAUUUCAAGUAGAAUCCUUGUAUAUUUUGUUUAAUUAACAUGUAUUUUUUAAUGAGAAAACUUCAAAAAUCCCCCUGUUUUCAUACUUUUUCACUUUAAUACUCUGUGGUUUAAAGUGUAUCAAGUUAGUACCAUGUGGUUUCGCACUUUCUCAUUUAGUACCCUGUGGUUUCAAGUGUAUCAAGUUAGUACUCUGUGGUUUUAUUUUUGUAUCAAGUUAAUAUCCUGUAUUUUUAUUUUUGUAUCAAAUUAGUAUCCUAUGGUUGUAUUUUUCUCCAAAUAAAAUAUUAAACCACAGGGUACUAAAGUGAGAAAGUACGAAACCACAUGGUACUAACUUGAUACACUUUAAACCACAGAGUACUAAAGUGAGAAAAAGUGAAACCACAAGGAGGUUUUUUAAGUUUUCCCUUUUUUAAUUGAUAUACUUUUAUAAUUUAUAAUUUAUAAUUUAAAGUAUUAUAAUUAAUCAGAUUAAAGUAUCUUAUUUAUUAUUAUCAUUAAUUAUUCUGAUUUUAUUUGCUACAAAGUAACUAAAAUGAUAGAAUUUGAUAAAUUAUAUUAAUUUGAAAAUAGAGGGAAAAAUAAAAGAGUUUCAAUAAAAAAUAAAAUAUAAUUGCUGAGGGUUCUCUAUUCAUUUUUUAUUUUAUAUUUGAAAAAGUAGGGAAGAAAACAAGACAAAUGAGAACACAAGGAACUAGGAAAAUAAACCGGCUUAAUUACACGCUGGUAUACUAAAUUUUAAAAUAGUAUCUUUUCUGGUUAUAAUUUAUUAUAUGUUAUUUUAAAGGCACUAUUGAACUAUCAUUUGCUUCUUACUCUCUAAAUUAUAUUUUAGGUUUAUUUUUCAUUUACUAUACCGCACUAUAUAUUUUCUUUUUCCCAAGGCAUCAGUAAACGAUUAUUUUGUAAUCAAUUUUUACAAUACCAUCAAAAAAUCAAUCUACUAUUUUACAUAAAUAACUAAUAAUUCUAUCAAGAGGAACUAGGCUGAAUAUACACUCGGCUAAUUCCAACUAACACUUUUAGAUGAAGCUGCAAGCUUCCAUCUAAAAUUGUUGACUUACUACCUACCGUAUAGAGAUUGAUAAAAAAAUAAAAAAAAAAAUAAAAAAAAACUUAUUAAAAGUACAACAUUAUAAAUAGAAAAACUCUGAAGUAUAGUAUAAUGUACUAUAGUGUAAUUAAGCCUAUAAACAAGGAAGGGCAAAGAAGGAAUCUUACAUUGGGACUUUCAACUUUCCUAAUCAAUAAAGUUUCUUUUAUAUUUAUUAUGAGCAAUAUGAGUAGGGGUAAAAGUGGUUAGGAUAAACUCCGAUUAAAUUCAACACCGAAUUCGAUAGAAUUAAAAUAUAGAUAUUCAAAUUUAACAUUCGAUAUAUAUUUGUAUCUGAAUUUGCAUCCGAAAAAAUAAGAAUAUAAUUUUUUUUUAAAAAAAGGUAUGAUUGUAUUUAAUCGUCUUCACUUCAAAAAAGAUAAGAGAAAUAUUAAUAUAUAUUGUAGGAGGAUAGAAUGGUUUUCUAUCCUGUUCUUCAUUUAUGUUACUAUAAAUUUUGUGUUAAAAUUGCAUUCGUAUUUGUUAUUAUAUGAAAUUUUAUUGAAUGAAAUAUAAUUAUACGAAGUUUGAAAACAAUUGUGAAGCUUAAAUUGCAACGUCUUCACGUUAACGAAACACCCUUUUCUAAGGAACCUUCUUCGACACGUUUUUGAGCAACACCUUACGAACCAAAACAUCCUUUAAAUACCUUGUGGGUGGUACCUUAAUUUAUAUUUUAUUUCAACUAUUCAUUUAGAAAAAUAAAUGACUAGGAUUUACAUGUUCUUUGAAGCAUCUUCUUUCAAACAAAAGAAUUCAAAUCUAAAAUACAAUUUAUUUUAAUUUCUGAAAUUGCAAAUUUGUUUAAUUUUAUGUUAUUAAUUAGUUAAACUUUAGCGUCGUUACAGCAUUUUUAUUAGUGGAUAAUAAUGAAGAUAGUGACUCUAGUGCUUGAAAGUUGAACCCAAGUUUGUGAUGGUGGAAUUACAGGCGCUUCCCAAUAAUGUUAGUGGAAACUUCGCAUAAGUCCAUUUCAUUAAAGUGUCAUUGUUUGUUGCUUAUAAUCUUUGGGGGGACCUUUUACACAUAGAGCACCUUGCUUUGUCACUCUCUAUUUACUCUUUUUAUUUUGAGUAUAAAUAUUAAAAUUAUGCACACCCCUUGUUUUAAGCUUUAGUUCUUAGAGUAAUGAAUUGUUUUACAUGUUAUCGAAACAGGAAUUAUGUGUUUUCUUCCUAUUCGAUUCAAGUUCAUACCUUAAAUGUGUAUUAAGCUCCUGUAUACAAAGAGUAGUUAUAUCAUCUUAAUUUUCACUUACUCCUAAGACCAGUAUUAAAUAUGUUUAGAAUUUUUGAGCGAAGGGAUUUUCUAAUCUUAUUAUGUUUUGAUUAUUUCAUUAAUUUAAGUUAGUAUUAUUGCUAAUCUUAGUGAAUUUUACUCUCAAUUUAUUAGAAUUUAACUACUAAUAUAAAUAUACUUAUUAUUCUGUAAAUUGGUGGGACGGACAAAAGAAAAUACGGAAUGUAUUUUGUGGUUAGAAGUUUAAGAGAGAGAUUUUUUGUAUUUCACCUUUGACAACAAUAAAAGUCUACUUUUGUCUUAUCAUGUGGACGAAAGCUAGUGAUCGAACCCAAUAAAUUAUUUAUAUAUUUUGUUUUUUUUCUCUUUUUCUUUAUUCUAUUUAAUCCUUAAAUAGAGACAUAGGUUUAGCAUUUUCCUCAUCCUGUUAAAGAAGAAUAUUUAAGUGGUUAAGAUCAUGAAAAGUAUCAUACAGGUUGAAGAAGAGGGAAGAAAAAUGUUGGAGCUUUCUGGAGGAACAAAAAAUGACAGCAAGAUCAUUUACCUUGACCUUCUUGACUAUAUAUAUAUAUAUAUAUAUAUAUAUCGAGAAACCUCAAUUCUCACUAGAUCUCGAAGCCUAUAAAGAAGCUUAAAAACCCAUUUGAUGCAUUAGGCCAAGGAAAUCAUAUUUUCACCACCUAAAAAGAUUCAACUUUAGACAAGAUUUAGGAAAAAUAUUUAGACAUAACAAGUUACAAUGCAAUCCGGUGGCCCACCAUGACUCACCGAACGCAUUUGAUUCGAGUUAUCUGCCAGAAUUACUGUAUUUAGUUCAUCCAGUCUGUAAUCUGGUCGAUAAUAUAACAUUACAAUUAGGGUGAGUUUAGUUCACACUAUAAAAGAUUACUAGCAAUAAAAAAAUGUCCGAAAAUUUUAUUCCUAUUCAUCCUAUUACUAAGAAUGUGGCAUUCCUGUGUUUGGUUCGCACGGUUAUAUUAUUUAAUCAUGUUAUUUAAGUUUAUAAAAAAUAUACAAUUAAUUUAUUUAUUUCUGUAAUUAAUUUUAGAUAAUGCCACCAAAAAUUUCAACAUCUUUUUAAAAAAAAUGAGAGAGAGAACAUAGAUUAGAGAGAGAGAAAACAUAAUUAAAAAAAUUGGAAUAGAUAUAGAGUCGAGAUUAGAAAGAGUGAGAGAGUUGAGAUUUAAAAAAAAGAGGGGGAGAGAGAGCUUAGUUUAGAGAGAGAAAAAGAAUUGAAGUUUAGAGAAAAAAAAAUAAGUUUAGAGAGAGAUAUGAGGUUAGAGUCUAAAGAAAAAUAAUACCAACUAGCCGGCGGGUAGAGAGAAAAAAAGAAAUUAGACAUAUUAUGAUUACCUCAAUCCAUUAAUAUGAGGAUACCCACCCUCUCUCAAGGAAAUGAGAUUAGUACUUUGGAAUGAAUCUCAUUCCCGAAUAAAUCUAAUAUUAUCAACUAGAUUACUUAGUGCGUUUAGUCAAACACCGUUAUAUUUUUUUUAUUCCUAUUGGACUACUAGAAAUCUUAAAAAGAUAGUGCGAACCAAACGCACCCUUAGUGCAAAAUAUCCCGAAAAUAUUACCGAACAAAGGUAUGGAUAAUCUUACAUAUUAUAUAAAAUUUUAAUUUUACCCCUCCAACCUUCAAACCCUUUUAAUACAUCAUCUUUAUCUCUCUCUCUCUAUUCCUAUUCACACGAACUCUUAUAAAUGAGUUUUUAAAUUAAAAUUUAUUUAUUCUCAAGUGAUCGUAUGAUUACAUAGUUAUGGUCCUUUUUUGCUAAUUCUUUAUAUUGGUUGAAAUUAAUUUUUAGUUUUAUAAAUUUUUUUUCGUUGUGUGUGGUCUUUUUAUUUACAUUGCUUAUUAAUAGAAUUAAUUCAAGUGCAAAUUAUAUUAAGUUAUAGUUUAGUAAAAAAAAUAUUAAAUAAACUAUACUUUACUGUCAGAAUUACUAAAUUUUAUAAACUGAACCAAACAUAAUAAUUCAAUAUACAUUAUAAUCUAACAUUACAAUACCGCAUUAAACCAAACGCUGUAAUGUAGUAUCUGUAAUAAUCUAAUUCAAAAAUCUCAGAUAUCUGGUUAUAUCGAGAUAACCUGUAAUGCUACAUAAUCUGAACCAAACGGGCCCUCCGGAUUUUCCUUUAAUUCUUCAAGGAUUGUUGAGUACCCUUCACAACAUAAGAUGAAGCUACAUGAGACAUGUUUAGAUAUGUUUGAAGCUUAGGAUAACUUCAAAAUUGUUAGCAAACCCAUCUCUUUGCUGAUUGCCUAAAAAAGAAAAACAACUUACUAGAUAUAACAUGUAUCUUCACACAAAGAAAUUAAAUGAAAAGGACUGAGAACAGAUUGAAACAUUACGUUCAGCUAUACACUAUCGCUUCCCAAGCAAUGGAAUGCCCUUUAAAAAUAGCUAGAGAUACUGAAUUAUCAGAAUGGAUAAAAAAACAGAGAACUAUUUCUUUCCAUGAUCAUUUAAAAACUAGUCGACAAUCCUAAAAUUGGACCUAUAAGCCAGCUUUUAAUUGGAAGUGUUAGAUAUCUCGAUUAACAAGGAGAAAAAUAAUAGCUUUAUCCAUACAAGCUAACAAGGAUUAGAAACAGGUGUGAUCCUAAAAGAAAGAUAGAUCAAGCUCACUGGCAAUUGUAGCUCCUACUAAAAAAGGAUAGUAUCAUGAUGUUACACAGUGGAAUUUCCAGCGUUCUGCCGUUCUAACAAAGACAAAAGCUCCAAGGGUGAAAACACAAUUUGGAAACCAAACUAAGUCUAUUCCAAGGGCGGAAAAGAUAAAUAUGAGACAUUGCCCCUACCAUCCCGCACUUCCAUUUAAUUAUUGCACCAGUUAUAGUGAUCAUUCCAUUAUUGUGAAAAGUGCAUGUUGUCCUCGGGCAUACAUCUUCAAAAUAUUGGCUAGGAGAAAAUUUUGAGCCUCACAAGGACCAACUCAAGAAAAACAGUGUUAGGGAAUAGAAUCUGCUUAAUUAGACUAGUUAUGAAGAAAGAGUAUCUAAACAAGAAAAUGUCACCAGAGGUUGGCCUGAUUUCACAUCUUUAUAGUCAUCCACAUCACACAAAAUCAAGUACAUGAAGGUCUAAGCAUCGCAACAAUUUCAAAUUUUAGUCAUCACAUUAGUUCAGCAAAAUAAACAAAUAUAAGAGAAUCUAAAAGUACAUAAUAUCAAACAAAAGAAAAGAGUAAGAAGAAGAUAAGAGUCAAACUAAAAUUGUACAUGCAAUUGAUAAUCAAUUGAUUCAGACCUUUUGGUCAUCAUCAGUAAGGAGUUUGCGAAGUAACAGAUGGUUUAGAAAGUGGUCGCAUAAAAGAUCACAAGUAAUAUAAUGCAUGAGCGUUCUCUUUAUCAAAGGGAUUGGCACGAGCAAGUUUAAGUAUAUAAAAAAGUCCAAAAUUCAUUUGAAUGAGACCAGAUAUGUUAUGAGCUUCUAGGGAGAAAUGUUAAUGUGAAAAAUUAACCACAACAUCAAAUUCUAAGAACCCUCGCAUCCAACAAUAUCAGGGAGAUCCAUUGCCAACAAAAACCCUAGCAAUCUAGCCAAAAGAGUAAGAAAAAAAAAUGUAGUUGAAGUGCGGUUGCACAAUUAAUGUGACUAGUAACAAGAAAAUGAAAUGCUCUCAUCCAAAAUGGUAUUAAUGUGAAGUCUCUCUCUCUCUCUCUCUCUCUCUCUCUCUGCAGUUGUGGAAUCUUCUUAGAGAUGUCUAGUUGAGAUUAUUAACCUAAUCUUCUCAUUGAUGUAUGCUCAUGUUUGCUACAAUUGUAGAUUAAGCCCCUUUAUCAAAUAAAAUCAUCCACACUGAUGAAACCCUAGCCCUAAAGGGGUCGGUAACAAGCAUGAAAAAGCAAUCCAGAUUGAAAAUGUGAUGCAAUAAAAGCUAACAACCAAAUUGAACUGAAAAGAAACAGUUAUGAUCACAAAACCUGCGAUCAAUUCCAACAGGAUCCGUGGUGAAGCAGCCGCACCGGGUCACGGGGGGAGCUCGUAGCCGCCGAUUCAAGCGAAAUCCUAGGAUAGUGAUCUCUCAGGAGUUGAGUUGCUCCGAAGUGAGGCUCGAGCUCGGUGCCGAGCCAUCAUUGGGGCUCUCGGAGGCGCCGUCGCCAUUAACGAGGUCAAGGAUCUCGCUCCGCAGCCGCUCUCCACCGCUAUCGACCAGAGUCCUGCAGCAGCGAAGGGGUAGGGAGGAGGAGGGGAUCCGCUAUAGCAGCGGAGGCGGUGACAGGGUCGAGGGUUUCGGGGGUGUCGGAGGGAGGAAUUCGUCGGGAGCACCUAAGUAGGGGUGGGGUCCGAGUAGGGGUGUAAUGUGGGCCGUGCCCACAUUUUCCGGGCUGAAAUGUGCUAGGGGCCGGCCCGGCCUGGCCUGGAUUCAAAUUCGUGACGGGCCGUGGGGGGCCCAAGUUGCCUACCCUCUGGCCUGGCACGUCUCUUAGGCCCGGAAGGUAUGGGCCAUGCCGGGCCGGACCGUGCUUCGGGCCGGCUUAGUACAAUAUUUAUUUUUAAAUUUUUUUAUAAAAAUUUACUAUGAAAUUUAAAAAUAUAAACAAUAAAUAUUUUUAUUUAAAUUAAUUUUUGAUUAAAAUAUUAUAAAAAUAAUUAUACUAAAAUAAAUAUUUAUUUUUUUUAAAAAAAAUAAAUUUCUAUUUUUNAAAAUAUUCCGUCGCUAAAAAAUAUUAUCAAGUAUCAAAUUAAACAUUAACGACGGAUAUUGUCGUCAAUAAAAACAUUCAGAAUUUAAAGUUUAUUGAACAGAUAUACUUUACUUUGAUUUAUAAAUAUACCAUUAUUUUUAUAAACUUUAAUAUCCACUGGUUGUCAUCAAAUAUUUCACUAUACAUAUAGCUAGAAGUGUUCUAAAAAAAGGUAAUUUUGGCACUAGUUCACCUAUUAGCUCUACUAUUUCACAAUUUUCACAAGUUUGAUGACGAUACUCGUGCGAAACGUCCUUGAAUAUAUUAGCUAGCAUGAUCCCAUUUUCUAUUAUGAAUACUAGCCAUUCUUUUGUUACAAAAUUACAAAAUUACUCUAUUAAAUCUACAAAAUAGUCCAAAAUAAAUGUCUUGUUCAUCUUUGAACUAUAUAGUUUUAUAGUAUUUCUUUUGAUCUCAGUUCUCUCUGACAACAGUGGGCAUAUGUCGGCUUAAUACACAACAGGUGCCGCGAGGCUCCAUUUCUUACACAUUGAUCAAAAAUAGCAACAUUUGAUGGAUCAAGACGGGUAGCAAUCAUCAUCAAAAUAAGGUCAAAAUAAAGUUUUGACAAUAGUUGUCUUUCAGCUGAUAUAAAUUUUUAUACUUAAAUUAAGAAACUUUUUAAACUACCGUUAUUAUAAUGUAGAACAUGCCAUUAUUCAUACAUUGAAAGAUAAAAGGGUAAUUUUUUUGCAUUUUGGUUGUCAAAUUUUAUUUAAUGUUGAAACCAUGAACAUUCAACAGUAUUUUUUACUAUAGGAGAAAUAAUAUAUAACGAAAGAAAUAUUAGUCGUUAUAACUACCGUAUUGGUCGGUUAUAACUUUUAAAGAUCGUCCGAUUUUUUGUCGUCGCCCCUCAUAACAAACCUUCCUUCGCUAGAACUAAUUAUGAAAGUCACUAAUUUUCGUCAUUAAAGAUAUUUGACAACCAAAGCAAAUCCCGUUGUUACAUGUAAGUAAUAACGACCAUUAUUGUAGUUAUAACGACUAUUUGUUUGUUAUGUUUUUACAUAAAAAUACAUUAGGAACAAUUAUUAGUGAUGAAUAAAAAUUAAAUUACGACAAAAUAUUCCGUCGCUAAAAGAUAUUAUCAAGUAUCAAACUAAACAUUAACGACGGAUAUUGUCGUCGAUAAAAACAUUCACAAGUUUGAUGACGAUACUCGUGCGAAACGUUCUUAAAUAUAUUAGCUAACAUGAUCCCAUUUACUAUUAUGAAUACUAGCCUUUCUUUUGUUACAAAAUUGCAAAAUAACUCUAGUAAAUCUAUAAAAGAUUUCAAAAUAAAUAUCUUGUUCAUCUUUGAACUAUAUAGUUUUAUAGUAUUUCUUUUUAUCUUAGUUUUCUCUGACAACAGUGGGCAUAUGUCGGCUUAAUACACAACAGGUGCCGCGAGGCUCCAUUUCUUAUACAUUGAUCAAAAAUAGUAACAUCUGAUGGAUCAAGACGGGUUACAAUCAUCAUCAAAAUAAGGUCCAAAUAAAGUUUUGACAAUAGUUGUCUUUCAGCUGAUAUAAAAAUUAUACUUUAAUUAAGAAACUUUUUAAACUAACAUUAUUACAAUAUAUAACAUGCCAUUGUUCAUACAUUGAAGGAUUAAAGGAUAAAUUUUUUGCAUUUUGGUUGUCAAAUUUCAUUUAAUGUUGAAACCAUGAACAUUCAACAGUUAUUUUUUUUAUAGGAGAAAUAAUAUAUAACGAAGGAAAUAUUGGCCGUUAUAACUACCGUAUUGGUCGGUUAUAACCUUUAACGACUUUUCGUCGUCACCCGUUAUUAAAUCUUCCUUCGCUAGAACUAAUUAUGAAAGUCACUAAUUUUCGUCAUUAAAAAUAUUUGACAACCAAAGCAAAUCCCGUCGUUACAUGUAAGUAAUAAUGACCAUUUGUUUGUUAUGUUUUUACAUAAAAAUAAUUAGGUACUAUCAUUAGUGAUGAAUAAAAAUUAAAUUAUGACAAAAUAUUCUGUUGCUAAAAGAUAUUAUCAAGUAUCAAAUUAAACAUUAACGACAGAUAUUGUCGUCGAUAAAAACAUUCAGAAUUUAAAGCCCCUGGGCUCACGGGUUGGCAAUCCAACCACUUUUCCGGAAAAGAACACCCUCUUGCGGUGGAUCAGACCGCUGGUGUUCGUGAAAUGCGUACCUGCAGUGGCGAUCAAUAUAGUAUGCUCAAAGAUCUUCCAUCGGCAACUAGCCGACAAUCCAGCCCCUCAGGGCACACCGACCGUAUAGGCCAUCAACAACUAGUCGGCUACGUAUGUCAAGAUAGAACUGUAACAACUCGACCGAAUAGGUCAUAGAUAUCAAAAUAGGGGAACCGCCCAACCAAAUCACAGAUAUAGUGAACAGAUAAGUCGACUCUACUCCUAAGCAUGAUAUCAACAUGGAACCAUCGACCGCAUGGGUCAUCAUGUAACCAAAACGACCAACCAGGUCACAAAUAUAGGAUAUGAACUCGACCAAUCAUGUCACAAGUAUAUAAUCUAGAACUACCGUCGGCCACUAGCCGACAAUCCGACCCCUCAGGGUACACCGACCUCAACAGUCAUCGGACAACAGAAGUCAAAGAACCGACCAACUAGGUUACUGAUACGAGGUACAAGAAACUACCAACCAGGUCACAAGUGUAGGAGAUGCAACGUCGACCAUCCAGGUCAUGGAGAUCACAUAGGAGAUCAGACCAACCAAAUCAUAAAUAUCAUAAACAGAUAAAGUCUACUCUACUCCUACACAUGAUACUACACCUGGCAACAAUUAAGUAGAGAGUAAUAAAGAAACAGCAUGGGUGCAAGGCUCAACAUAUAUAUGGUAAAAGAUAUAAACAACAAGGGUAAAGGAAACGUCACCGAGCGUGCACCACUGUACCAACGUCGGAUCGAAGUACCCACCUGUACGUAUCUGACGAAGAUCUCUCGACUGUGAAGACGGUGCAACCGAACCUACGAAAGGUCCAACGGGUUAAGGUCUAACCCACUGACAUGAAAAGCUAACUCACGACCCCUGCUCACCAGAACCAUGACCGGUUUCCCAAAACCGAUUACUGAAUAAACCGGAAGUCCCGAAAACCGCACCGGAACUUCACCGUCGCUCACCCGUCAUUUCCAAACCCUCAAAACGACGCGGGUGACCAGCCAACCAGGCUCAGCGACGCUACAAUCAGCCACGAGGCACCGUCGGGUGAAAUCCGAACCGGAACCGCGUUCUAUCGGCGGAUUUCGCCGAAAACGCUCCGGAAAUCACUUUUCGAUUUCCGCAAGGGCUUGGGGCCUUGGACGAUCAGUCCAGAGGUUAGCCUCAGCCCACAAAUGCUGACAACAACAUCCACAACGAAGCAGAAAACCCAAAAGCCCAUACCGAUACAUGAAAUCGCAUCAUUUCAUGUGAUUUCUAGGCUUUUCUGGACUGUGCACGCAAACCAGAGGUCGAUUAAUCCGACCGUCGCACUCGCUGACAGGUUUCAGCAUGUCGGAGGCCGUGCUCACCUUUCGGAGCACUGCCGGCCACUGCGGUGCGCGCACGAGCGAUGUGAAAUUCAGAUAAACUGCGCGCACAGCGCGAAGAUCGUGACUAACUCACAAACCAGGGCAUCAUUGCCGCUGUUGGAGGUGAGCACGAUGUUCAGCACGAGUUGUAGAUCAUCGUGCUCACUUCCCGAAGCUUAGGAGGCUUAUCGGAUCACCGGAUAGAAGACCGGAACCUCGAAAAACAGUCUGUGACACCCCAAUAGUCCCACAUCGGAUGGGAAUGGGGUUGUCAUUGGGUUUAUAAGAGACUUGUCAUUGGGUUCCCACAUCGGAUGGGAAUAAUAACUGGGCUUAAGCAUUUUGGGCCGGUUGUUGGGUCCAACGAGUUAUUGUUGCUUAGUGGGCUGGGUCGUUACAGCAUAUGUCGGCUUAAUACACAACAGGUACUGCGAGGCUCCAUUUCUUACACAUUGACCAAAAAGUAGUAACAUCUAAUGGAUCAAGACGUGUUGCAAUCAUCAAAAUAAGGUCCAAAAUUUUUUUUGACAAUGGUUGUCUUUCAGCUGAUAUAUAAAUCAUACUUAAAUUAAAAAAUUUUUAAACUACCAUUAUUGUAAUUAUAACGACCAUUUGUUUGUUAUGUUUUUAUAUAAAAAUACAUUAGGUACGAUCAUUAGUGUAAUAAAAAUUAAAUUACGAUAAAAUAUUCCGUCGCUAAAAGAUAUUAUCAAGUUUCAAACUAAACAUUAACAACAGAUAUUGUCAUCGAUAAAAACAUUCAGAAUUUAAAGUUUAUGAGUCAAUAACGACCAAACAAUAUUUCUUUUCAUAUAUAUAACUAAAUAUUAACGACGGAUAUUGUCAUCCAUAAAAAUAUUCAGAAUUUAUGACUACGUGAGUCAACAACGACCAAACAAUCCAUCGUUAUAUAUAUAUAUAUAUAUAUAUACACACACGUAUGUACAUACAUGCAUAAUAUUCAUACUAUAUUACAUAAUUUAUUGUUCUUGUACUGAAUACAUUCUCAAUCUGCAUUUUUUGUUGAACAGGUAUACUUUACUUUGAUUACAAUUAACAAAAAUUCCAUUGAUGAUUUAGAUCCACAGAAAUUCUAUAGCGUCCAACAGAAAAGUGGUGGGAUUUGAUACUUCCUCCAAGAACAAUAAAUUGUUAUUGAAUUCUCAACAAAUAGCAUCUGACUAUAACACCUGCGGUACCAGAAAAAAAAUGGUGGGUACCAAAAUUUAUACCAAGAAUCCUAAAUUGCUAUUGUUUUGAACUAUGAACUAUAAAAUUUACAAAAGAAUUUCUUGAAAACAAAGAAAUAUACAAAAAUUAAUGAUAAUUUAUAUUAAUUGGAUAGAGAAUUUGAAGAGGAAAAUAGAAUGAAAAGAAAAUUGAGCGUAUCUCAAAAGAAACUAGAGUUGAUUAAAAUUGACACAAAAUAUUAUAAAACUUGGUUGUUUCAUUCAUCAAUAAUGAAAUUUACAAAGAUUUGAACGUAAGUUACCUCAAUUGGACAACGAAUUUGAAGGAGAUGAUUGAAUUGAGGAAGAAGAGGCGCCAAAUUGAAGAACAAGGUGGAGCGAUUGGAAUCUAAUGACCGAAACAAGAGCUUUGAAUCGUAAGACUCAUCUUCAGAGUGGAGGGUUAGGGUUUCUUUCCAAUAAAUUAAAAGCUCGUUUGGUUCGCAUUAUCUUUAUAAAAUAACCAGUAAUCCAAUCGAAAUUAAGAAAAUAUAAAAAUAUUUGGCUAAACACACUAAAUAAUCUACUCGGUAAUCUUAGAUUUACUUGGGAAUGAGAUUUAUCGCAAAUACUAAUCUUAUUCCCUUAGAAUAGGAUAGGUAGCUCCUAUUAAUUAUUUGGGAUAAUCUAAUUUUUUUUAAUUCAACGUGCUAUUUUUCUCCCUACUCAAUUUGAGACCCUCUCCCGGUCUCCUCUCUACACCAUGCGAGGCCCUCUCCCGAUCUCCUCUCGGCCUAAGGCAUGCACAUCAAUCUUCUCUCGACUUAGUUACACACAUCAAUCUAUCUUACCGGUAAUCUCAAAUAAUAUGAUAACACGGAUCAAACACUAGAAUGCCACAUCUCCAUUACUAGGAUGAGUAGGAAUCAAAAUUUUUAGCAUUUUUUUAUUCCUAAGAGUCUAUCAUAAUGCGAACGAAAUGCACCCUAAGAAAAAUAUUAGGACGUCCGAGUGCUAAGCGACUUCUAACUUUUUAUAGUACAUGAAGUGGAACGAGAAGGGCUAACCUCUCCAAUGGCAAAAAAAUCGGACAAGGACAUUUGCUGGAAAGCCCCUCUAAUUAGCUUUUAUACUUUUCGAAAUUAGCCCCAUAUUUUUUGGAGAUCCUUCACUUUCAAUUUUUUUAUUAAAUUUUUAUACUUAGUUUUGUUAAAAAAAAUUUAUAAAUUCAAUAAUUGUAUUACUUAUUAAUUAUUUUUAAUAGAAUUUUAGUAGCUGAGAAAAAAAUUUCUUAAUUCUAAAAAAUCAAAAGUUAAAAUAUUUCAACAAAACAAAGUAAACAAAUAGGGGGACAUUUCAAAAUGACAUUUAUUUGAGGGGUCUCUAUAAAUUUAUUUAUUAAAUUUAAAGAAAUGCUAAGUGUUCAACCCAAAAAGAUUGUAAUCUUUGCAACCCUUAAUCCAAUGGUUUAAGGGUUUAAACAAUUCUUUUGAUUUUUAGUUGAAAAAAAAGUUGAUAAGAGUAGUGUGUUAAUCAUAGCCUUUAGAUAGGCUAAGUUGUAAAAGUACAAUCCUAAUAUAGUUGUAAGCCUAGCAGCUUUCUUAAAUUUAUCAAACCCCUAUACUUGAAAAAAAAUUUGGAAUUUAAUUCAAUUUUGAACUCCUUUUAAAGAUUUAGUACAUUUUUAGUUUGUCAUGUUGGAAUUUAGAAGGAAAAUGCAAUUUGUACACUCUAGGCAUAGAUGCAAAUCUUAUACCUUAACCAUUUUUGGUUUUUAGUAUUAAAAAAAAAUGUUGAUUAGUGGGAGAAUAUGAGCCUAGGGUCAUGUUUGGGGAGACUAGAUUAGAUCGAAUUGGAUUAAGGGCAUGUUUGGUUCACCUAUUUUAAACUAUGAAAUCUGAAUGGAAUUCAUUGAUUCCGAUAGUUGCCGUUUGUUUUAUAGGAAUCAAAUUCCGAUUUCCAUUCCACUCCGGAAUGAGAAUGGCCAAAUCCAUUUAGGGCAUGUUUGGUUCUCCUAUUUUAAACUAUGGAAUCGGAAUGGAAUUCAUUGAUUCCGAUAGUUACCCUUUGUUUUACAGGAAUCGGAUUCCGACCAUUCCACUUUGGAAUGGGAAUGGUCAAAUCCAUUUAUGAUCCAAUCCGACUUUGAAUUCCAGAUUGGCUCAUUCCAAAGUAAACUAUUCAAAAUUCUCUUUCAUCAACACCUACCUCUUCUCCCUUCAUCACUUUCCUCUAUCUUAAUCAAAACCCUCUCUCAAAAAUUUUAAAUUUUCAUUCCGAUUUCCAUUCCAAUAAUGAACCAAACAUUUUUGGAUGAUUCGUCAUUCUAUUUUCCAUUCCAAAGCAAUCCAAUUUUAUUUUCCAUUUCUAUUCCAAUCAUGAACCAAACAUGCCCUUAUGAUCCAAUCCGGCUUUGAAUCCCGGAUUGGCUCAUACCAAAGUAAACUAUUCAAAAUCCUCUUUCAUCAACACCUACCUCCUCUCCCUUCAUCACUUUUCUCUCUCUUAAUCAAAACCCUCUCUCAAAAAUUUUUAAUUUUUAUUCCGAUUUUCAUUCCAAUAAUGAAUCAAAUAUUUUUGAAUGAUUCAUCAUUCCAUUUUUCAUUCCAAAGCAAUCCAAUUCCAUUUCCUAUUGCUAUUCUAAUCAUGAACCAAACAUGCCCUAAAAAUAAUUCAGUCUGAUCAUAAUCGGUGUUUGGAACCAGCUCUUGGUUCAUCCAUUUGGAAGCAGAUCUGCAAAUUAUGUUAUUUAUUCACUAUAUCUAUAGAGAUCCAUGUUGGCAACGUGCGAAGCUCCUCUUUUUGGUUCUCAUGUUGGUUUGGCAUUGGAAUUCUCUCUAAUUAGUUUUAUAGUCUCUUUACAUAUGGGGUAAAUACAAAAGCACGCAUCUAUGACUUCAAGACUGAAUCCGAAUAGGAAAUUACACUUCGUAGCUCGAUUUCAGAUAAGGCUACUACUGAUCUAAACAAAAUUCAUACCCUUUUAUCCUCCAUUCAAAUCUCUCAAGAACAAGACACUAUAAUGUGGAGAUAAAAUGCUAAUAACAAGUUUACAGUUAAAUCUACUUACGAGUUCAUGGGAUUUGAGUGCACAAUCAAUGACGGCUAUCAUUUUUUAUCGAAAUGCAAAUUCCGACAAAGGUAAAGGCUUUCAUCUGGCUUACUAACAAGCAACGAAUUCCUACAGCUGACCUUCUUUGAGUAAUGCUAAGUGCAGUCCACAUGCUGCUUAUGCAACAGCGAUGCAGAAUCUGCCCUUUAUAUAUAUAUUCUCUUAUUUUGUCCUUGUGCUCGACAAUCUUGGCAUGGCCUACUAGGCGACGAUGUGAAGGCAAGCGAGAUGGCUUUGUAGGACUACGAUGAAAAUCAGUUAAAUUGCUACAGUAACAUAUGGAUACCAAAAGAAUUAUUUUAUAUAAUUUUCACGUGAAUACUAUAUUUGACAGAUAUGUAAAUGAUGUCUUAUUCUGCAGAAAAAUAUUAUCAAUAUGCUUUUUUAGAGAGUGUGCAUCAUGUCGUCCACCAUCUAGUUAAGAGUUUAAAAAUACUUCUUAGGUUUAUUGAAAAAAUCAAAAAAUGAUUGAUAAUUGAGUACUAUUAAUAGUAUAGUAAUCUAAUUUUAUUUAUUAGGUCUUCGGUCCUUGAAUGAAAAAAAUAUACGGUUAUAGUAAUGUGGGCCCCCAGGAUUGAGUAAGUUAUUAGUUUAAUAGUAUAAUCUAACAUGUAAAAAUAGCUCAAGGAUUAAAUCUAACGGCAGAAAACUUGAGAGCACCAAACGCUUGGUGCUAUCGAUAGUAUCCCAGGCGGACUCUUUAUUAUAGUAUUUAUUGGCCACUACAAGCAAGAAUAAACAAGGCCCGAUAGCUGAGUCCGGAUCAAAGGCCAACCCAGAAGCCCAAUAAACUAUUUUGGGCCAUGUUUAACCCUUGAAACUAAAACUGGACAUUUUUCUUCAAAAUUAUAGAUUUACGCAAGCGCAUGAACCAGUCAUAAAACUUUUACUAGAUUAGUUCGUGCACACAGUCAGAAAUAUUUUAAGCAUUCUGAAGGGCAAUUUGAAGUCCGAAAUUAAGAUUCCAGCAGAGUAAUAUUUUCAGAGAGAAUGGGCCUACAUGCCAAUUAAUAGACCUGCAGGUCUUUUUCCCCCCAAAAUAAUAAUAAUAAUAAUAAUAAUUCUUGUGUAGAGAAGUUACUAUUUGUUAUGUCACUGUUGUGCAUCUCACGAUCACAAACGUAUCGUUUAGUGUUGUCCUUUUAAUUCUUUUUUUUUUUUUUUAGAGAGAUAGGUAGCACGCUACCCGCUUCGUUUAUUUCAUUUAGAAAUAAACUUAGAUAGAAAAUAUGAAUCAACUAGGAUUCGAAUUUGGGACCUCGAGUACCAACCAUCAAACCCUUUUUCACUUGCUUUAGGAACAGCCGGUUCUUUUAAUUUGUUAUUGUUCACAUGUACAGUGUGAAGUCCAUGAAUUACCACAUCAAAUUUGUUUGGAACGUGCAAUAUUAACCAAAAUAAUUUGUAGAUAGAAACCAACAUGGAUAAAAAAUAAAUACUCUUGCUUGUUUCAUUACGUAAUAUUACGUUGCCCGUCUCUUGAUGAAUCAUUUAUUAUAUAUUUUUUUGCUGUUCUAGCAAAAAAUAGAGAAAUGAGUCACUUAAUUAUAAUAUAUUUUGUACGAUGCCACUGAACAAUAGAUAGACAUACUCGAUUUUUAAUAAUGUUAUAUGGCCGUCAAUAACAGACGAACUCUUAAUCCGAGUUAAUUUUUUCACGUUGAUAUCCGAUUUUCUAUUUUUUUAAUUGAGCUUUUAAAAUUUAGUAACUGUUUAAAUCAAAUCCGUCUUUCGAAAUGCAUGUUAACUUGGAUAGAAAAACCCACUGGUCUUCUUUGAUGACAUAAAGGACUUGAUUGGAACAAUUAAUGAACGUUAGAGAUUUAAUUAGGCAAGAUUAGGAUAAAAAAAGAACUAAUCACGCAAUUAAUUAACCUCAAAAACCAUUCUAUUGAAAAAAUAAAUGAUGGGUGUGUAAAUUAAGUCUAGAAUCUUUAGUAACUAAAGAGACUUAGAUAAUGGUGUACUCUAAAAACUUAAACAGUUAGAUAACGGUGUUUAAAUAUUUUUAUAUUUAGAUAACGGGGUUUAAACAUUUUUAUAUUUAACACUCCCCCUUACGUCCUUACGUCUGGACUUGAGACUUUUUAGUCGACUCAUGACGUACGUGGGCUUGAAUUAAAUGGGAGGAAAUUAAUAUGCUAGGAGCCUGACGUGACUCGAACUUAGGACCUCCUACUCUGAUACCAUGUGAAACAACCAUUGUACUCUAAAAAAUUAAGCUAUUAGAUAAUGGUGUUUAAACAUUUUUAUAUUUAACAGAGCCAUCUCUAACAUGAUAAUUGUAAUCUAAAAAUAUGCCCGUUUAGAAGCAACUCAAUAGUGGUCUUAACAAAUGUCACUAUCCAUCAAGCAUGUGAGUAAAUUUUCAUUUCAACAUCAUAAAAUGGAAUAGCAUCACCUAGCGCAAUCGCAACACACCAAUUAAGGAUGUGGUUGGACCUAAACCAUCAAGAAGUGGUCCAUUCCAUGAGAGCAAGCCAAUGUUCCUUGCAAUUCAAGUUGUUUCAAUCAAAAUGGGCAUAUAGCCUAAAUAAUGAACCCGACCAUUAUUGGCAUGUUCUAAUUGCCAAAGAGAGAUGGAACAAUAACUCUGUACCUUCUUGUCAUUUCACAUUGUUUUGUCUUUGUUAUUCCCAUAGUAGAGAAUGAAAGGUCGCUUUAGAUCAUAUAUUAUUACGAUUCGAUCUACUAGCAAUAAUAGCUUAUUAGAUCCGAACCAUCUCUGACGUCCUCAUCAACAUGAUCACACACAUAGCCCAAAAGAUGUAAAGCCUCCCGCACACUUUUGAUUGGUAAACUGGUUAUAAUCCCAAAUAUAACGAUCCGAUCUAUUAACAAUAAUAACUCAUUCGAUUCAAAUCACGGACCCAAAAUAUACUUAAGUCUAGAUAUCAUUGUUAGGAUACGUGAUCUUUUAAGUUUUUCAAUCACAAUUCUAUUCUCAUUCGAAACGAGACUAUUAGGGUGUCACAUAUAUACUAUAGGGAGAAAUGGGUCGAUUCACAUAAGUAAUUGAGAGAACGGUGUUAGUAAUAAACUCUAAUGAGUAGUGAGUAUCAUGGGCUCCAUUUUCAUUCAUUGCGAGAAAGGGUUUUGGGAAAUACAAUGCGAGGAAAAAGCAGAGAAAACACUUGGGUGAGGGAGUGGAUCGAGGACCACAAUGCAUGUCCACUCCACAGGAAAGAGAGAGCUUACAAAAAGAAAAAGCCAAAAAAAACAAAAAAAAAAAACGUUCUUGCUCUAUUCCACUAUUGUGGCAAAUAUAUGUACUUUUCAUUUAAAUAAUGUAGUCUCUAAAUUUUCUGAUUUUUUUUUUUUUUUUUUUUUUUUUUGGGGCCUAGUUGUCUAGUACCUUGAAUUUUGUAACGAAAUAAUCAUGUUAUCCUUUCUGUAAAAUACGUACCUAGCUAGCUAAUAUGUUUUAAUUCAAUUCAAACCGUGAUUAAAAUUUUCUUUUGCAUACCAAAGACCAACAUUUUUCUAAUAAAUGUUCAAGACCUAAAAUGCAGCAUCCAUACAUAUGAAAAUGGCUUGACUUUCUUACUUGUCCCCUUCAUAGAUUACAGUUAAAUUAGAUCCAUGAAUGCAAUAAUUUCCUCUAUGUGAGGAAGAUUGAGACAGUUCUAUGAAGUUGGGUUAAAAAGCAAGCAAAUUUAGUGACCGAAAAUAAUGUUUGGCGGCCGAGAAAGGAACAAGAAAAUUUAGUGAUUUCAUGCUUUGUGCACCUCCUUUAAAAAAAAAAAAAAAAAAAAAAAAAAAAAAAAAAAAAAAAUGUUCUGAGAGAUUAGUAAUGUUAUAUCCAAUAGCUCCUGAAAGUAGAUAAGGACAGUAACGAAUAUCUCACCAACAUGUAGCUUUGUUACAAUCAUAUACGAGUACACUUCACACAUAUUUCAGAAAAAUUAAUCACUUCAAUAUAUGUAUUCUACUUUCCGCGAGAGUGCGUACAUAUGGUAUUAUUUAUUUUUUUAGCCCAAAAACAUGCUAUAAUUUAACAAGUACGAAUUCCACAAUCAUUUUUAUCUAUACUCGAACAUUAACAGCAUCACGCAUGUUAGCUCAAUGAAAGAGUGAGAAUGUACUCCUCUUGGGUGAUAAGAUAAUUGGGCAUUAGAAUUAACACAAAGAAAUUAAUUAAGAUCACCCAUGGGAUCUAUUGAAAGAAGAUGUUGGAGAGGUACAGUACGAAAUGGGGAGACCUUUGAAGUGUAGGUGGAUCAUGUCCAACGAAAUUUAAUUAUAAAGGAAAGCUUGGGGACCAUGGGUAUGUACAUAUAAUAACCAUUUUGUACUCAUGCAUGCAUGUGUAAGGAUGAGAGAAGUUAAUGGGUGGUGCAUUAUUCAUGUGAAUGACUCUAAUGUUCACCUACUUUGAGUUUGUGUGUUGUGGUGACACUUGACACUUCUUAAAUUCUACGUACAAAUUCGUGGGAUGGGGGAGGAGGAUGCAUCAUCCUCUCAGCUUGAUUUGGUUGCCUCAAAAUAGUUAUUGUAUAGCCCAAAUGUACAUGAAGAGUAUCGCAACAUCGAUCACCGUGUGCUCCAUGUUGCAUAGAUAGUGAAUUGAAUUGUUACAUAGAGUAUUACAGCAAUUAAAUCAUGUGCCAGCCAUCUCUUGAACUCGUAGAAUAUAAUCACCGCGAAAGCAAAGACGGGAACAUGCAAUAAGAUUAUAAACAUGGAGGAGGGAAUUUGUAACACCUUGAUAGUCUCAUACUCGAUAGAAAAGAAACUGUAUGUACAUGUGUUGACUAUUUAAGAUUUAAGUAAUUUAAUAUACGUAAUUUGAAUAUCAAAUAAAAAAGACGCAAGUUUCUAUGCUUCUACGCAUAUUUCACUUCUGUUCUCAAACUUCUGGUUGAACAUUCGGAGAUCUAAACAUGUAGAAGAAUUUUACUUCGGUCCUCGCUAUCACUUUUUAAUAGAGAAAAAUUAUCACACGCACUAGGAGUAUCUGUAUAUCUUUGAAUUCAACCAUUCAUCUAUCUUGUACUUGCAAUCUAGCAGUCCAUGAGUAGUAAAUAGGCUACAACUAAGCUAAAUGGAUGGUUACGAAAUUAUAAAUUUAACAUGUAGGGGUGUAAACGAGCCGAACACGAGCUGGCUCACUAAAGUAUCGAGCCGAAAAAUUCAGCUCAUGUUCGGCUCGUUUAUUAACGAGCCGAACACGAGUUGGCUCACGAGCUGGCCAACGAACAAUAAAUUAAAAAAAAAUUUGAUUAAAUAUAUAUAAAAAAUAAAUUUAUAAAAUCUUAUCCAUGAGACUUUGAUGUAAUAGUUGAAACUUUACACAUAAAUGAGUCUUUUUAUAAUUAAGCUCGCAUUUAUAUUUUUAUUUUGCUAAAAAUUAAAUAAUAAAAAUAUAUAUUAUAUAUAAUUAUUUAUUUAUAUAUAAAAAUAUAAAUUAAAUAAAUUAUAUAAAUAUAAAAUAUAUGUAUUCGAGCUGUUAUCGAGCCGAACACGAGCGAGCUAAUCCCAGCUCAUGUUCGGCUCGUUCAUUAAACGAGCUGAAAAAUCCAGCUGGUGUUCGGCUUGUUUACUAAACGAGCGAGCCGAUCUCGAGCUCAUUUCGAGCCGAACACGAGCUAGCUCACGAACAGCGAGCUGGAUUGCCACCCCUAAUAUGAAUAUGUAUAUAUGUCGAUAUAUACAUAUGGAGUGCAAUGGGUGUGGAAAAUUAAAUUAUAGCUCAUUAUUAACUAUUAUCUACCGCAUUAAUUCUACUGCAUCUAAUUUGGAGGACUUGGUCCAUCAAAUAAUUUCUCCAAAUUAGAAAUUACCACAAUGCACAGGAACGUGAGGAGAAAAGAAUGGGUGUAGAAAAUUAGCAAAUCAUAGAGCAAACCAUAUCUAUACAAAUCUAUGAAUCCCUAAUAUCUUGCUGACGUGGCGUGACCUCCUUCUUCCAAAACCGCUUCCCUCUCAUCUCUCAAAACUGCUCCCCUCUCAUCUCCCAACCUUCGAGACCCCUCAUUUUCCAAAACCGUUCCCAUCUCAUCUCCCAACCCACGAGACCCCUCAUCUUUCAAAAUCGUUCCCUUCUCAUCUCCCAACCCCCGAGACCCCUCAUCUUCCAAAACCUCCUGCCACUCCUCCCUCCUCCCCCCUCCUCCUCAAACUCCCCGCGGCACCCUCCAAACCCCUCAUCUCCCAAACCCCUACUCCGACGGCGGCGCUUCCCCCCCUCCCCGCCACGUCCUCUCUGUUGCGCUCCUCUCCCUUUCCCUCUUCUCCUUCACCUGUCAUCUCGCUUCCCUUGUUUAAAUUAACCCUGGAUUAUUAUAUCAAAUUAAAAACAGUUUCUUACUCAUUUUUCUUGGGCUGCGUACAUAAUUAUCUAUCUAUCUAAAAAUUAAUUAGAGUAUUGUUCUUCUGAAUCACAUCAACCAAAGACUAGCUUUAUACGAUCAUGUUAAUAAAAUGUUAUAGGCCGAAUGUAAGAUUAAGUGAUUAAAUAUCACUCAAGAGAGCAAUGUUACCUGUGCGUUUAUUUGUAGAGUGUAAAGUUUGCGCCCCACUAAUCGAAAGAUUACUAUUUUUUAGCAGUCUUAUCAGUCUUUAUUUUUCUAAAACUAAAAACAUAAGAGGGGUUUAUAAACGCUUGGAUGGACUAUGGAUAGGUGGCCGGUAAUCUACUCAAAAUAGUAAUAAGAGGAAUGAACUUGGUCCCAACAUUGAUCUCCCAUCUUUUUUCUCUGGACCAAUCAAAAUUCUUACUACUGCCGUGUUACCGAUUUAUUGUAAAAUAUAUAUAAGUGGGUGUAGCAUUACUAAAAAGGAAUUUAUAUAAUCAAAAUGUUAUAGAAUGUACGAUUAAGUGAUUAAAAAUAUUACUCAAGAUCGGUGCACCUAUUUAUAGAGUGUAAAUUUUGCCCCACUAAUCCAAAGAUUAUUAAUUUUCAGUAGUCUUAACAAUCUUUAUUUUUCUAAUACUAAAAAAUCUAAAAGGGGUUUAUAAACUCUUGGAUGGACGGAUGUAUAAAGAGAUGGUAAUUUUCUACUCAAAAUAAUAAUAAGAAAUCAAUCAAAACUAUUAAUACCACCGUGUUACGUACUAAUAUAUUGUAAAAUAUAUAUAAUGGGUGUAGCAUUACUAAAAGAGAAUUUAUAUAAUCAAAUUAAGUUUUGAUAUCUUCAGAACAAAUAUAUUGAUUAUAUUAUCUAAGCAUGAUUUGAAUAUUUUUAUUUUUUUCGCAACAAUAAAAAUGGUCUCGGCUAUAUCGAUCAAUCGCUGUACAAAAGUACUACUAACAGGGGGAUGAACUUCAAAACUUUUCCUAUCUUUUUCUCCAGGCCAAUCAAAGGAACAACUCUAAACCUAACCCUAAUCUCUACUUUUGGUGACCUAAUCUUUGAGAUGCUCUCUCUCUCUUUGUGUGGUCCUUUUAAUAGGUACAUCGAUCCCUCUUUUCUCUCUCUAUCUCUUUCUCUGUGGUCCACGGAUUAGAGAUUUCCCUCCCGACAACACUAUCACCACAUGCCUUGUGGACACCACCAAAGGUUCUUUAAAUUAAAGUUGUAUAAUUUUUCGAUAUUAUUUACCCAAUCAGAAGAGUAAAAAGUUAAUAAUUUUGAUAGUUGAUAAGCGCAGUUUGCAAUUUUAACUAUGUAGAAAUUUUUUGUAAUACUUGAAUUACAAUUUAGUGCCUCUGAUCUAACAUUUUAGUAUUAUAUCGUUGCUACUUAUAAAAUUUUGAUUUUCAGUUAUUCAUUACGAGAGGCGCCUCUCUUCUUCACUAAAAAAACAAUAUUGAAGAAGAAUAUAUUUUCCUUUUUCGAUGAUUUAGAAAUUCUAAAUUAAUUCUAACGAAACCGGUCAUCAAUUCAUAAGUCUCUUUAUCGAAAAUAACUUAUAAUUACAGAAACUCGAUUUUUCUAAAAGCACGUACUCUAGAUUGAGAGAAAAACUAAGAUACUUCUAGAAGUAAACAAAGAUCUAAUUUUAGACGGUAGAAUAUUCAAGUUGACAAUCAGCUCUGUUAAUUAUGAUCUAUAUUAUUUAAAUCUUUUAGAAAUCAAAUUUAACAAUUUUAUACCAUCAUUUGCCUAAUGAUGAAGAAAUAUCAAAUUUGUCUUAUAUUACCUUUUAAAAUUUGACAGUUUUUGAACUGUUUGAAGACUAUGCAAAUGAUAUACAAAAAUUAUGAUAUUUGAAAUAUAAAACGUUUAAAUACCUUAGGUCGUAUUUAAUAGUAUCGAUCGUUACUUCGAAUGCCUUGUUGCCAUAAACAAUGCAGGAGUAAACAAUCUCAUUCACUCAUAGAAAUAUAUAUAUAAAGAGAGAGAGUUCACCCAGAAUACUAAAAGAAUAGUAUUUACUAUUAACUUUUUAACUCUUGGAUCAAUACUAUUCUACCUACCACAGCUAAACCUUAGCCAAAAAUUAUGAUAUUUGAAACAUAAAAAGCUUAAAUGCCUUAGUUAAUAUUUAAUAGUAUUGAUCAUUGAUUAGAAUGCCUCGUUGCCAGAAACAAUGCAGGAGUAAACAAUCUCAUUCACUCCUAGAAGUAUAAAUAUAAAGAGAGAGUUCACCUGGAAUACUAAAAGAAUAAUAUUUAUUAUCAGUUUUUUAACUCUUGGAUUAAUAAUAUUCUACCUACCACCACUAAACCUUAGACAUUCAUAGAUUAAAAAGUAUAUAGUAAACAUUAUUACUUUACAAUCUAAAGUAUCUAACUCCACUCUUUCUCUCUAUACAGAGAGAGAGUCUGACUUGUAUGCUUUUAGAAGUACGGUGACCUCCAUACCAUUAAGUUUUUUAAAAAAAUUUUGGGACUUUUGAAUCGAUGAUCGAUCGGUUCCGUUAGACUUGAUCUAAAGUAUUAGAAAAAUGUAAAAAAAUAAAUUUUGUGAUGUUUCGAUAUUAUUUACCUAACGAUCGAAACAGCUCAAAAGCAACAGCCGAAAAUAAAAAUCUCACAAAAAUAAAGAUACGACACUAAAUUUUUUUUAUAUAAUAUAAAAAAAAAAUUCUAUGAAAAUUACACGUGAUUUAAAUAUUUCUACAUCAUUAAACUUGCAAACGACUCACCACAACGAUUAUAUUGCUUUUGAGUCCCAACAAUCGCUAGGUAAUGAUAUUGAAAAAUUAUGAAAUUUAUUUUGUAUGCUGCUUCUAAACCUCCAAAUCAAGUCUGAUAUUACCGAUUGUCGAUUCAGAAGUUUUAACUUUGAAAACGACUUGAUAUUACAAAAAUUAUUGUGCUUCUAAAAACACACAAGUCUAACUCUCUCUCUCUCUCUCUCUCUCUCUCUCUCUCUCUAUAUAUAUAUAUAUAGCAAAUAAAAAUGACACUAAAAAUUGGUGUGGUGUAGGAAGGCAUGGCGUGAUUAAGGCAUCCCAAAAAGUUACUUGAUCGGUUAAUUAAUAAAUCUACUAAUAAUGGAGCAGUAGUAGUGCUGUCCUUAGCACGAGCCGUCCGGGCAGAACGGACCGACAGUACUGGUCGGCCCAUUAAUUUGAGCUCUAGCCCGGCCUGUCGGCUGCGACGAGUACGUCGAGUCGGUGGACCGGACCAUUCAGUUCGUUGAGCUACGGGCUGAGUUAGGAGCUCCAGAGAUGGUCCCCUCCCCCAACUUAUUUCCUUAUAAUAAUAAUUAGGUUGUUUUUUUAAUAUAUAUAUAUAUAAUAUUUUUAGAGACAUUUUUUUUUUAAGGGUUAAGCUCGUACAGCUUCCUGUAAAUAUAUCGAAUAGUAAAUAUAUUACUAUAAAGCUUGACUUUUCAUAUUUAUUCUUGUAAAAAUCUGGUGAUUUUCAUAUCCGUCCCUCUGAUUUGUUAUCGUUAGAGCACUAUUUAUUUUUUAAUAUAAGAUAAAUGAAAUGAUAUUUUUGCCAUCACAAAUAUGUCCCUUCAAAAAUUUCAACGAUUAAAAUUAUACAAAAAUAUCCUCUAAACAAUUUCUAAUAGUCAUCUUCUUUUUUUCUACCUCUAGAGUUAAGUAUUUAAUCUGUGAUUAACUAUAUUUUUCUAACAGAUCCUAACAGUAGAGAUUUAUUUGAAAAUGUUAGAAUUUUUUCAGAAAUAAAUAUAAAAAUUGAAAUUUGUAGAGAUCGAUAUAUCUAUCAUUCAAUAUGUUUAUAGGGAGCUGUAUGUAAUUAACUCUUUUUCAAAAGUAUAAACGAUAUUCG
rnacentral:lncRNA from 1 species